rnacentral:lncRNA from 1 species
CGCUUCAAGGUUAAUGUUGAAUUUGUACUCGUUUAUGUGAUAUAAGAAAAUGUGUUAAGGUAUAUUGUGAUCUCUCCUUUGAUUUUUGCAGAGCAAUAGCACCAGAUCCUCAUAUUAAGUAGACUUGCAACAUCAUGAAGAAACUUGACAUACUUGAGAGGAAAGUAAAGCUGCUUUUCAAACAAAUUUAUAAGAUUUAUUAUGGUAACUGAAAUUUUAUAGAAGAUGAGAAUUAUAAGGUUCUCCUUGAAACUAUAAUUGACCAAGACAUGAACAAGUUUGUUUUCCUCUACUAAUUUGUCUUAUUGAUUUACAUGAUGUUUUGUUUUAUCAGAUUUCACAAUGUCACUUUUUAUCUUGAUUCUCAUAUGAUUAUCUACUGAAAAGAAGAAGGAAUGAAAGAAGAUGGAGUCGAAUGUAGGUUCACACUAAACUUCUUUGUCUUUUACUUAUGUUCUCUGGUUUUAGUGUUUUAAUCUUGUAGGAUGUAGCAAUGAAUAGGAAAAUAAGAGAGCUCUUGAGGUGUGUGGUUGUUUUCAUUGUUUCUUUGCUGUUUUAGAACAUUGUUUUCAUCUUUUAAUAUUUACAUGGUUUGUGGUUAAAACAAACUUAGCUUCUUUUGAAAGACGAAGAGGAUGAUACUAGUGAAGAUGAUGAUACUAGUGAAGAUGAUGUUCCUUCGAAGAAGAGACUCUGUCGGAAACAGAAAGGGGAUGUGACAACAAAAUAAGCGUUGGCUUUGCCGGAAACAGAAAGAGGAUCUCAAGGUAUGUUUUUUCAUGUCAAGGAAGUCAAAUCUCUUUGGUUUUAGAGAUAUUGUUUCUAUCAUGUAACAUUUUUUGUUUUAUUUUCUUUGGUCACGACACAAUGAUGUUGAACUCAAAAGAGGGUGUGAAAACAACAUAAGCUUGCUUAGGCUGGACCACGUCAAAGAACCCAAACGAAGAAGAUAAUAAGGUAUGUUUUCCUGUUAAGGAAGCCAAAUCUCUUAACUAUUUUAGAAUAUUGUUUUCGUCAUUGCAUUUAUCUAUUUAUUUUUGGUUAAAGCAUACACAACUUGCUGUGAAAGAUGAGGACAAUGUUAUCAAUGAAGAUGAACAUAAAAAAGAGUGCGACAACAAACUGGCCUUUCCAUAGGCAGCAUCACUUCAAAUAAACCAAACAGAAGGACCUAAAGGUAUGUUUUUCCAUGCCAAGCAUCGAACAAGUAUUCAAAACUUAAUAUUUUAAUUUUAAAUUAUCUUAAAUUUGUAAAAACGAUUAUCAAUUACUACUACUAUUAAAACUUUAACACUGAAAAUUUUGUGAUCAAUAGUUUAAAAUUUUUAUUAUAAAAAUAUAUAAAUGAUCAUAAAACCAUAUGAAUAUGAAACUUCAUUUAAAAUAAAAUAAAAUAUUAUAUUAAAAAGAUUUCUGUGAAGUUUCAUUUUGUAAAUAUACAUAUAAAUUUAGUAUAUAUAUGUUAAUAUCAUUUAAAUUUAAUUAUAUACUAUAUAAAAUAAAUAAAAACUAUUAUUUUGAUUUAUUUACAAUGAUUUUAAAUAAACCAAAGUGAUUGUUUUGAUUUAUGUGUUCACUCAAUUUAAUUAUACAAAUAAUAUAUACUGCCUUUUAAAUUAUUUAAUAUACUUUUUAGUUUCGUAAUAUGUUAAUGAACGUAAGAUAAGUAAUUGUACAUUUGUACGUAAAAAUAAGUAUGCAUAAGGUUCAUAGGAAGACUCAUCUCGUACUGUUACGACUCUCAUACUGUUACGAGGUUAACAGUCAGAUGUAACCCUCUAGGCCACGCCGAAGGUUGGAUUAACAGGCGUCAGAUGUAACCCUCUAGAUUAGAGUGAAAGUCUCGUCUUGCAUCAAUAGGACGCUUCCAAAGACUAUUCAACUCUCCACCUCCAAGGUCCAAACAAACACACACACUCUCUCUCUCCUCUCUCUUACUUUUCCUCCUAAACUCUGGCGAAUGAAAUAAUAAGUCGUCGCUAGCUUAGAUACGACAGCGACCGAUGGGAGCGGAUUUGAAAUCAGUAACGGCUUCCUGCACCGUCCUCGCCGUUAUCUUACUGCUCUGCGGUGGCGGUGCGGCGGUGGAGGAGGAUGAGAACGAGUUCCACGGCGACUACUCGAAGCUCUCGGGUAUAAUCAUCCCGGGAUUCGCGUCGACGCAGCUGAGAGCGUGGUCGAUCCUCGACUGUCCUUACUCCCCGUUGGACUUCAAUCCUCUUGACCUCGUUUGGCUAGACUCCACUAAGGUACGUGAUCUUCGUUUGUUUUCUCGCUUCCGUUUGUUGAAGAAAUCUGAUUGAUCUUGAUUGAUAGAGUUCGAUCCAUCGCCUUCGGUUUAGUAAAUAUAGUGCUCGUUGUUUCCCUUCGACUAGAUCUUAGUGUUUACUGCUUAGUAGUUAGAAAAUCUCCUGCGUAUUCUUAGAUCGAUAUGUUAUGUCAUCGUUAGGUUAAUGGAUCGUGAAGUGUUAAUCAUCUGCAUUGUGAUCGAUUUAGUAGUUUAUUACUGGUGGAUUUGAUGAAUGCUUUGUGCAGCUUCUCUCUGCUGUCAACUGUUGGUUUAAGUGUAUGGUGUUAGAUCCUUAUAAUGAAACGGAUCAUCCCGAGUGUAAGUCACGCCCUGAUAGUGGUCUUUCAGCCAUCACAGAAUUGGAUCCAGGCUACAUAACAGGUAGUUCUGAGUUUAUUUUGUUUUCCUUAAGAGUUUCUUAGAAUAUGAACGUUUUGUUGUGAUAGUAAAGUAACACUUUGGGAUGAUCUUCAGGUCCUCUUUCUACAGUCUGGAAGGAGUGGCUUAAGUGGUGCGUUGAGUUUGGCAUAGAGGCUAAUGCAAUUGUCGCUGUUCCUUACGAUUGGAGAUUGUCGCCAACCAAAUUGGAAGAGCNNNNNNNNNNNNNNNNNNNNNNNNNNNNNNNNNNNNNNNNNNNNNNNNNNNNNNNNNNNNNNNNNNAAGAGCGUGACCUGUACUUUCAUAAGCUCAAGUUAGUCCUGGGGAAGCUAGUAUACUCUCUCUUUUAUUUGUUUGUGAUGUAAGAUAAGCAAAUAACUCUUGUCUUCUUCUUCUUUAUGCAGGUUGACCUUUGAAACUGCUUUAAAACUACGUGGUGGUCCUUCUAUAGUUUUUGCCCAUUCUAUGGGUAAUAAUGUCUUCAGAUACUUUCUGGAAUGGCUGAGGCUAGAAAUUGCACCAAAACAUUACUUGGAGUGGCUUGAUCAGCAUAUCCAUGCUUAUUUCGCUGUUGGUACUGGCCACUUAUUUUGUUAAGCUGACAUUUUACUUUCGUCUCAACUGGAGAGUCUCAAUCAUUAACUGACGUCAUGUUUGUAUAGGAGCUCCUCUUCUUGGUUCAGUUGAGGCAAUCAAAUCUACUCUCUCUGGUGUAACGUUUGGCCUUCCUGUUUCUGAGGUUACCUCUGACUUCCUUUUAGUAUCUAGUAGCUAAUAUCCUCCAGGUCAUAAAAUUCACUUUGAAAGUAGUUUUGCUAAUAGAGCUGCUGUAUGGUAUAUGUAGAUCUUAAAUCGCAUAGUUAUCCAAGAAAAUAUUAUGAGUAAUAUCUUUGUUUCUAGUGCAACCAAACUGCAACAUGCACGCAGAUUCAGUUUCCAUGUUAAUAUGGUAGAUUCCUAGUUGAGAAGAAGCUUCUAUUGAGAUCUUUAAACUCGAUAUUCUGUGGUUUGUUUAUUAAUAUUAGUAACAUAUUGACAUGCGCUUCUCAUGUUUUUUGUUGGCAAGGCUUCAGGGAACUGCUCGAUUGUUGUCCAAUUCUUUUGCUUCUUCGUUGUGGCUUAUGCCAUUUUCAAAGAACUGCAAGGGUGAUAACACGUUCUGGACGCAUUUUUCUGGUGGUGCUGCAAAGAAAAAUAAGCAUGUAUACCACUGUACUGACGAGGAAUAUCAAUCGAAAUAUUCUGGCUGGCCCACGAAUAUCAUCAACAUUGAAAUUCCUCCCCCUGACGGUAUGGCUUUGUACAUGCAUCUGUAAAUGGUUCAUUGUUAUAUCUCGUUUGUUUUACUCAACACCAAUAAUUUUGUAGGCCUUGAUGCGUAUCCAUCAGUUACAGAAGCAGUUAAAGCCAACAUGACCAACAUGGAAUGUGGUCUCCCCACUCUAUUGUCUUUCACAGCCCGUGAAUUAGCAGAUGGGACUCUGUUCAAAGCAAUUAAAGACUAUGAUCCAGAUAGCGCGAGGAUGUUACACCAGUUAAAGAAGUAAGUACCUUUUUCUGUGAAGACUUAUAUUUCUCUUCAAUCAUCACUUGUUGGCUCCUUGUACUUCAACUGUGAUAUAUUCUUUGUCAGAAAAGUGUAAUCACAAUUCUUGGUUUUGACUAUUAAUGGUGCUCUCUUACUAAUGUUAUGGAAUGUCUUUUUUUCUUUCUGCUUGCAGUUAUGAAUGCAAAAGAUUGUAUUUCAGAUUGAUUUUCACAUUGAACAUUAAUCCUUUGUGUAGUUAUUUAGACUCUGGCACGGACUAACAUGUCAAAUUAUUUGCAAAUGUUUGUUCAUCUUCAAAGAAGUGUAUAUAUGUGUGUGUGUUGUGUAUAACAUGCCAACUAUCUUUUACAGGUUGUAUCAUGAUGACCCUGUUAUGAACCCACUGACUCCUUGGGAGAGACCACCUAUAAAAAAUGUAUUUUGCAUAUAUGGUGCUCAUUUAAAGACAGAGGUGUGACUACAUUCUCCAAAUGGCAUUUUGUGUCUGUUUUGUUAUUAUAUUCCUCGUUUUGUUCUGCAUUAUCCUUUUUAUUUGUGUUCUUAUCUUCUCCCUUGCAUAAGUGCAUCAUAUGUUUUUAAACGUGAAAGAUACUAAAUGUAUGAAGUUGUAAUAGGUUGGCUAUUACUUUGCCCCAAGUGGCAAACCUUAUCCUGAUAAUUGGAUCAUUACGGAUGUCAUUUACGAAACUGAAGGUUCCCUCGUGUCAAGGUAAAUUUUCGCAAUAUUUUGGAUGUGUAAUAUCUCAUUUGCAUCAGCGAGUUGUUACAUAACUAAUACUUCAUUAGUUUUUCUAUCAUCUGAUUUUAAGAUUAGUGUAUGAUCAGUGGCUAAAGGUGGGAAGUGGUCUGAAAUUCUUGCAUGAAAAAUAUCACUAACAUCAAAUAUAACUGGCAGAACAAAAAAAAUAGUCUUUCUAUAUUUUCGCUUAACAAACCGUAGACUAGCUCACAUCUUUAUGCUGCAAUUCUCCAGGUCUGGAACUGUGGUUGAUGGGAACGCUGGCCCUAUAACUGGGGAUGAGACGGUAAUUUUAGAAGUUGUGUUUCGAAUUAUUUUGUUGCAAGACUACUGAGGAUCAGUAUACUAUUUGCUUCAAGAUCACUACGUGUUAUGUAUUUUACUGCGGUAUCCAUAGUGAUUAUUAAUUUUACCUCUUAUAGGUACCCUAUCACUCACUCUCUUGGUGCAAGAAUUGGCUCGGACCUAAAGUCAACAUAACAAUGGCUCCCCAGGUACUCUUGUCUUGUGCAUUUGUUAUCUUCCACUAAAAGUUUCUGUAUUUCAAAGACCUUUUAUGCAUAUAGAUAAUCUGAUUAUAUGUUGAGUCGCCAACAGUUUUUCCUUUCCAUAAAAUCACACAUCUCUGUACCCCUCAGAAUGUAUCUAAAGCUAAAAGAAAUUCUCAUUGAAAAAAAACAGCCAGAACACGAUGGAAGUGAUGUACAAAUCGAAUUGAAUGUUGAACAUGAGCAUGGGUCAGACAUCAUAGCGAACAUGACAAAAGCACCAAGGGUGAAAUACAUAACCUUCUACGAAGACUCUGAGAGCAUUCCAGGAAAGAGAACGGCAGUGUGGGAGCUUGAUAAAGGUGAGUACCAGAUAUAUCAAAACUGUUGAGACUAAUCAAAGUAUCUUGCAUUGGUUUUGACUUUUGGCUAAUCACUGUUUGUGCAGCGAAUCACAGGAACAUCGUUAGAUCUCCAGUUCUUAUGAGAGAGUUAUGGCUUCAGAUGUGGCAUGACAUUCAACCUGGUGCAAAGUCCAAAUUUGUCACCAAAGGUAACAAAAAUACUAUUGGCUAUACGAUCACUUUCUAUUGCUUGUGGAUGUAAUUACAAAUACGUUGUCACAGCCAAGCGGGGGCCACUUAGAGAUGCGGAUUGCUACUGGGACUACGGGAAAGCAUGUUGUGCUUGGCAAGAAUACUGUGAAUACAGGUUUUCACUCUCCUUUUCCAUCCAAAAGUUCAUAUUUCAUAUUUAUUAUCCUAAAAUCUCUAACUUUAAAUAUUGUGAAACCGAAUGCAGAUACAGUUUUGGGGAUGUUCACUUAGGACAAAGUUGUAGAUUGAGGAACACGUCUGCUAAUAUGCUGCUCCAGUACAUAUAGAUCAUCUCCUCGUUCAGGUCACAACAAUUCCUUCCUCUUAAUUUUUCCCUCCCAGUAAGAGGAGAAAAAAAACUUUAAACGUUGAACUCUUAUUGGUCUCUCUCUAUAUCUACAUUUUCGCCUUCUCACGCAAAGGUAUUCUUUUGUGAUUUGUAGCUAGAGUGCAGUUACUUUGAAUUUUACGGCUAAACCCAUAUUAAAAUGGUAUUUUUGUUAAUUACACCUGCUAAGGUACUAAAACCCAUUUACUCAAGCUUUCUGUGUUCACAAAAAUGUUUGAAGUUUAGUUGCAUUUGAAUUCUAAGUGUUUGGUUGUUUCAAAUGCUUUGAGCUGGCAGUCAAUUAUAAACACACUUUUAUAUAUCACCAGUGAAUUAUUACUAGAUAUGUAAAGACUCUUUUUUUUUUCACAGAAAAUUCAUAUGAUUCAUUCAACGUUCAAAUCAACAUUUACAAUCCCAGAUAGCUACAAGACUACAACUAUUGAAAACUUCUAUUGACACCUGAAACAGACUACAAGAUCUCCCAAAAACAAGACAUCUUACACACUACCACCCCAAAAAAUGAUUAGAGACCACAACUUUCAUUAGCAAAGAAAUCAGAAAGCCAGUUUGGAUGACUCCUAGCCACAUAGGAUUGCAUCCUAUUCUGCUUGGUAACGCUUUGAGCUAUGAAAGUUGCCCCUCCAUUUUGAUCUCUAGUAAUCACCUGCCACCGUACAUCUUCAAUACCUCUAGCUUUCGAUUCAAUUUCUCCCGCUUGGAAUAAGAAAGAAGGCCAAGCUUGAGGAUGGUUAACUGCUCCAAACAAUUCUUCCAUUUCCCCUGCAAACAUAACUUUAUUGAAUCUCAUACUUCGCAUACUCUCAACUGCCCAUAAUACUACUUGUAACUUCGCCUGAUCUUUAGAAGUGAUAUCAGAGAAGGUCCUUCUACCAUGGCAGACCACAACACCUCGACCAUUCUUUAAUACCCAGGCAGCACCCAUUAAGCUUCUAACUUUACACCAGUCAAAUGCAAAAUUGCACAUCAGCCACUCCUCAGGGGGAGAAACCCAUUUCUUCUUAUUGUUGACUCUUAUCUCAAUCCCUGCCUGUUGAAAAUCCUUAUCCACCACUUGGGCCAAACUCCAUUCCUCUUCAUCCUGUUUCGCUUUGUUAAAAACUUCCAUUGAACUAAAUCUUGUACCUUCAAACAACAAAGCAUUUCUUGUCUUCCAAAUAGUCCACAUGAUCCAAAGCCACAGACUUCACAUAUCCGAGAAGCCACAUCUCAGUUUCUUCAAUUUCAAGAGAUAAUUAAAGUUGACAUAGAUUGAAGACUGAUGAAACCCAUUUUCAGGGUUCGGAAUCCCGGAAAGUGCCCAUAUUUGCUUUGCAUACGUGCAAUCAAACAUCAGAUGAUUGAUGGAUUCCUCCACGAAACCACAAAUCUGACAUAGAUCGUCCACUUUUAAUCCUCUGGCCUUAAUCAAUUCUGCAACGGGUAAAGCUUCGCUUAGCAUCUUCUAUAAGAAAAUCUUAAGUUUUAGAGAUGUAUGCAACGCCCAAACUUUCUCCUUGAUAGGAUUGAUUGAAGGCAAACAUACCACAUCUCUCAGCCUAUUACUUGUUUUCAACGAAGAGGUUAACCAGUAAGCAGAUUUAACCGAGAUUAGGCCACUUUUGUUGUAUUUCCAAACGAAGAAAUCUUCUCGAGAAACCACCGGUUGAUUCCGAUUGAUUAUCUCCACGUCUCCUGGAACAAAGUUAUCAUUCAGAGCACCAUAAUUUCACCUUCUCGAAUCAUGAUCAAUGAGAGCGUCGGCUGACAGAUUAACAUUAAAAUAGUAGUUCUUUCUCCAUGGUGCUCUAAGCCCUUCUAUGGGAUCAUCAAUCCAUUUGUCAGUCCAUACUUUAAUAUUUAUGCCAUUUCCAAUUAAACCUUGCUGGAGCAAUUCUCUCCCAUACAGUAAACUUCUCCACGCAAAGGAUGGGCGCUCAUCUAAUGGAGCAGAUAAGAAAUUUCCAUCCGGAAAGUAUCUACUGGACAAGAAUUUUGACAACAAGACCGAAGGUCUACUAAGGAUACUUAAGGCUUUUUUCGCCAGCAAAACUUGGUUGAAGCAUUCUAGAUCUCUGAAACCAGAUAUGUAAAGAUUCAUGAUCCUUUUUAUUUAUAGAAAUAGAUACAUUUAUAAAUAUUUAUAUUUAUAAUUAUAAAAUAGGUGUUAAAGUGUUACUUUUUAAGGUUUUACGUUUUUGAUAAAAGAAAUUGGGAGAGAGAAGGAACAAAGCAUAAUUAGGUGGGAGAAUUAAAGUUGAUCAGUGGUUUGAUGGUUUGGUUGAACAUGAGUUUUGAGCUUUUCUACGAGAGUUCAUACUUUAUUUAUAUAUAUCGAAAUUAAAUGUUUAGUCAAUUUUAUGGUCCCUCUCAAAUUUGCUACCUUUUAUUAAAUUGUAGACAUGCAUUAUUUUCGUGGUGUUUUUUAUAUAUAUUUUUUGGUCUUAAGGUUGGCAUUAUUCUCUCAGUCAGUUGGAUGAAAGGUGGCAAACUUAAUGCCUAACUAUCCAAAACCCAAACAGAUUGCAUACUCUCACGUCUAUCAAAUCUCUGUUUAAGCUCUUUGUUAGCUAUGCAAUAAUUAUAGAUUAUAGUUUAUAUGAAAUUUGAGCUACCUAUAUGUAUUUGCCUCCAUUUUCAUCAUUAUGUUACCAGUUUUUUAGUUAACAUAUAAUCAAAUUUCUUCAAAUAGAUGUUAAAUACCGAACUUUAUAACUAUAAAUUUGAUUGUGACAAAAAAAUAAUAUGAGAACUUAUUUCAUAUAUAAAUUUAGAUUUUACUUUUAAACUUUUAUAUAUUUAGCUUUGCACUAUAAUAUCUAUAUAUAUAUAUAUAUAUGAUUACUACAUCCUACUUGUCAAUUGAUUGAGGUCGGGCCUUACAGUUAUUAUUGUCUAUUAUAUGAUUUUUUGGUGGAUAACAGUAUGAAUUUUUCUAUAACAAGAUAAAUCCUAAAACGAAACUCAAACCAAUUACAAAAUAUAUAAAUAAAUCAGAUUUUACAGUCAUUAAGGUGUUGGUUAAGUUUUGUAUUGAGUUGAUCAUUUCUUGAAUUUGUUAGUGUAGGUGAUGAUUAAUAAAUGAAUGAAAACGUAAACCAGGAAAAAGUCACAACUGAAUCAAUAUUCUUUCUCCUGUUAUAUUUAGCGUGUGUGCGCGCCUCUUCAUUUACAUAUAACCACAAAUAGAAAGGGUUAAUUUUGACACUAAAGAAAUUAAUUGUAUUGUAAUGAUCUUGUGCCUACACGCAACAAAGUUGCAAGGCUUGUGGAAUAAAGUAUAGUAAAAGAUAAUGUAUAAACGUGUUCUAAUCAAAAUAUAAUUUUUUGAAUAGAAUUUAUUCUUGAUCAAACCGCAUUACGAAGUAACAGACUCGUUAAAAAAUGAAAUAUGUAUAAAUAAUCGCAUUGUCAAUUUAAAUGAUAGUCAUCUAUACUAUUAUCUGCGAAGUAAGUUUUUGGAAUCGAACUCUCACUUAGAAUAUUUAAUAUCGUUUAUACCCUUAAUAAAUAAAAUGUAUAACUAAAUUAAAAAAUAAAAACGAAAUUUUAAUUUAUUUGAUUAGAUAAUUGAUUAAAAUUAAUAAUAGUAAGAAUUAUCCAAAAUCUAAAAAUAUAAUUUUAAAAAGAGAUAAUUUAUAUAUAUAUAUAUAUAUUGUAUUGUUAUCUGAAAAAGUCUUUUAGUAAACAGUUAAAAACAUGAAUUAUAUAACUAAAUAUUAAUCAAAUAAAAUUUUUAAUUAUAUAAUUAAAAAUAAAAUAUUGAAUUAACCAAAAUCUAAAAAUAUAAUUAAAAAGAAAGAUAAUUUAUAUAUAUAUAUAUUAUAUUCUUAUCUGAAAAAAUAUUUUAGUAAAAAGUUAAAAACAUAAAUUAUAUCUAUACUAUUAUUUGCGAAGUAAAUUUUUGGAAUCGUGCUCUCACGUUAAAAGUUAGAGUGGUUAAUAUCGUUUAUAUCCUUAAUGAAUAAAAUGUAUAACUAAAUUAAAAAAUAAAAACGAAAUUUUAAUUGAUUUAAUUAUAUAAUUGAAUAAAAUUAAUAAUAGUAAGAAUUAUCCAACAUCUGAAAAUAUAAUUUUAAAAAGAGUUAAUUUCUGUAUAUAUUGUAUUGUUAUCUAAAGGUCUUUUAGUAAAAAUUUAAAAACAUGAAUAAUAUAACUAAAUACUAAUCAAAUAAAAUUCUUACUUACAUAAUUAAAAAUAGAAUAUUGAAUUAUUAAUAAUAGUUAGAAUUAUCCAAAAUCUGAAAAUAUAAUUUUUAAAAGAGAUAAUUUAUGUAUAUAUUGUAUUGUUAUCUGAAAAAGUAUUUUAGUAAAAAGUUAAAACAUGAAUUAUAUAACUAAAUACUUAUCAAAUAAAAUUCUUAAUUAUAUAAUUAAAAAUAGAAUAUUGAAUUAUCCAAAAUCUAAAAAUAUAAUUAAAAAAGAUAAUUUCUAUAUAUAUAUAUAUAUAUAUUUUUUUUAUUGUAUCUGAAAAGGUAUUUUAGUAAAAAGUUAAAACAUACAUUAUAUAAUUAAAUAUUAAUCAAAUAAUAUUUUUCAAUUAUAUAAUUAAAAAUAUAAUACUAAGUUAUUUGAAGAUUUAUUUUAGUAUAAUAAAUAUAGUGUACAAAGAACUUUUCAAAAAUUAUGAAAAUGUUUAAGCCCGCAUCGCGGGCAAAAUACCUAGUAAUUAAAUAUUAAUCAAAUAAUUUUUUUAUUAAAAUUAUGAAUAUUGUGUACAAAUAACUUUUCAAAAAUUAUGAAAAUGUCUAAGCCCGCUAUGCGGACAAAACACCUAGUUAGACUUUAUACAUAUCGCACAGUGACUAGAAUUGCUCAAAUUACUAAAAAAAACUUAAUUUUUGGAAAAUAAAAGUAGUGGUUUGUUGCCUAAAUAUGAAAAAGAAGAUAUUCAUAUCAUAAUCAUAUUAGAAUUUAUCUGAAGACAGAUUAGAAUAUAAAUUGAUAUCUAAAAGCCAUCUUUUAUGAUUUUACAAAGAUUGGAUACCGAGUCCUGUAAUUUAGAUAUUUAUCACUUACUUCUAUAAGCUUUAUGCCAAAAAAGCCAGUUUUUUCGAUAAAUAUGAUUCCUUAUAAUUCUACAAUUAUGAAAAAAGGAUAAUUCAGUCAAUUCCUCUUUGAUGGUAACCCAAAAUUGAAGAAACGGUAGAGGAAAAAAGGGUAAUCUAGUCAAUUCAGGUUGAGUGGCACUUUAGUGAUUUCCUAGAACGUCAAGGGGAAUCUAAGCCCCCCGCCUCUAUAAAUUGUCAUAAUCUACCCAUUCCCGUGACCUUUCUGUUAUCCCUUCUUAUUCUUUCUCUCAAUCUAUUUUCCUUUCUCCUUCUCUCUCUAGACGCUCCGAUUAUUUUCUCGACAAAAAAAAUUAAAAAUCCAUAUUUUUUUUUCCUUUUUUCACCCGAAUAUUUUGAUUUUACUGUUUUACGGCAGUUAAACUUUUUUCUUGUGUUGGGUGCUGACGUGGCAUGCAUUCAAUAGAGAAGCACCAUGAACACCAAAACGAUGCGUUUACCCCCACGUCGCGUUCUAACGACCGAAAAGCGCAAAGAAAGAGACGGCGUUAUCUCCUCCGUCGUGAAGCCGCCGGAAUCCACCGUGACGAAGUUUCCUCCACCGCCGAAUCUUGCUCCUCCGACGGUUAAUUCCAUUUCCAAGAAAGCUCUAAUCGCAGCCGAGCCGGUCGGCUCGAACCAGCUAAUGUUAGCCGGUUACUUGAGUCACGAGUUUCUCACCAACGGCACACUCUUCGGGGAGCAAUGGAAUCCGGCUCGAGCCCAAGCCGGUCCACCCGAGCCAAAGAAGGUAAAGCCGAACCAUGCAGUUGAGCCGGUUGAGGAAAGUGAGCCGAAACGGAAGCGGUACAUGGAAGUCGCUAAUGUCCUCAGGUCAGAUGGGGCCCACAUGCCCGGCAUCGUCAAUCCUGCCCAGCUUGCCCGAUUCCUCAAACUGUGAUCGGCGUAAUCCGGCGUACACGUGGAGGCAGAUCAUUGGUCCGUCGCCCAGCAAGCAAGACAGCCCUAAAACCAGAAUCCGCCGCUCCUCUCUCUCUCUCUCUCUCUCUCUCUCUAUCCUUUUUUGUUUUGUUUUCAAAUCUUCUCGUAUGUAAAGCGCUGACUCUCUCUCAUCGUCUUCUUCCUCGAAAUCGAUCGAGAAAGUCUAGAGUUUGUUGUGAGGUAGAUUGUUCAUGUUCUUGUACAUAAAAAAAAAAUAUCAAUUAGACAAUCCAUUAUAUCUUGAAAUCAGAAAACUUUAAUCCGUUUGUGUUGAUUUGAUUGUAUGUAACUGAAUCCUUGAUCAUUCUAAAAUUUUGAUUAAUUUACAUAAUUGUAUCGAUAGAUCUUAGAUUCGAAUUCUUAGUGCGAUCCGAGAUGAACUGAUGAUAGAAAUUUGAAAUUUAAAAACAUUUUUUCUCAAUCUUGCUUCUUCUUCAUCAUCAACUCAGCUAAUCUCUUCGAUAUGCAGUAAGCAGUACUCUGAAUCGUGACCAUAGGAUUAACACCAAGAGCCGUAGGCAAAACACUCGCAUCACACACAUACAAACCCUCCGCCUCCCAGCUCUCUCCGUAUCCAUCAACAGCUCCUUCCUCCUCCGUCGCGCCCAUACGGCAACACCCCAUCUGAUGCGCCGUGAACGAAUGAGUCCACCGCCUACUCAUCGACACAACUCCAGCCGGCGCAUCCACCGUCUCCAAAAACUUCUCCAGAUCCUCCUCCUUGACUCCACCGCACUUCAACCUCUGCCCAUCGCUCCUAUACGUCCCCACCUCCUCCGCUCCCGCAGCCACCAAGAUCCGUAACGCUCGUCUCAACCCCGUCGUCAGAUUCUCUUCAUCCGCUUUCGUUAAUUUGUAUUUAACAAUCCCUCCCUUCACUUCCCCGACGCCUUCGUCUCUAACCAUUACGAAGAUGUGAGACGUUCUUGCGUAUUUUGCUAAUCUCACCUUCGUGUCUUUCCCAGAGACCCACGGGAUGAGAGCCGCGAAGGUCCCUGGACCUAACGCUGGAGUUUCCAGCGUUAUGUUUGGGGUUGUAGAGUCUAUUUCGAAUACGUAGUGUAACGAAGUCAUGAUCUCUCCCUCGUGAGCUGCUCCGUUGAAGUUCGAGUUUUUCUCAGGGAAGUAGCCCCACGCCAUUAGUAUAGGGUGGAUGUGGAGACCCCGACCGAUGUUAUGAUUCUUCAACCCGCUUGAAGAUAACAGCCCCGGUGUCAUUAGUGAGCCGCAAGCUACAACUGUUACUUUAGCAUUGAUCUCAAUCUUAUUUAUUGUUGUGUUUGAUAUUGAAACUGUGACUCCCAAGCAUCUUUUUUUUCUUCGUCCACUCUCUGUAUCAGCAAAGAUCAGCUUCUCGGCCCUGCACUGUGUUAGGAUAACAGCAUUGUUGUCAACUGCAUCAACUAACCAUGUUAUAUCCGUUCCUCUCUUAUCACCAGUUUUGCAACCGAACGAGCAGCUGCCGCAGUAAUGCUCCUCUGACGAGUUCCUCGGCACUACAGUCACAUCCAGCCCGAGCUUCUCGCAGCCUUUACGCAGUAUCUGGUUCUGAAAACCUUCUCUGAUGACUCUCUCAGUGACGCAUAUUCUCUUGCAAACACUUUCCAUAGCAGCUGUGUAUCCCUCUCUAGCGAAUGUUGCGAUCCCUCUAUCAACUGACCAUUCUUCGAUGAUCGCGUCAGGUGUUUUCAACGAAGCCGCCCAGUUUACAACCGACCCGCCGCCGAGAGUUGACCCCGCCAUGAACCUGAACCUCCCGUCGUGCGUCAUCAGCAACCCGUUGGCUUCGAACAUCUCGAACAUGGAAGGGCCUUCGAGUGUUGAGUAGUCUUGCGGCACGAAGUAGUUCCCUUUCUCGACGACUAUUACCUUAAGGCCUGACUUCGCUAGGUUCGCUGCUGCGACUCCUCCUCCGCAGCCGGAGCCUAUUACCACUGCGUCGCACUCGAUCUUGAAAGUGUUGCUUUCUUUGUCCUCUUUGAGUUUAAGUCCUUUGUUGAUCAUGAGUUGCUUGAUGGUUGCCUCGUCUUCUUUUGCGGUCUCGAUGAUCCCUUUCUCUAGAGGCCUUUGCUUGCGUUUAAUGUCCUCGUUUUCACCUAUGUCCACCUUGUAGCCAAUUGCAUCCCAUGCCGGGUUCUCUGUAUUUUCAUUUGUCUGUUCAUGUGUAUUGAGUUAGUUUAUUAUACCAUGUUAUUGAAUAGAACAACACAUCAUCAUAACCAAACCAAUACACUUGAAUUUAAAGUAUAUUAUUCAGAUGAUUCAUGAUGUGGAUUAGAAACAAAACCAUGUUGUUGAAUAGAACAACAUAUCAUGAUCACCAAACCAAUAGAGACAAAUUUUAGUGUAGUUUUCAGAUGAUUCAUGUUUAUGUUCUUACUAACUUACCCAAGUGAAGUAGUAGAACAAGAAGAUGGCUUUGAUCAUCAUAAAAGCAAUUCUUGCUAGAGGGUUGUACCACUGUUUGUUCCAUUUCUGGAGAACUUUUUCUCUCUUCUCAAGCGAGAUGUCAGAGAAUUUGAGAAGAAGAAAAGACCAAUUCUUUUUAUCAAGACAGACAAACCCACAUAGCAACAAAGUUCCCAAUCUGAAGGUGAGUAAUCUCAAAACUAUUCUCACCACUGUAACUGUCACUGGCAUUGCCUUUGUCGCCAUUACCUCUGCUACCUGUUUUAUCAAUACAUUGAAGUUAAGUGGAGUAGUUAAGAUGCAUUGUUUUCAAUAUAUUCACUGUCCAUCAUCUUUACUUCAGUAGGUUCCUGGUUCUUGUUCAAAAUAUUUGCUAGAUAGAGAAACAGUUAAACAAGAAAAAGAACCUCAUCAGGUCUGACAUGAGAGCCAGAAGACUUGAAGAAAGAUAAGAGGGCAUCGUUGCGUAAGACUUUCAGCUUCAUGUCAAGAUCUAAGCUCAGUAACGGAACAGGAGGCAUGAUAGCCUCGCAAAUGGCAGAGAGAGCUUGGAGGUCAGAUUGUGAGAAGCCAUGGCUAAAGGUUUCUUGUUUCGUACUCCAUCUCAGCAACGGGUGCCCUCUCUUCUUGCCUCUUGUUCCUCCUACCAUCUCUCUGUUUUCUGCAUUCAUAUUUCAAGUUAUUUAUCUCUCUUCUUCCUGCUUUACACAUACAUAUAUAGACAUGCAUGGAGCCUUGUGGUUCUGUUAAAAUAAAAAUUCUUCUUUUUGAUUCUCUACAGAAACGUUGUCGCGAAGUCGAAGGCGGUUUCUUAAGUGUUGGGUAAUCAGAACGAAGAAGGAAAAAAAAAGAAACGAAGAAAGAGUUUGUUUCUUUUUUGAGUUUUUAGAUUUAUAUGUUUGUCGUUUGCGUCUGUGUUGCACUGUAAAGAAAAAGAAAUCACAAUGACGCAAUAAAUUUAUGUAUUAUGGUAUUUACGUAUAAUAUAUGAAUACGUAUGUGUCUCUUCAGGUGUGUGAUACAACAGGGGUCCACGUGACAACUGCUACAUUGUACAUAUGUCACAGGUGUUUUCUUAGAAAGUGACCAAAGCUUGUGAUCCUCCAUUAACAUAUGUGGCCAAUACAAAAAAAAAAAAAAUUUCUGUCAUACAGUGUUCUUUUGUUUCAGGUGUGAAGAAUUAUUGUAGAACCAUAUAAAAUCAUUACUUUAAUAUUUCACUUUAGAUCUUAUUAACGGUGUAGAGCAGAUGAUGAGAUAAAAUACAUCCCGAUUAAUCUUUUGUUCUUAGAGUACGAUAAUCAUACAGCAAUUUUGAAAUCACUGACAAUACAAGCCUUUUUUCAAAAAAAAAAAAAAAUCACUGACAAUACGAAUAUUUGUGCUGGACUGGUACUGACACGUCCUAUAAACUUUCAGUACUUAAACCAGAAUUUAGAGUACAAUAGUUUGUAGUUAAAUCAUAAUUUAUACAACAUUAGUUGCUUAUGUGUUAUGUAUGUCUAUGUCUACCUCUGUUAUGCUCUUUGCUCAGCUUUUGUUGUACUUGUUGUACCUGUUGGUAUUGCCAUGUUGGCUUUGUUCUCAUGUACUUUGAACAUCUUCUCCUGGAGACUAAGAAUCAAUAAAAGUGUGUGGUUUGAUCAUAGUUAUAUAAGUCGAAAUCCACGUACAUAUUGUUAAUUGUUUUCCAACUUUAACUGCCACCUUUAACUGUUACCUCUUUUCUUUUCUUGCGUCAUGGCUUACAUCAAUUUAGAUUCAGAUUUUUUGUUUAUUUCUGAUAUCACGAUAUGUAUAGUAUAGUGUUCUUUCAAGAAAUGUAGCCUGGCCCUAGUGUUUUUGCGAAUUUUACCUUCAACAUUCAGGCAUUUUUUUUAAUCGUUUCUAGUUUCUAGAUUAUUAAAUUUGAGUGGCUCGUCCCUAAACAGAACAAUCUAAAUAUGAAGUCAUAUUUUAUUUUUAUCAAUUAUUAGCCAAUAAUUGAUUUGUUUUUAUUGACAGCUGCUGAUUCUCUUUACAGUUUUACCAAAUUAAGAUUGCAAUACAGAACGAACAAUAAAAUUAGCUUCAUAAGUUUAAAUACAUUUCCAACAAAAUGUCGUUCACUGAAUUAGUUUCUAUUUGGUUGUUUUAUCACCUUCACGUUAUUAUUACAAUAUCUGGAAACCAGAAAAUUAGCUCUUAACAUUCUCCUCUCCCUUCUUUUUUUCUUUGUUAAUAACUGAGUAUCUUGAUUCAACAUUUUAUUUGGGAGCACAAAAAGUAUAGGCCAUAGAGUUUGAAAUCAAAAUGCUUUCAAAGAAAUCUAAAACAAUCGCUCUUAAUCGAGUCGAAAAGAAUAAUCACAUUUCUUUUCGAUUUUGAUUUCUCUCAUUCUAGUAUUCAGAAAAAAGAAGAAAAAGAAUAAGCAUACAAAUAGCUUUUUCAUCAUUCUUUUUCUUAGGAACUGUUUUGAUUUGGUUUGGCAAUUUGUUUAUGUCAAACUACAAAAUGAAGGGUCUCUUCAAGGGUCUUAGAUACAUUUCUCAAAUCUUCGGUGAGUUAUUUUUCUUUUUAUGUGAAUAUAUAUAUAUACUAUCUUCUCAGAAAUGUAUCUUUGUAAUAUACUUUUUGAAAUGAUUAGUAUAUUAAGCUUUGUGAAAUUGCAAAAUGCAGAAAACGAGAAAGAGCCAGAGAUGCAAAUUGGAACACCUACAGAUGUAAAACAUGUUGCUCACAUUGGUUGGGAUGGAGGAUCUCCCAAUCAAAACUCACCGAGCUGGGUAUUUACACAUUAUUUUUUUUCCUCUAUAUUUUCAAUAAAUUUUGGUAUAACAACGUAUAGUAUCAUAAUAAAAUAUAUAUAAAUUAAAUAUAGAUGAAUGAUUUCAAUGCAUCCGGUGGAUAUUCAUCGUCGCCUCUAGGAAAUAUCAAGGAGGAUGGCUCUUGCAUUUCUGAAGGUAAAUCUAAUUAUAUCUACUUGUAAUUCAUUUUAAUAAAUAUGCUGAAUAUUUUGUAAGAACAUUUUAACGUGAAGAUGUUAACGUACAUGCAGAUUCAACUCGAUCACGUGAUAUACCAAGAUAUCCAAAAUCGUCGAGAGACCGUUCGAACAAUUUGGAAUCACCAGCAAAAGAACGAACACGACGUGGUUCUUCGAACUCUAGUGGAAAUCCAAAAACUUCACGAAGAUCAAAAGAAUCUUCAAGUAUAUCUCAAGAUGGUUCUGUAAGAUCUCGUCGUAAAAAGUCUAAAGAUUCCGUGAACGGUGGAUCUACACGAUCGUCGCGGAGAGCACGUGAUUCUCAGACAGAAUCUAUAAGUGGUUCAAUGUCUGAUGGAGAAUCAUUGAUAUCACUCUCCUUUGAAGAUCUUUAAGGACACGUAAUGUAAAAGUGUGGUCUCAAAAUAUCAUAUACAGCUUUGGUUGGUUACUAGAGGACAUUCAAGCUUGCAUGGGGUUUUCGGAUUUUGUAGAGAAAAAAUAUGAUUUGUCAUUAUAUAAUCAACCGAGGUGAUCAACUGAGUCCGGAUGUGGAUUUCUGUUGAGUUAUUAUUAUCACUAAUUUCACAAAGAUAUAAAUAUAUAAUCAUGCUCAAUUGCUCAUGAUGUUUUAGAACAAAGUUUACGCUAUUUAAAAGGUUUACUUUUGGUUUUUAAUAAUUUAAAUUUUAAAUAUUCGUGUAGUUAAAGUCUUUAAAAGAUGAUGAACUAGAGAAUACAUUGUCAACUGGCAUUUUAAAAUAAGUUUUAACCUGCCUUCAUGCGAAUUUAUUCCAAAACCAACCGGACCGGCUAAAUAAACAGAGUGCUAAUGUGGCGUUUCCUCCAUGGUUUAUAAUUUCGACUAAUUUAUGAGAUGGAUGGCUGAUAUUUGCAAAACAGAGGAUGUAAAAUAAAAUCUCAGCUCAGAAGAGAUAGCAAGCUCCACCUAAAGGUGUUCUAUUGUUGAUUAGCUCCUGAAUCCAUUUUUCCUUGCUUAUAUUCUUAUCAGCAUGAUUUAUAACUGUUCCAUUGUUCGUUUUACCAUAACAACAGUUUGCUGAAACAAUUGCAACAAACUGAACUAUUCAAAAAUACUUUCUGUAGUCCUGAGGGUUAACUCGCGAGGCUAAAGUAAACUCCACAAAACAAGUAGUAAGGAUCACUUAAAAUUAGUUUCCUAUGGUUUUGGUACAGGUCUUGCAUCUAGGACAAAAACUGAAGAUGCUAAAACGAUGCCAGAAGCCUAAAGAAGACGAAGACCUCUCUGCUCCUGCCUAAUUCACACUAAUCACUCCCAUUUUUUCUGAACAACCAAUCAAAAUAUUAUGGUCCACAACAAUAUCCACUACUACAUCCCUGAGAAAUUAAAGGUAAGAACUAUAGAUAUCACUAACUAUAUAACCAUCACGUUACUAUAUCGAUUACAUAUUAUUUAUAUAGUAACCAAGUCCAUAUGUUUUAUUUACAUACAAAAGCCAUACUACAUCAAAUCAUUAUUUCACCACUUACCAAAAGACAUUAAUUAAAUAACUCUCUUUACCAUUCCAAGGAGUGGCUCCUGCUUAACGACCUCGACGACGACGAAGAUGGUUUUCGUUUCUCAUCGUCAACAGGAAUCAACUGCUCCAUAAGGUUCUUGUAUCUCUCUCUGGUCUUCUCUUCGAUCUCCUUCAAAAGCUGCUCGUUCUCUCGCUCUAGCUUCGCAGCUAAAGUCUCAAGCUCCACUUGAUACGCCUGCUUCCUCUCUCUCGACCUAGCGGCUGACUCGCGGUUCUUGAUCAUCCUCUUCUGUCUCUGCGCCGCUGCUUUGUCCAUCGCCUCCACCAUCACUCUCCCUCUCUUUCUCCUCGUCGAUCCUUCAACCAUCUCAACUUGAUUGUUCUGCUGAGGCAUCAUCGGAUAAUCGAAUGUACCGGAGAGACUCAUCGGAAUCUUCACAUCGAUUUCAUCAUCAUUACCGUCCAUCUCCGCUGCUUGCGCUAAGAAGUCUUCAAGCGUCAUCAUAUACUCAUCUUGCGCCUCCUCCUUCAUGACCGUCUUCUUCUCUCCCGACACAAUCUCUUUCCAGACGUCGUCCACACUCUUCCUCCCUCCUCCGUUAACACUGUUCCUGUCUCCGUUGCUCCGAUCAACAUCCAACGAAUCAGACGCGAAAUUGUAAUCGUGAAGCGUCGCGUCGUUCCCUCCUCCGUAGCCGAAACUGAUCCUGGAGUGAUCGGCGUGAGGAUCUCGUCUGAGAUGGUUGGAUCUUACGGUGGGAGAAGACGAGGCGGAGGAGGAGUUACGGCGAGAGAGAUCGGAGUUUCGGGAUGUGGAAGAAGACAUCAUCUUAAAGGAUGCCAUCUCUGUCUCGAUAGAAAACUGCGAAACAAUCGGAGUUUGGUUGUGGAAAGUGGAUUUUUUUUUCGGACAAGGAAGAGAAGAGAUCAUCAAGUGGAGAGAUCUUUCUAGGGUUAUGUUUUGUUUUUUUUUAUCUCGUGAUGUGUAACACGCGCGUUAAAUUAAUACAUUAUAACCAACCACGCGUGCAUAAUCGCGUGAGCUAUACAAAUGUUUUUUUUAAUGUAACGUGUGGCGACAAAAAUUUGCUUACCUGUAGAUAAGUAACAAAGCCACUAGACACAGAUCAAAGUACAUUGGAGUAGGCGGAUUUUAAUUUGUGUAAUAAAUAUUUUAAUACUAGAAACUUUUAUAGGAACAGCCCAAAAAGCCCACCUCGUAGUUAAAAUCAAACCAGAACUCCAAAUCAAACUCUCAAUUUUCACUAUAGGCCCAAUCCAACUAUAUAAGGCCGGCGGAUUUCUAUUUUGGGUAUUGGGUAGUUUGGAUCAGGAACUAGAGGAUCCAUUUAUCUAUUUUCGUCAUUUUUUGGUUUAGGUUCUAUAUGGAUAGUUUCGAGUUCCGUUCAGUUUAAAUAGUAAAACUUGAAACUGGAAACCCGAAAAAAUAUAGUUCUCAUUUGGCUCUAGCUCUGGUUCAGUUAGUUUGGAUAGUUUAGAUAAUUCGAAUUUUUUUUUUUUUUUUUUUAACUCAACAUCAACUUUUCAAUUCACCAACAAGGAUACAACUGAUUAUGACCUCAACAGACUUAAACCAAAUACUUUGAAGCUAUCUAGUAUUGCCCUAAGUCACUUGAUUGGACCUAACGCUACUUGAUCAAGCAAUCAAAGUAUUUUUUCGACCACACUGAGAUUGACUUCACUCCAAGACUCGAAGUGAAUCAACUCUUUGACCCCUAAAAUUAGACCUCUAGACACGACAGUACUUACUAACACAGUGGCAACAAACCUAAAUCGGCAAACAAUACAACUCAAGCUAAUGGGCCCUAAUGAUAAGCGUGACGUUCUUGGCCCAACAGCAAACUCCGCCGAAGGCGCACACCGAGAAGGACUCACUACCACCGGCUUUCACUACUCCGUUCCUCAGCCACAAAACGAACACGAAGUCCGACUGAAAGUGCGGGUUCGGAAAUGGACACGAACCGGUUUAACAGAUUCAGAAGUGUGGAGCUCGAACCGCCGGGAUGAGACCGAAGUCACUUUCCGGACGCUGGGAUGUCGACCUCCGCCACACACCGCUGCUAGGUUGACUUCUCCGGUUGACCACUCCAUCGUCGUCGCCCUUGAUGCAUGUUGUCACCGAGAACCAGUAGACAAACCUCUGUACACAAAUCGUCGGUCCUCUCCUCUGUUUUGCUCACCGCUCCGUGGGACCAGAGAACUAAGGUGGAGGAGGCGUCUUGCCAAGCCCACGCGCCAAGACCGAGAUGGAUUCGCCGUAGAUCUGAAAUUGGAAAACUAGAUCUGGCAAACCCAAACCCUAAAAGCCGACUCCCUCCCCUUCUACCGUUCGACGAGCCUCGCCGCUACUCCAAGGAUAGCCUGAGCCUUACGGCGUCGUCCACCCAAAGUGGAUCUCCGACUUGACCCGACAAAACCAGAGUCGCAAGCAUAUCGGCAAGGGAAGAGGCUUCGAGGGAGAGAGCAAAAGGAAAAAGAGAGAUAAGGGGAAGAGGAGAACCUCCGGCGCCGGAGAAGCCGGGCCGGAGUUAGGGAUUCUUUACGAUUUAAGAGAGAGGCGAGAGCUUUUGGGUUCUAGAGAGAGGUUUUUUAAUGAUAAUUCGAAUUAAAUAUUAAAUAUUUAAGAUGAAAUAUUAAAUAAUUAGGAUAAUUAGAAUAAUUAUUUUGGAUAUUUAGAAUAAAAAUAUCCGGAUAAUUUUGGGUAGUUUAAAUUUUUAUACUAAUUUAGUUUUUUUUUUUUAAAUAUUUUUGGAUACCUUUAACAUAUUCAAAAAAUAUAAAUACACAUUUAGUUAUAUUAUAUAUAUACAAUUAUUUUUUUCUUAUUCAAGUGGUCCAGUUGGGUUCGACGAUUUUGUACAUAGAAAUAUAUGAGAGUGGUCUUUUUUUUUUGAUCACAAUAUGAGAGUGGUCUGGUUCGGUUUUUUUGGGUCCGUGAGACUCUGGAAAAGUCAGAGAUUAUGAGGUGUCCCAGAGAAAAACAGCUCAGGCCUUAGAGGCCCAAUUAAAUGUUGGGCUUAAAUGGCGAAGGACAGGAGAUAACUUUCCCGGCGGUGUUAAAUGUAACACCAAACCGAGUAUAUAUAAGAGAAGAAUAAAACGUAAUCAGAUAAGGAAAUAUAAAUUUGGUGCGAUCAGAUAGAAGAUCCUUUUUGACACGUCGAAGCGAAGCCAAAGUCUCCUCCGCGUUUGUGGAGCUUUCAGACCAGACCACCCUUCGAGAACAACAAUUCCCUGUUUCUCUGGAGAUUUUUUAAAAAAAAAUACAGAGGAACGAAAACAUGAACAUCUUCUCCAAGAAACCUAAUCCCAGAGGUUCGAUUUCUCAAUUUUAUAAAUUAGGUUUCAUGUUUAUCCGAUUGAUUGAAACCUAAAUGGAAUUUGAUAUCGUCUGGGUUUGUUAAAAGCUGUUGACUUUUUUAUCUGAUGGCGUGAUCGUGAUCGUAUGUUGGAAACUGGAUUUGGUUUCGUCUGAGAUCGAGAAUCCUGUUUAUGAAACGACAUUAAUGGAAUCUGAAUGUGUUGUUGUUGUUUUUUUGGUGAAUUGGAUGCAGAAGUGCUUAGGGAGAGUAAGAGAGAGAUGACUCAAGCUACUAGAGGUAUUGUCUUGUCUUUAUAUCAAUAGCUUGUGUUACAUAUAUUCGUCUCAAACUGAUGAAAGUUUUUUUGUUUCGUGUUGUCUCCUCCUUCAGGAAUCGAAAAGGAAAUCUCAUCUCUGCAAUCAGAAGUAAUAAUGUUUUUUUAACAUUCAGUUUUUCUUUUUUUCUUUUCAAAGUACAAACAACUCUGACAUAAUGUGUCUUUAAAACAGGAGAAAAAGCUCGUUCUUGAGAUUAAAAGAACUGCUAAAACAGGGAAUGAGGUAGAGUUUCCUCCCAACCAUUCCUUCUCUGUUAAUAGCACCAUGUUUUGAUGUGUGUUCUUCUACAUCCUUUUGUUUUUUUUUUUUAAUGUAGGGAGCGACUAAGAUUCUUGCCAGGCAGCUGAUCCGGCUAAGGCAGCAAAUAGCUAACUUGCAAGGUAGCCGAGCUCAAAUGCGAGGCAUUGCUACUCAUACACAGGUCUGUUUGGUUGAAACUUAUCUCCUAAAAUAUUUUCUGUUCUAAAUUUGAGUAUCUGAAAGUUUCAAUUUGGUGUAUUAGGCUAUGCAUGCACACACUUCGGUUGCUGCAGGAAUACAAGGUGCCACUAAGGCAAUGGCAGCUAUGAGCAAGGUCUGAUUCCUUUUUUCUAACACUAAUUAAUUAAAUUUUUGUUUAGAAUUUGUUUCUAUAAUCUAACUAAGAUGUUUUUUCUGAUGUUUCCAGAAUAUGGAUCCAGCUAAACAGGCUAAGGUUAUGAGAGAAUUCCAAAAGCAGUCUGCGCAAAUGGACAUGACUGUAAGUUGUAACUAUCCUUCUUUUCUGUAAUACUAUGAUGCCACAGUCAAAGAUAACUAUUCUAACUAAUGUGUGUGGUGUUCAGACUGAGAUGAUGUCUGACUCCAUAGAUGAUGCUUUAGACAAUGACGAAGCUGAAGACGAAACAGAGGACUUGACCAACCAGGUACAAAUUCAAUACCAACCGUUUGAGUUUCUAAAAAUAUGGACUGUUUCAGAGGUUUGUUAACGAGGUUUUUUAAUGUUUUGCUUGUUAGGUUCUUGAUGAAAUCGGCAUUGAUGUCGCCUCACAGGUUUGUUUUAAAACAUCUUGUUCAUUGGUUCCUUCUCUUGAUAGCUUCACUGUGAUAUGAUUGAUUGAUCGAUUGAUUGAUUGUCUGACUAUGUUUUGAUCCGUUUGCAGUUAUCAUCUGCUCCAAAAGGUAAAAUUGGUAGAAAGAAUGCAGAAGAUGUGAGCAGCAGGUAUGGUAUCUAUCCACUAUAAAUCGUAUGUGAUUUUGUCAGCAUCUAAGUCAAACCAUCUGAUUGUUUCUGCGCAGUUCUGAAAUGGAUGAUCUGGAGAAGCGGUUGGCGGCGCUUAGAUAGAAACAAAGAAACAAGUGCCGUGACCUUGAAGAAAACGUUUCAGACCAAAAUAUUCAUUACAUUUCAAUGUUUCUUCCACAGUUUGUUUGUGGAUAUCUAUGAACAACUAAACUAAUGCUAGUGGCUAUAUUUUUCUUUGAACCUUUUUCCCAUAAGCAAUGUACAAAACCUCUUUGAUAUUGUUUUCUUCAAACAGUUUAUUGUGCGCGCCAAAAAAAGUUUGAUUGGUUGCUUCUAAUUCUAUUAAAGCUUUUAAUAAUAUAUCAUUGUUCCUUUGUGAAAACAUCAACCAAAACAACAGAAAAAUGGUUGAAUGAUGAUACCAUCUUGUGAUGAGAUUUGAUUUACAGUGUAGGAGAGUUUCAAAAGAAGACAGCAAAACCAAGAAAUAAGAAAUCUUCUAAGACCAUCUCCAUCCCCACUCCAUAAUUUACUGUAAAAUAGAGUGGAAAAUAGAAUAAUAAAGAAACAAAAAUAUGAUUACUCUAUAAAUGGAGUGAUUUUUUAUUGUUUGUUCAUACUCCAUUUUCCACUCCAUAUUUGGAGUAAAUUAUAGAGUGGUGAUGGAGAUGACCUAAUUAAAGAACAAUGUUAGACUACAAGCACCAUAUAUAAAAAAGUGCAAGUGUAUAGUUUUAAUAUCAAACAAAACAAAACAAAAACGAAAAAGAUGUGUUUUAAAUCAUCAAACUUUUAAUUUUGGUUGAAAUAAAUCACCAAUUUUGUCGUGAACAAACAAAAAACAGUCGACUUUUGUUUGACAAGCCAUUUUAAUCAUAAACUUUCAUUGACCAUAUUUUUUUAGUCAUAUAGUUAGUCAACAUUUAUAGUUAACCAACAGUAGACUUUAAAUGACUUUUAAAAUUGAUGAUUUUCUUGGCAAAAAGUAUAAAUCAACAUUUUUCUAAAAAAAAUAGAUGUUAAGUUUUAGAAUAAAUAAUUUAGUAAAUAUUUUUUAUAAAUAUAAAUAUUGAAUAAAUAAAAGAAUAAAUUUCACUAUUUUCUUCAAAAUAAAAUUUAUAUAAUUUUCAUUUAUAGUCUAAAAUAUUUAGUUAAUAUAUCAUUAGCUAAAUAAUUAUCAAAAAAUUAUAAUUAUUUACGACAGUUAUGUAACUUUUUGUAAUUAUUUAUACUGUCUUAAUUCGAUUAUAUUUCACAAUUUGUUUUCAAAAUUUUAAUUUUUUUGUAAGAUGUUAAUUUUUUUUAAUCUUAGAAGAAUAAAAUUAAUAGUAGAGGAAUUUUUCAGAAACAGAAAAUUAAUGCAGAAGGAAUCUUGAAACACAUUUAUAGAAAUUGUUUUUUGAAUAUCUGUAUUAUUAACAUAAAUAAUCAUGAAGAAUACAUCUACCAAUAACUCUUUUUGUUUGGGAAUCAAAAGUUGAAUUAACAUUUCACUAAAACAAAUUUUGACAAUAAAAUUAUAAUAAAUAAUCCAAAUAGGAUUAUAUAAAUAGUUACAAAAAUUGAUCGUAAAAUAAUUAUAAAAGUUCUUCAUAAUCAUUUUAUAACUAAAUAGUUUAGAAGAUACAUUAAAUUUAUAGAAAUUUUACUUUGAGAAAAUGAAAAAACUCCUUUUUAGUUUGAAUUAUUUCUUAUUUUAUAAUUUAAGUAUUAAUGUUAUAUUUUUUAAAUAUUUAAAAUCAAAUAUUUUAGAAAAAGUGUUGAUUUCUAUUUGUGCCAAAAAAAUCAUCAACUUUAAAAUCCAUUUUAGGCUUACUGUUAGUCAACCAUAAACGAUAGAUCUAAAAUGGUAUGAUUAAUGAAAGCUUAUGACUAAAAUGGCACAUCAACAAAAUUUGAGCGUUUUUUUUGUUUAUGAAAAAGUUGUUGCUUUAUUUCACUUAAAUUUGAAAGUUGAUAAUUUAAAUGACAUUUUUUUCCCGAAAAGCAUCCUUAAUCUUUUCUCUUUUCAUGUCCAAAAAUGUGUUUUUGGUCUAUGUAUGCUUUGUUUUCAGUAAAAAAAUAUUGUGCACCAUAAAUCUCAAAUAGUUUGAUUAUUAGAAAAUCAAAAUAAAUAAAAUCAUGUUCACAAUUUAAAAAAAAAAGAUAAUUAGGGUUGUAAGACAAAUAAAAAAAUGAUAAUCAUGUUACAUAAAUAAAAAUAUAAUAAACAAUAACAUAAGAACGUACAAUAACAAUAUGUCAAAAGAGGAAACACGAUAACAAUAAUUAAGAUAAUGCUAGUUAAAUAAUAUAUUACAACUAGGUGACUCACGCGGAAAUGGAUAUUUACGAAAAAAACUAAAUUGCAAUAGUUAUUAAUAUUUAAUUUUGUUUAGUUUAGUCUUACAUAUUUUUGUGAGUUACUAAGUUGUGAUGUUUUAAAUAUGCUUGAUUUUGAAGAAUAUUCAACUUUGCAAUGACAUUUGUUUCUAAAAUUCUAGUUUGAUUUUAAUUUAGUGCAAUUAGUUUUUAUUAUCUAUAUGGUUAUUUUAAUUAUAAUUUCAUAUUUUGUUUUUGGGUUUAUAUUGGAGUUUUUGAAUUUUUGAAAUUUCACAAAUCACUUAUAAAAUUUAUGACUAAUAAAAUUCCAAAAAUAAAAAAUGUUGUUUAAGACCAGUCUAAAAUUGCAUUAUUUAAACUUUGACUUUACAUUUAAAAGUUCUACAUUAACAUAAACUCAGUUAAAUCUACUUAGGGUGCAACUGGAUUAUAACUUUUUGGAAUGAAAUUGUUUGGAAUGACUUAUUCCUGCAGAUUCCAAAUUUUUUUUACCAUUCGAAUAGAAUAAAAAACAAAUCUCAUUCCAAUUAUUCCUUAUGGAAUGUCUGGAAAAAAAUGGAAUGUAGUUAUAAAACAUUCAUGGUUAAAAAAACUCAUGAAUAAGUGGAAUGAGUGGAAUGAAAUUCAAUUUUUUUUAUUCCAUAACUUUUCUUAUUCUAUUCAUUUACGUUCCAUUUUUUUAAUUCCAUUCAUUCAUGAUAUUCCAUAAAUUGAUAAUCAGUUACAGCCUUAAUGUUUAAGAAAACUAACUUGUGAAGACAAUACUAAGUAAAAAUUAUAUGCACCACAUUCUAAACUAAAAUCUUAUUUUAGACGGAGUAGAAAACAUUAUAAAUAUUAAAAAUUUUAGAUGACUUUGUUACAUGUUAUAACUGUUGACUUGAUAAAAUGUGUAGCCAACUAAGCUUUUGAAAUCUUCUUCUAUUAUACAGUUACUUUAUUAUAUUCACUUUGAUUUUUUAAUCUAUUCAACGACGAAUAGAUUUCUAUAACAAAAAUGGUGAAUGUGGUUUUUUACAGAGUAAAAUAUGAUUUUUAUGAAUAAGGUGGAAUUUUAGAUAUUGAAAUAUUUGUGUUGAUGAUUUAAACUUGAAAGAAUAAGUUGUUUAUUUAUAUAGAGAUAUGAACAUCCAUAUAUAUAUAUAUAUAUAUAUAUUUCUAAUAUCUUAAAAUUAAGAUAUUUCUGACUAAUUUGAUAUAUUUAUUUUAUUAAUGAGAUAUUAGAUAUUUAAUAUCAUAAGAAAACUAAUUUAACCAGCGUGAUUUAGGAUUUUUUUUAUUCAUUAAAAAACAUGUUGUACAUAUAAGAGAAAUAUAAAUUUAUUUAUAUAUUAAAUAUAUUUCCUUUUGGAUAAUAUAUUUUUGAUAUAUAAUAGAAAACAAUUAGUUUUUCUUAAAUUAUAGUGUUUAGAUAUAAUUUUUAUACUAAAGAUAUUAUCUUUUUAUAUUAUAUUUAUUUUGAUUUACAUAAAAUCGUUUUUAUUAUUUAAAUGAUUUGAAUAACAAAAAUUUAUAUAGAAAAUUCGUUUUGAGUUUUAUAAAAGGAAAUUCGAUUUUAUUAAAUAAAUGUUUUAUAUAAAAAUUAUAUAUACAUAUUUAUAAAGAUAUUGCCUCUUUGAUAAUAAAGUGAUUUGGAAACAACUAUUAACAAGAAGUUAAAUAAAAGUAAUUAAUAAUAAUAUUUUGACAAUAAAUUUAAUUCAUUAUAAGGUGAUCAUUGUAAUUAACCUUCUAAAAAAAUAUGAUAGAUAUAUCUGAUAUAAUGAAAAAAAAAAUUACUUAAACCGACAUUAAAAAAAAAAGGAAACUGCAUGUAAUUAUAUAUACUGAUUCCCCUACUCCCUGAAACUCAUUCUCAGCAAAAGAAAACAGAAACAAAGAGCACAGAUUGAUUCCUUUCCUUGGUUCUUGUUAUUUGUCAUAACUAUGCGUACGUAUCCGCGUGGUUCGCGAUUUCAACCAACGGAGUUGGGGUUGGUGAAGCUUCAUCUUAAGAACAAGGUGGAGAAGAACAUAAGCGGUUUCAUCAAAACGUUGAACGUCUACGGAGACGCGCCGUGGCUUCUCCAUCACGACACGAACCCUCUGUAUAGUAGAAACGAAUGGUACUAUUUUGUUCCGAGGAAGAUAAGAGGUGUCAGGUCAGUGAGCCGGAUGGUACCGAGUAACGGAGAUAGCUUAGGGGGCACGUGGAAAUCAGUAGGUAAGAAAAAAGACAUAAAGAAGAAUGACAAGGAGUUGAUGGGUUACAAGACGGUACUAGUGUUCAAAAAGAACGUGGCGGGGGAGUUAGAGAAGGAGAAGACUGACUGGCACAUGGAUGAGUAUUCCCUUCACAGGAAUGGUGAUGAGUUCCAUGAUUUGGUCUUGUGUCAUGUCAGACUACUUAAUAGUGACGAGAGAUUCAAACCCCAUGUCCCUACUGCUCAUCAGGUUGAUCAUGUGAAAAACGACAACAACGACGUAGUCUUACCAAACCAAGAGCAGCAAGAAGCUGGUUCUGCUAAGCAAGAUUGCAAAGGUGGCGACGUCAAUCAACCUCAGCAACAACCAGAAGAUUCAUUUAUUCUUGUAGAUCGUCAUCUGCGGAGCAAUGUCAACCAAAGACAGAAUCUAUUGGAAGAUGUUGUUUAUCCGAAUGGCCGUGGCGACUUCAAUCAACAUCAGCAACAACAACAAGACCAAGAAGAUUCACUUAAUCUUCUACAUCCUCCUUUUCAAACCAACGUUAACCAAGAACAUUAUCCAUUGGGAGAUAUUGCUUAUCAUAACGCAGAGGGUGAUAUGACUGGCUAUGGACUCAUGCCAAGUUUUAACCAAGGCAACGACGUCAAUCAACAACAAGAUUCACCAGAUCCUCUUCUCCUUCCUCCUUUGCAGCAGAGCAACGACAACCAAGAACCUCAUCCAUUGGAUGAUAUUGAUUUUGAUGAUAAUCUUACGAUUGACAUUGAUGAACUCUUGAAAAUUCUAGACGAAUGGAAAGAGCAAGAAGAUCCACCCACUCUUCCCCUUCCUCCUCCUCUUCCGAGCAAUGUCAACCAAGAACCGUGUCUCUCGUGGGAUACCAAUUUUGCCCCAUCUCAGGUGGAGAACAACUACAACAACAACAACACCGUCUUACCGAACCAAGAGCAACGAGAAGGUGGUUUUGCUAAUCAUUAUGACAUGACGAUGAUGGUAGAGAAAGAACAUGGCGACAUCAAACAACAACAACAUCAAGAGCUACAGCAAAUAGAUGUACAGAGUUUAUUCUAUGAUCCUGAGUGGGAUGAUUUGCGUUUUAGUAGUGAUUUGAUUAUGCCAAAUAUGGACGUAAGCAUGACUCAACAACAACUACGAGAACUGGAAGAAGAGAGAUUACAACUGGUGCAACCGGUUCCUCAAGGUCAAGACUCGGGAGUACAUGCGGCUCAAGUCAUGCCUCCUCCUCCUCAGAGCAACAACAACCAUGGACAGCGUCCUCUUGUCCCAUCUCAGGUGGAGAGCUACAACAACAACACCGUCUUACCGAACCAAGAGCAACGAGAAGCUGGUUUUGCUAAUCAUAACGACAUGAAGAUGAUGGUAGAGAAAGAACAUUGCGACGUCAAACAAGAUCAAGAGCAACUGAUAAAAGAUCUACUGAGCUAUCUCCUUUCGGAUGAUUUUGGUUUUGAUGGCUCAGAGGAUGGACCGAUUGCGCCAGAGCUAUUAAAACUGCUGGAACCGGUUCCCCAAGCUCAAGACUCGGAAGUCAUGCCUCCUCCUCCUCAGAGCAACGACAACCAUGGACAGCUUCCUCUUGUCCCAUCUCAGGUGGAGAAUGACAACAGCACCAACGUCUUACCGAAACAAGAAGCUGGUUUUGCCAAUCAGAAUGACAUGAUGAUGGUAGAGAAAGAACAUGGCGACAUCAAACAACAAUAUCAGCAACAACAUGAUCAAGAGCUACAGCAUAUAGAUCUACAGACUCUUCUCCUUGAUCCUGAGUGGGAUGAUUUACGUUGUGAUUUUGGUGGCCCAGAGGUUGGUUUGAUUUUGCAAAAUAUGGAGGUAAGCAUGACUCAACAAGAAGUGCAAGAAGAGAUAUUAAAACUGCUGGAACCAGUUCCUCAAGCUCAAGACUCGGGAGUACAUGCGGAUCAAGUAAUGCCUAAAGAUUGAUACGCUGAAUAUAGUUCUUGAUAUUUUUAUGUAACUCCUUUAUUAGUUGAUUUUAUUUCCGGUUAUAGGGUUUCCACAAUGGAGACUUGAACUCGUUUAAAUGUUUGUUUUAUAUCAACUUUUAUUCUAUUGGUUUUAAUGUUUGUUUCUUAGGUCUUACUGGUGAUUAUAGAACUCGUUUUAGUGUUUGUAUCAAUAUCUAGUGAUUAUAGAACUCGUUUUAGUGUUUGUAUCAAUAUCUACUGACUGGUUCUCUUACGUAUAAUUUAAAACGGAUUUAUCAAUACAUGAUCAUUAAGGUUAAUUAGCUAACUAAACAACCGGUUAUAUAAUUAGAUUAAUUAAAUAUUACAGAAUGUAUUCCAUCUUACAAAUUAGGGCUAAUAUAAGAAAAAUAGAGUGAAAAGAAAGAGAAAGUGAGAAUAGUUAUUCAGAAGAAUCUCCAGAUUGUAUAUAGAUAAUCUUCUUUGGACUAAUUUCGGUUUACUGUAACUUUAAAUUCAAUAGUUCAGGUUUAGUUUGGCACAUAUGUAGAAUAGAUAGAUAAUCUACUUGGACUCUUGACGUCUCAGCUUCCGUUCAAUUUCACGAGAUGUCGGAUUCGAGAAACAACGGUUGAUUGUAUGUUUCUCCGUACCAGCCACCGUUUGUGACGUGUCCGAUGACGACUCUGAUGAUUCGCUCUCUGUUAGAUUGUCACACACGUUAAACCAGUUAUUAGGGCUACGAAUAGAUAUAAAAGUGGAUGUGAGAGUUUUGGUUGCAUGGGAGGUUUUCACGUACCGAAUAGUGACCUAACCGAUGGCCUCUUUGCUUUUGUCUCUUUCUUCUUCAGUUCCGCUGGAAUUUUAAAAUAAAUAAACCGUAACAUUUGUUAAUUAGUGUUUUGUUGCUAACCAAGAAUUAUUUAUAAAGCAUUUAAUAUCUGUAAAAAGAUGAAGAUACCUAUCCCAGGGACUUGAUAGUCGUUGACGAUUUCGAAGUUUUUGUAUGUGUAGCCAACAAAGUUUAUGUCUUUUGAAGAUAACAUCUGCAGAGACAAAUUAAAGAGAAAGAGUGNNNNNNNNNNNNNNNNNNNNNNNNNNNNNNNNNNNNNNNNNNNNNNNNNNNNNNNAAAGAGUGUAAGUGAAGUUACGUACGAAGUUCUUGUAUUUUCGAAAUUUUCAAAUUCAAACUAUUCUCAGUAAAAAAAUUUAAAGAAGAUAAUAAGUUAAUUAUUCGAUUAGGAUGUAUAGGCUUAGUAAUAUACUAAUAUGUACUAUUGUUGUCAUUGCUUAUCAUCAUGCUUAACGCCCGUUAUGUUAUUGAAAAGGAAAGGUAAUGAAACUCGACUUACUUUUCUCCAUGGUCCUGUUCUAGAGGAGGGUGUCAGAGUUUGAUGAUCUUCCUAAACAUACAGUAAAAUAUAUAAAAAUUCAAGGACUAUCGGGCAUUAUUAGUUUAAAAAAAAGAAGCAAAAAGAUAGAACACAAACCUCAUCAAACUUCUCAAAGUUUUGAGUAUCCAAAUCAUCGUUGACCUCAGGGAUAUAAGCAGCUUCCAUUUGGUAAAUCUUUUCCCAUUCAACACCUUCGAACCAUGGAUGUGCCUGCCACAUCCAUUAACAUUCGCAGCUCGUUAGCUAUUAAUUUGAUAAAAAAUUAAACAUGUUCUAAACUUCAACUUGAACUAUUAUACAAGAAAAAAGAAGAGAAUGAUACCUUAAUUUGAGAGGCACCGAGUCGUUGGUUAACGUUACACAAAAGCUUACCAACGAGAUCUUUAGCCUCUCGUGAUAGCCUUGCUUCGUCAGGGAACUUCAAAUGUGUUUUCCAAUUCACUAUCUGAUUUAUACAGAAUCAUAAGUCUAUAACUAAUAAAUAAGUGAAACUGAUAGGAAAAUUCAAGUAAAUGAUUUAUUAAAAAGAUUGCAACCUUUCUACAAGUUGACAUUGGGUCGUCGGCGUAAAACGGUGGAUAUCCAACAAGCAUCUCGUACAUUAUGGCUCCUAGUGACCACCUAUUAAUUUCCAUACUACUUUUCAAAUACUUGAAAAUUUUAAAACUAUUAUUAACAAAGUAUAAUUAGGCACGUGUGGACGUACCAGUCACAUUCCAUGCCGUACCCUUUCUUUAACAAGACUUCAGGUGCAAUGUAGUCUGGUGUACCAACGGUUGAGUAAGCCUGCAAGUGUUUACACCAAGAAUAACUACAGCUACACACCUUACUAAAGAAAACUUCUAAUUAUAUAUAUAUAUAUAUAUAUAUAUAUAUAUAUAUAUAAUUUAGAUAAUAAAAUAUAGAUAAUAUGAUAUUGGUUUAAAUUUGUAUUUGCUUUUACAUAUUAGCAAAAGAGAGGCAAAGAGGAGUGUAUGGUACAUACAAGCAUUCUUCUAUUCUUUUGCCAAUGUUGCAACUGCUCCUGCUGCGAGCGUUUAGGAGCUGUUGGUGUGAUCUCUUCUCUCUCUAAGCCUCCUCCGGAGAAAUCUUCACCUUCAAUGACACUACAAUCCAACGGCUUACAUAGUCCAAAAUCAGACAACCUCAGAUGUCCAAUUCUAUCAAGCAACAGAUUAUCCGGCUUUAUGUCCCUGUCUCAACAGCAACAAAACAUCUCAAACACACACCUUUCUUUGUGACCAAUAAGGCAAUAAUGAACAAUGAUCCAAUACAUACCUGUGGAUAUAGUUGCGUUUAUGGAUAGAUUCAAUAGCUAGAACAGCUUCAGCCGCAUAGAAUCUAGCUUCAUCUUCACUUAAAGUGUCUUUCCUCAUCAGAAGAGUCAUCAUAUCGCCGCCAGGUAAAUACUCCAUUAUCAGGUAAAGAUAGUCAUCGUCUUGAAAAGAACAGUAUAGUUUCACUAUACAGUUACUAUCUACUUCUGCUAAUAGAUUCCUCUCUGAUCUUACAUGCUCCACCUACAAAAAUAAUGUUUCAAAAAACUUAUAAAUAAAACCACGAAUAAACGAAAUUAAAACGUUAUGUAAAACCUGGCCUCGACGUAGCAUUUCUGACUUCUUGAGUUUUUUCAUAGCAAAAACAUGACCAGUGUUCUUCUCUCUACAAACUCGAACCUCCCCAAAAGCUCCUUUACCGAUCAUAGUCAAGAGUUCGAAAUCAUCAGCACCCAUCUUAUGCCUUUGGAGUCUCAUGUACUCUGUUUCUUUCUUCUCAAGAAACUUUAAAAGAUUGUUUUGAUCUUCUUCAGAUGCAUCUGCAUCUGCUAGUUUCUUCUCAAGCGUUGUUCGUCUGCCAUAUUUAAAUAAAUAAACACAUCAAGACUAAUAUGUUUUUACAUACACGUGUUUAUUGUAUACUAUAUAGUAUAUAUACCUCUCUUUCCUCUCGUUGAGGUUCUUCAUCUGUUCCUUAUAAUGAUUCUCAAUGUACUGCUUGGCUGCCGCAACUUUCUGUUUGGUUGUACUGGAGAGUGCUUCUCCUUCUCCACCUAGAGGAGGAAGUUUCCCCGCCGUCUCAGUUUCAUUUCCUCCACCGGGGACCGUGGUUUCUGUUCCACCGCCGUAAGUGCUACCGGAGAACAUAUCUUUUUUACGAGGCUUGUCUCGAGGUUGAAACUUGUGAAACCAACUUCUUGCGGAAUCCAUAUUUUUUCUUCUCUUCUCAACCAUAAACUCUUAAUCUAAAAAGAGAGAAACCCUAAUAUUUAAAUCUGAAAAAUAACCGAAACUAAAAAAAAAAAAAAUCGUUAUGACAAGCUAAGAUGUAAUAAAACCCUAGAACGAAUUAAAACCGAUCUCCUGGGUGUUUUUUUACUGUAAGAGAUUCAACGUACCUGCGUUCAUCGUAUCUGAAAUUAAGAAAGAAGCAGAAAGAUCGGAGAUAAAGAUACGGUUGCCUAGAAAAAUAAAACAAUCGAAAAAAUAGAAAACGUCGCGUUACCGUAGAAGUUUUGAAAGCGAUCUGAUCAUAUAGAAGAUGAGAGAUUGUUUAUAUAAGAAAUAAUACAGCGCAAACUCCGUCUUAUAAUCUCCAUUUUUAGUAGGUUAUUUUGUUUGUAUAUUUAUUUAGUUGCAUAGGGAAUUGUUUACAAAUGGUUCUGAUGUUGACGAUCAUCAUUUAAUUUAGUGGUUGUCUCUACUCCCUUUACGCACUAAUUUUUCAUUUUCAAAAAGCUUCAUUAAACACACGAAUGGUUGUUAUAAAUAUGGAAAACUUGUUAUGUUAGUUAAUUUACGAAUUAAAAUGAAUAGAGAAGCCGAGAAGGUAUAGUUAUGUUUUAUUGGUCUAAUUUCUUGUUAUAUCAUGUGUGACUAUAUACCGUAUAUGAUGAUAUGUUUUUGUGUAUAAACUACAAAAUUCAAAUAAUUCAAUCGUGUAUCGUUACACUGUAUUUAAUAUAACUCUAACUCAUCAAAUUCAAUUCAGUUUGCAUGUAUUCCAACUCUGGUUUACUGGUUUAUUGAGACUAGAAACUUUCACUAGCAUGGAGCUAACUGUUUGGUAUAUAUGAUGAAUUGUGAAUAUAACAGCAUACUUGAAGAAAAUAUAUACAAUAAUUAAUUUCGAAGAAAAGUCUUAUAUAAAUAAUAUGUUAUCAUUAUUUUUUGUCUUGGGGUGGUGGAGUUUGGAGAAAAAGGGACAUCGAAGUGGAGAUGAAAAGGAAAUGAAAGUCGGAUUAAAUAAUAUCUUCUACUCCACUACUUAAGUUACCAACAGAAUCUUUUUAUAAGCAUUAUGAUGUUGAGAUCUCAACCUAAACAAACUUCACGACAUAACUCUCUUCGUCCCACGUCGGCAACCAGAUACAGAGCCGGCCCUUGGUAGAAACAAAAGAAGCACUUGCUUCCAACCUUUUUUUUAUCAAUUAUUUUCGGCCAUAUUUUGCAAUAAAUUUCUCUUAGUGUAGCGGUAAUUACUUGUCUUAGCUUUGUCAAACAAUCCAGGUUCAAAUCUUGUUGUGGGCAUUUUAACUUUUUCUUUUUUUUUCCUUCUAAAAGUGGCCAAAUUUUUUUCUUUGCUUCUAGUCUUUAAAUUUCUAGGACCGGCUCUGACCAGAUAUAUCAGAUUAAUGUCUACACACCCACUUUUCCACAUAAACUAAUGGAAUAAUUCACCAAAAAGGAGACACCGAUUCCCACCGGCUCCUGAUUUGUUCCAAUGAUCAACAUCAGUUGUUAGCAAUGAUCAUUACAUCUAACAUUUUGAGACAACUGAUUUUCUCUAUUAUGUUGAUGUUUGAUAAUCAGUUUUCAAUGAAAAUACUGUAGCAUACUACAUAUUCUUCUCAUCUUAGAACACAGUCCAUAUCUAGUUCCCAAAAUCAAGAGUAUGUAUUGCCAUUUUGUUACAACAAGGCUUAAUAAACUGCAAACAUCGUAUUCUCCGGCCAAACUCCAAUCAGUUUAUCGCCUGUAACGGUGUCGUUUGAAGUUGAAGUACAGAUGCAAAAUCCCACGCUCAAACGUGCAUUUGAAACCUUUCUUGUGAGAAUAUUCCCAUUCCUUAUUCACAAUCCGGAACGCCUGCAAAACAAAUUGAUCACCAUGAUAACACAGAGGUGAUGGUUAAAAACAAUACAGAGGUGAUGGUUCUGAAAGUACUCACAAUGUCUUCAUAAGGCGGACCAGCAUGGAACCGGAUCAUACAAGUUUCGGAGCUUGUCCCAUCUUUUUCUAUAGUGAACGUGGGAGCCUUGAUCUUAUCUACUAAAUCUGGAUAGAAGAUGUUGAACUUGUACCCUUGAACGGUUUUUGGAGGCGGGUUAUCGUGAUCAUAGUGAGUCUGGUUGUACUUAUUCCACUCGUAACCUGUGUGGACUCGGUUGAAGUACUUUGGUUUUCUUGGCCGGUACUUGUCAUGCCACCAGUAUACCUAUAUUGAAGAAGACUUCUUUUUCAAUAUUACCACUCUGGGAAGAACAGAGACGAUUAGUGAUAUAGCAAAAGGGGUACCUCAGAAUCAAGGUUCACUUCAGCUUUAGAGCCAAAUACAGCAUCUCCUUCUUCCAUUGCUCCCAUUGCUUUCAUUGCUUUAAACUCCAAGUUAUCUUCCACAGGUGGUGGUUUUGAGACCAUAGCUUCUUUGAUCCGCUUCUUCUGUUUCUCCAACACAACCAUCCGUUUCAAUUCCUGUUAUAGUCACAAUCAUAUUUUAGGUCAGUAAAAGCAUCAACGGCAAACAAUUCAUGGGCAAAAGUUGAUUGUAGGAACAGUUAAAGAGUACCAGUAGCUUCUUGUCUUCCUCGGGAUCGAUUGCUUCUUCACGAUCAUCACCGUGCAUGAGCUCUGGCGAAAACGAACCAGCCGCUUCUGUUUCCACAUAAGCAUCUUCUUCUUCCUCCGCAAUAGGCUCUGGAGAGAAUGCUUCUUCAGAGUCGGAAUGAUUCAUCCACACGCAGAUACCUUUGCCUUGUAUAUAUCGAGGCGUUUAAGAACCGCUUCCCAAUACUCUACUACUUUCGCUGACCCAGAACGCAGCUGGGACUCGAUGUCCAACUGCAGUUCUACAAGCUCCGAGUGGGUCUUCCCAUCAAGAAGUUUUCUCACGUCAGCUUCAACACCAGCGUGUAGUCCCCUCUCUUGAGCAAGCAAUUCUGCAGGAGGCUCCUCCCCUCUAACUCUAGCACGGUCCAAAGCAUCCCUUUUACGAGCUUCAGCUAACUCCCAAUCGCAUACCACAAUAAGUGCCUGGAAAAAUUCAAUGGUAUUAAGUACACAAGUUUACUCCAAUGCAUCAUGCAUGUAUACGUGGAAUAGCAUCAACAAGAGUCAACAUGUGGGUCCAUACAAGGUAUCAAAAUUCUACACAUGCACAAUCACUUCAAACCUAUGAACCACCUCGAAUGCCAAAAUUGAGACUCGUUGAAGAAAAUACCUCCCAAUACUGUACGCGUGUUGGAGUUGCCCGAUCUGAAUCCAGAUACAUUUUGAUAUCAUCACGAAGCUCUUCCAUAUCUUUAACACUGAGUCCCUGCAUUACACAUAUCAAGUGUACGUUAAUUUUAGUAAAAAAGCGUCACAACAAUACUCUCUCAUUGUUCACUAAAAGAGAGCAACCACAGAUCUUUGUUUAACGAGAGAUCUACACUCGAUUUCAAAAGCAAUUAAACCAGAAUCAUUCUCACAUUCUGCUUCCCCAUUUUUAAUCAAAACUUUUACACUAAACGACAUAGAGGUCGUCUAUGCUGAGCUCAGAUUUCGGCCAAUAUCCUAAAUAUAUAUAUAUAUAUAUAUUUUUUUUUUUGGGAUCAGUUAGCUGAUGCAUAUGUUGGUUACAUUUACAAGAGAUACCCUUAAAAGUAACCAACAAAGUGCUACCUAAACAUCUAAGUUGCUAAUGGCUCAGACUUGCAGAAAACUUAUCUAAUCUGAAGCUUCUUCCCUCUCUCCACAACCCAACUGGUUCCAAAGACUGAAAAUAUUAUGGAACUAACCUAACACCGACAAAGUAAAGACCGAAGUGAAAAAGCUCUACCAUACUUAAACACGAUAUGGUUUUACCAUCUAGCAACAUCUUUGUAAAUACCUUGAAAACCAUGUAAGGUUCACUGAGCUCGAUAUCCAUAUCAUCUGAACCAUCCAAGUGCUUACAGAGCACGUCAAUAGGCUUCAGUCGCCCUUCACGCAAUCUGAUCUCUGACCUCACCUUGCUUUGAUCGAAAUGGAACUGUGGAUCAAACAUAUAUAUCAAGGAACGUACGCCAAGCUAAUAUUCAAGAGGAUCAUUUGCAAAAACAAAGAAAACGCAAUUAUACCUCCUCCUCCUUCUUCUCCCAAUCUUGAAACUCCGCUCGUGCACGUUCUCUAGCCAAUAAUGCCUGCAGAGAAUAACAUUUUUAGGUCGAUAGCUAGACAGUAAUAACCAAAUUAGAAAGCUAGUUGGUUACUAAAUUUAAUCGUAUGCAUCCUCCUGGACGAAAUGAUUUUGUGAAAGAGAUAGGCCUCACAUAUGUUUUCAACAUGAAACAAAAGUUACCAUUUCUUCCUCAUGUCGAGCUUUCUCCACUGCUCUCUCUUCUCUCCUCUUCUUAACCUUUUCAACCUCUGUCUGCACAUUCAACCAAAGUGAUUAAUACAUAGACCAGAAAGCUCAUUCCACUAAACAAAAUAACACAUAUUUAAUCGAGAACAUAAAAAUCUCAUCUCCUCUUUUCUUAUUUUGUAAUCAAGAAUGCUUAUUGUACUUACCAUUCUUUCUCCCCGUCUUCUCUUCUCAGCUUUAACCGAAAACUCCUCCAACGGUACUCCAUGGUGAACAUCUUUUUCAAUUUUCUUCCGCCACACAAAUCUGAAAUUAAUAGAAUUCCACGCAUGAGAACUGCAUACUCUUCAGAACCGGUUACUCAGAAGGUAAAAAUCGAUUACAUGCAAUCAAGAUAACAAACUUAUAACUGCCAAUUGAACUAAUAGAGAAAAAAGAAGCUGCAUCUUAUGAUUACGUACUUUGUCUAUGUUACAACUAGGAAUGAACUACAUACUCGAUAAUCCUCCUACAUCCAAUUCUCCAAGUUAUUUAUACCAGUAAACUCAGAAAGGAAAAUAAUCAUCUAACCAUUUUCUUUAAAAGUGAUUUCACUUACGCCUCAGUGAGAUUCGAAUCCCCAAACGGGUUUGAAUCAUUGGAGUACCCAGACACUGACUGAGUCUUCAGUUUCUUUGCUGCACGUAAUGCCUACAAAGAAUUAAACAAAUAGCAUAAAAAAUUAGUAACAGGUUCCAACACAUAGAAGAGUUUAACACAACAAAGCACGCAGACAAAGUAACACGAAGAAACCUUCUUCUGAGCCUUUCUGGCGAUAUACUCCUUGAUUUCUUCCUCUGAAGGCUUCCUAGACGAAGUUCUCUUCUUACUCUUCCGUCCACCAUCGCUAUCAGAAGAAUCAUCGCUUGAAUGAUAGCGUCGACGACUGCUGCUUCUGCUGCUGCCCUUCCUCCUCCUGGAGCUCCUGGGCGGGGACGAACCGUCCGAGUCAGAGGAGUAAGAGUCGGACUCAGACUCAGACUCAUCUCUCCGCUUCUUCUGCUUUGCGUAUCUAUCUCUGUCUCUGCUACUCUUACCAUGAGAACCCAUAUUUGAAACAGUAUCCCUCUGUCGUCGAAAGAUAAAACAUAUAAUCAAUCAGUCGCUCACACUUAAUUCACAAUAAAGAAUAUUCAAAGAGAGAGAGUCCCUCGAAACGAACAUCUAAACCAAUCCAGAUAACGCGAUUCAGCUAAAGCGAAAAAUAAAAGCUCCUUGUUGAACGACUUUCACCACUAGUAAGGGAACCUAAGCGAAACUAUCGAGCCAGAACACAGCGUACAGAGAAGAGAAAACGCAUACCUAAAUCGGAAACGAAGAUUUGAAAUCAGUGGCGGUGAGAGGGUGGUGGAUACGGUGACGAAGGUUGUAGAGACUUCUCCUCCCCGAUAACUGAAUCGAAAAUAGAUAUUGGAAAACAAAGGGGGGGAGAUUUAACGAGUUCGGUUAAUGGAAAACCGGGAGAUUCUAGAAGUUGUUUACCAAAAAUACAAUCAUGUGGAACCAAUCACCCGGUUAAGAGAAAACCGGCCGUUGAAGAGACUUAACGACGGGUUACCAGAAAAUUGGCCAAAUAUAUGACGAAUCAAUCGGAUUUAAGUAUUUUAACUAACCAGCAUUAACACCGAUUAAAGCCAUGACUGCUUAUAAUUUGGAACAAGUAACAAUCUUUUUAUCUGUAAACUUAUUAUUACUUUUUUUUGUCACUGAUCUGUAAACUUAUUAAAUCUCAAGAUCCAGCAGAUGUAAUAAAGAUGAUUUGAAAAGGAAAAAAAUAAUACAACAGGAAGUGUUGGGAUUACAGAGAAAACGCACAUCAGUUUACCAGUAAACAUACAAUAUAUUAAGGAAAACUCAGGUUGCUGUGUGUCUUGGUGUCUAGUGUCUUGCCUCUAAUGUCUCUUGCUCUCAAGUCACAAGAAGAUGAAGCAGGACGGGUCCAAGACCUUAGAUAUUUCACACUCCUUUGUGAUCAGAAAGCUGCCCAUCCUGCAGCUCCUGUCGAUCCUGAACCCUUUGUUGAAGGAAGAUUCUUCUGCAGAGCGAGUACACACCAAAAUGGAGGAUUCAGUGGUUCAAAUGUCGUUUUUGGUUGAGUUAGAUGCUAUUAGGACGAAAGGGUUUGCUUACCUUGAGCUGAGAUAGAUCAGACAGUGGAUCGUUCCUGCGCCUUGUGUUAUCCGUUGGUUCCUUAGAACCACCAGAUGCGAUCCUUGAAGCGAUAGGAUCAUUUGGUGGAGGCGGUAAAGGAGACCUGGUUUUUGUAGAAGCACUUGGUGGUGGAGCAAGUGCUAGAGGUUUAGGCUUCCCGUUCCCUGAAAGAGCAGCUGAGAGCAUCCCAGUGCCACUUGUCGUUGGUUUGGGCUUCACGUUGAUUCUUAUGGUUUCACCUUCCUUCAAACCCAAUCACAAAAAACAUUCUUUUUAGCUUCUACUGAGUUAGCAAGAGAUUGAAUCCACAGUUCAGUUUCAAAAGCAGAUAAACUAAUAUGAGUAAGAACUCAACAAAAUCAAUGUCUACUACUGGGAACAGAUGCUAGAACAAACUUGUGAUCCUGAACCAUUAAUGAAAAAGACUCAACGAGCAAAAAUGAGAACUUUUGCAGCAUUCAAUUUGAUUCCACGACUUAUAACCCAGGACAGGCCCUCAAAAAACUCCAGUCACAUCAAAAACAAUUCUUUUUUCUUUUAAAUAAAGACUAUAGCCUAAGGAUCCGGUCGUUCAUAGUGAGUACGAAGAUUUGCCAGAAUAUAAAAGUGGGACAUUCUCUCGUUUAUGCAACAAAGUAUGAUAAGAGACUAACACUUGGUGACAUUACCCAUUCAAUCUAAAUACUACCAAUUACACUAACAGUGUAAUCCAAAGACACAUCUUUAAGCCUACGAACAAGAGCAGAUCUACUAGCAAUGCCAAUGACGCGACAAAAGGUAUCUGAAUGAAUCAAUUUCAUAUUAAAUUUAGCAGCUUUACGCAUUGAUCUUAUCUUAAUCCCUAAAGCUUAUGAACAGAUCCGCUUACCUUCAAUCUAUGAUUAACAGCGGGAUGAAUAUCAAUAUGAUCAUCACUCUCACUCGUCUCCCCAGCCUCCUUCUCCUUCUCCCUCCUCACAUACUUCUCAUGAUCCGACAACGCCACGUUGAAAUCAAACGCCUCGUUCCUCUCCGCGAACCCCAGCCCGAUGAACGCGUACUUCCCACGCCCGUCGUCGAUCCUCAGCACGAAAUACCUCGACGAAUCCAGCGACGGCUCCACGGAGUUCUCUCUCCUCGCGGGAUCCACGAAACACGCCGCGAACAGGUCGCCGGAGCUCGAGUCCUCGAGGCGGAUCUCGCAUCGGUCCUUGCAGGAGACGACGCGGAGCCUGCCGGACCAGAUCUUGUCGGACUGGAGCCAUUCGCCGCACUUGUACCCGCCGGAGGUGGUUCGCGGCGGGAUCUUGUAGACGGAGACCUCGCGCACCACGAGGAGCGUGUGCUCGAAGGUCUCCUCCUCUUCUUCCCCCUCGAACGACAUUGGAUUCUCGGAGAAGAAUCUGUGUGACCUCUGCUGAGACGAGAGUUAUGGAGAAAGACGUGUGUGAAGGUUUGACGAUCGUUGCGGACUUUUGAAGCAUAUACGAACCUUUUUUUUAAAUUUAAUUUAAUUUAAUGAAUUAUUUCUAUUUGGUAAGUCUUACCAAUAUCCUUAAGAGAUUUAAUUAAGAGAAAAAGACUAGGAUAGCACCAAACCAAGUUUAUGUUUCCAAAGUAGCACUCAAGGUUCAAAGUCACAAAAAUAGGUUUCAUUAAAGAGGUAAAUAUACACUUAUACCCCUUGGGUUAAGUAAUCCAAACCUUAGGGUUUAGAGUUAAGGGGUGGGGUUUUGGAAUUAAGGUUUAAAAUUUUAUAAAAAAAAAAUAUAAAAUAAAAAAUAAAAAUUUUAAAAACAGUUUUAAAAAGAAUUUUUAAAUUAUAAAAAGAAAAUUUGAAAAAAAAAUAAAAANNNNNNNNNNNNNNNNNNNNNNNNNNNNNNNNNNNNNNNNNNNNNNNNNNNNNNNNNNNNNNNNNNNNNNNNNNNNNNNNNNNNNNNNNNNNNNNNNNNNNNNUAUAAUCUGAAACUAUAAAAAAAAAAAAAUCUUUUUUUCAUUUUUUUAUUUUUAUUUUAUUUAUUUUUAUUUAUUUUUGUUUGUUUAUUUAAUUUUAAAUCAAGGGUAUUAGGAAUAUUUUACUCUUUAAUGAAUGUCAUUUUUGUGACUUUCUCCUUCUAGUGCUAUUUUUGAGACAUAAACUUCAAAAGGUGUUAUUAUUGACAAUUGCCCUUUAAUGAAUGUCAUUUUUGUGACUUUCUCCUUCUAGUGCUAUUUUUGAGACAUAAACUUCAAAAGGUGUUAUUAUUGACAAUUGCCCUUUAAUGAAUGUCAUUUUUGUGACUUUCUCCUUCUAGUGCUAUUUUUGAGACAUAAACUUCAAAAGGUGUUAUUAUUGACAAUUGCCCUUAUUACUAUUUGGUAAGUGUUACCAGAUAUUUUGUAAUAUUCUCAUUUUGAAAUUUCAAAAUUAAAAAAUUUCAUAAUAUUCUAAAGAAUCCCAAAUUUAUGUAAUAUUAAAAAAAUGUGAGUAAUUUAAUCAAUUUUUAAAAGAAUGCUAUCAGAUAUUUUGUGUAGAUAUUUUGUGUUUUUAUCGGAUUAAUAGUAUCAGAUCGCGGAUCAAUAGUGAGUUUUUGGGUUUUUACCGGGUUCUAUUGGAUUUUUAAUUAACUAAUUUUUCAUUAAAUUUGAACCGGAUUAUGUAUAAUGUAUUGGGUUUAUAGGUUCAACGACGAAUGUAGGUCGGAUAUAAAAACAAUUCUUAAAACUCAAACAUCAUUAUAGAACAACUAAUAUAUUUCGAACAAAUACCAAAUUUUGAAGAGAAAAUAAAUGAUAAAAAUCAAAAAAUUCAAUUGUUAUGGUUCGAAACAAAAAUAAUGGUAGUUUGUAAAUCAGUUUUCGAUCUAUAAAUGAAAAACAAAUCCGCGAUUUCUAAUCGCGGAUCAAAAUCUAGUUAUAAAGAUUUAAUAAACUUAAUCUUUAUUAAUCAACUUAAUCACAAAACGAUGCCGGUUUAGCGGUGGACCGCCUUAUGUUAAACGAUGCCGUUUUUGCGUUUUUUUCUUUAUCAACCUUGUUUCCUCGCACUUUUAUAUCUCUCUUGUUGGCCUGAGAGGAGUCGAAGGAUAACAAUUCGAUAAACAUGGCGACGGCUUCAGGUACCGAUUCCAAUCAGAUUUUUCUUCUACGAUUCCAUUAGAUCUUCUUGAAAGCUGGGUUCUUGAUUUAGUUUUGAAAUUUCCUUUGCUGGCCAUGAAUCGCUGUUAUGAUAAUCUGAUUUCGUAUAUUGUAAUCAGAAAUUUAGGGCUUUUGGAUUUUUUUUUCGUAUCGUUGGUUCUCUUUCUCGUUAGGUUUUAGUUAGAUCAAGUAUUCUUUAUAGAGAGUCUGAUUUAGAGUAUUAGCUUUGGUAUCGUUGGUUCACUAUGUUCUCUGAUUUAGGGUUUCUUGUAGUUCCACUGGUUUUGAUUUUGGGUUUUUUUUGUUUGCAGUUGCUUUUAAGUCUAGGGAAGAUCAUAGGAAGCAAAUCGAGUUAGAGGAGGCUCGUAAAGCCGGGCUUGCACCAGCUGAGGUAGAUGAGGAUGGAAAGGAGAUCAAUCCUCACAUUCCUCAGUAUAUGUCCUCUGCUCCGUGGUAUCUCAACUCCGAGAAGCCGAGUUUGAAGCAUCAAAGGAAGUGGAAGAGUGAUCCCAAUUACACAAAGUCAUGGUACGACAGAGGUGCUAAGAUCUACCAAGCCGAAAAGUACCGCAAGGGAGCAUGUCAAAAGUAUAUGUCUUUCUCUGAUUUUGAAGAUGUUAGAGUUUGCUUUUUUUUUAGUUUUGGAUUUGUUCAAGUUUCUAACUUUUUAUUUUGAAGCUGUGGUGCAAUGACGCAUACUGCGAAGGCGUGUAUGGAUAGGCCUCGCAAGAUUGGAGCGAAGUACACGAACAAGAACAUUGCGCCUGAUGAAAAGAUCGAGAGUUUUGAGCUUGAUUAUGAUGGCAAGAGGGACAGGUGGAAUGGGUACGAUCCUUCUACUUACCAUCGUGUGGUAGACCUUUAUGAAGCAAAAGAGGAUGCGCGGAAGAAGUAUCUCAAGGAGCAGCAGAUUAAGAAGCUAGAGGAGAAGAACAAUAACCAGGAAGGCGAUGAUGCAACCAGUGAUGGAGACGAAGAAGAUGAUGACUUGAGGGUCGAUGAAGCUAAGGUUGAUGAGAGCAGGCAGAUGGACUUUGCAAAGGUUGAGAAACGUGUUCGGACAACUGGUGGUGGUAGUACAGGAACUGUAAGGUAUGGACUACUCUGUUUCUAUAAUUAUUAUCAUAUGUUUAUUUGAGUGUGUUUUUAUUUGAUGCACUAAUGAUUUAACCUUUUCUUAAUUCAGGAAUCUGCGUAUCAGAGAAGACACAGCGAAAUACCUGUUGAACCUUGAUAUCAAUUCGGCUCAUUAUGAUCCUAAAACUCGAUCCAUGCGUGAAGACCCACUCCCAGAUGCAGAUCCGAAUGAUAAAUUUUACUUGGUUAGUUGUAGUUCAUCGUUAUUGUAUCUCAUAUUAUGGUAAUCUAAGAUACUAACCAUAUUUUUGCUUAACCAUCUAUCCAGGGAGAUAAUCAAUAUAGAAACAGUGGCCAAGCUUUGGAGUUCAAACAGAUGAACAUCCACUCAUGGGAAGCGUUUGACAAGGGACAGGACAUGCAUAUGCAAGCUGCUCCAUCCCAAGCUGAGCUGCUCUACAAGAAUUUCAAGGUUGCAAAAGACAAACUGAAGACUCAUACGAAGGACACAAUCAUGGAGAAGUACGGGAACGCUUCUACAGAAGAUGAAAUCCCAAUGGAGCUUUUGCUUGGGCAGAGCGAAAGACAAGUUGAGUAUGACCGAGCAGGGAGGAUCAUAAAGGGACAGGUACGGUUUAUGAUGGUUUACUUCUUAACAUGUGGUAUGUUGUGCUUUUGUGUGGAUUCAUUUCAUUCUUAUACAUGUUGUUUUGUACACAGGAGGUUAUACUGCCAAAGAGCAAAUACGAGGAAGAUGUUCUCGCUAACAAUCACACGACUGUUUGGGGCUCGUGGUGGAGAGACCAUCAAUGGGGAUAUAGAUGUUGCCAGCAGACGAUUCGCAAUAGUUACUGCACAGGCUCUGCUGGUAUUGAGGCUGCAGAGGCUUCCCUUGAUCUGAUGAAGGCUAAUAUUGCUCGCAAAGAAGCCUGUGAAGGUUAGUGUUGUUGACUCUGUUUGCUGUUCAGUUCCGUAUUCUGCAUAUGUUUUUGUAAUGUUGUUUGCGUGUGCUAACAAAGCAAAUGAAUGGUGUUUUGGUGAUCAGAGAGCCCAAAGAAGGUUGAAGAGAAGAAGAUGGCCGCAUGGGGAACCGAUGUUCCUGAAGAUUUGGAAUUGAACGAGGAGGCACUUGCUAAUGCUCUUAAAAAGGUAAGAAGGCCGUAGACUCCGUUUAUAUUUCUCUUCUGUCAAAGACGUUUUUAUGUCUUGUAGACGUAUCUGAUACGCGUACAAUAAUGUGCAGGAGGAUGAGCGUAAGAGGGAGGAAAAGGAUGAGAGAAAGCGCAAGUACAAUGUCAAAUACACCAACGAUGUAAUUAUCUUACCACUCUAAUAGCAUCGAAUCACAUUCUUAAACUGAACUGUUGCUAAUUAAAAUAUCACAUUUUCAUCGCAGGUGACUCCGGAAGAGAUGGAAGCUUACAGAAUGAAGAGAGUUCACCACGAGGACCCAAUGAAGGAUUUCAUGUGAAAAAAUGUUUCUCCUGUUUUUUUUUUUUAACCGGAAGAAACUUUAUUACAUUUGUCUCUGUUUACUCGCAACACUUAUGGUGGAAAUAAACUAAAAUGUUGUCACUAAAGCUUUUGUGAAAGUUUGGCUAUUGCUUGCAUCCUUAUUUAUUUCUCUGGAAACUCUACCUAAAUCAUAGGAAGCAUAUAAGCUUAAGAGAUUAAUUAUGAUUUUAUUCUAAUUAACAAAGAUAUAUAAAUUAAAGGAGAAAGAUUAACUAUGAUUUUAUUCAGUAAAGCGUUACAUGCCUGUGUCAACGAUCGCUUCUAUACGACGGUCGUUGUUGUAAACUAGGCGUCCUUAAAAACUCAAAAACAAAACAGCUGCCUUAAAGCGUAGAACUUCUUUUGUACAUUAUUUUUUAUGACAAACCGUACAAAACCGAACAUUCAAACGCUGUUACAUCACUAACUCAUGCUUCAAGCCUCGACUCUAGGCAUACCGUAGCCCAUAGGACCACUGCUUUGAGUCAAUGUGGUCUCAAGAGUGCUGAACUUAACACUUCUAGCUUCUUGGGGUGAGAUCUGAUACCCGUUGGAUAUAACCUCAAGUGGUAAACCUCUCAUGACUGAGGUGCGUCCCGCGAGUGUGUUGAUCUGUGCGUUGUCGUUGCUCUUGAACUCGAUCCACUGGAACUGUUGGCUUGUGGCACGUUUCACGACCGCGAAGCCUUGUGGCACGACAAGUAACUGUCCCUGGGAGAUCUCUUGGUCAAACACUCUUUGUCCGUUGUCGUUCACCAUCUGUAUAUGAGCCUUCCCCUUUGUCACGUAGAGUGCCGCGUUUGCGUUCACGUUCCAUUGCGGCAGCACCAUAGCGUUCUGCCGUUAUUUAUCCAAAUUGUGAAAUUAAUUAUUAUUAUUUUGGAAAAAAAAAUGUCAGCACAAAUUUAAAUAAAAGUUUCGUGGGGGUUACGUUAUGGAUGGAGCCACGAAGAGCGCUAAGGCGGAGGAAUCUGAGGAUAGGGAGGUUGUAGCUGUUGAGUGUGCUAAUGUAUCCGAGCGAUGGCUUGUAGACAUCAGCACUUGACGGGUCAUCAAGGUUUUCGGUGCAUCUCAUUGUGCACAAUGUCUCCUCCAAACCAUUACCUUCUUCCUGUGGUUGCUGACCGCCUUGGCCUUGUCUCAAGGGUGGUCUAAUGACGCCGAAUUGACCUUGGACCUUGACGAUGUUGCCACGGUUGACUUGCUGGUUUUGGAGCUUUUGAGCUGUCUCGACGCUGAUUUUAAAGGCUUGAGCCAAGAUCUGAGGUGCGAAGCCAUUGAAGAUGUUGUUUUGUUUUUGUUGCUGUCGGCCUUGUAGCCAUUGCUGUCCUUGUGGGUUGUUUCCGGCUAUCAAAAAGGGCUGCAGGUAAACAUAAAAAUAUGAUUAUUAAUCUUUAGGUUAAUUAUNNNNNNNNNNNNNNNNNNNNNNNNNNNNNNNNNNNNNNNNNNNNNNNNNNNNNNNNNNNNNNNNNGUGGGGGGGGGGGGGGGAAUUAAAAGUGAAGAUUUAAACCUAAUAUAUGUUAAUCAUUUGAGUUUAUCAAUUUAUAAAUCGAUUAUAUUCAAGAAUAUAAACUAAGAACAACGAGCAGAUAUAUCAAUGUUCGAGUCCUAUAAAUUUUCUUUUUUUUUUAAUACUAACUAUCAUGUUAAUACUUUGUUUUCUAUAAAAAGUAGUUGAGGGCUAACCAAAAAAAAAUUAGUUUUAUUCUCGAUAAGCAAAAGAAAAAGAACUAUUCCAACCACAAACCGAAAAAUGUUCACUCUUUAAGGAAAAAAAUCGUUUUCGUGUUUCUUUUUUUGUUGUUAGACUUACUCUGAGGUUGCGGUCAAGCUGGUUCAGGUUAUUUGCGAUGUCAGCGGCUGCAACAAGAAUGAGAGGCUCAUUUCCAUUGUUGUAGAACCAUUGAGCUACACCAGGUGGUGUCGCUAUGGUGUCACCGCACCGUAGGUGCUCUACUUUCUGGUGCAUGUCACGGAAACCCUGGCCUUGACCCUGACCCUCCUGACCUUGUUCCUGGCUCUGUCCUUGUCCAAAUACAGGAGAGUCCAUGAAUGUCUCGGCGCAUCCAGGAGUCACUUUUCCCAUUAGACCAUGUCCUGUUUUGUUGCAACAGGAAAACAUAUUAUUCAAAACAACUAAAAAAAUGAAAUUAGAAUGAUCAAUCCAAAUGAAACAAAAAUAAACCGAUCUGAACCGGAGAAUAACUUUUCAUUUGGUUACCGUACGUAUAGUCUUAACUUAAAAACAUCAGAAGAACAAACCAAAAGUUUACACAACUAACCUCAAACUUAUCACUUUAACAAAAAAAAAAAACCCUCAAACUUAUUCUAAUAAUCAAACCAGUUUUAUGUUGACUAUUAUUUUUAUAGUAAAAUUAAAUAUAUACACACACAUUUUAUUACCCUUAUAGAUUUGUAUAUUUGAUUUUGUAGGUUACUAUUAUUCAUGAAAUAGAAAAUUAUAUGAAUAAAAAAACAUACAGAAAUUCUGGUAACACACUAUAAUUAAAUAUAUGGAUCGACGAUAUAUUAGUUAACGGAAACGCACCGUGAACGACGAACGUGAGUUUGCCGGCGUUCAAGAAAGUGGGCAAGUAAAGACCCUGAGGCUCAAUGACGAAACGCUCAAAGGCGAAGCCAGAGCAACGGAGCUGAGGUGCAUGGUGGUCCCAGACCUCAAUGCGACCACCCUCACUCUUGAUGAUCUGACUCGGCUCGAGUGCAUUGAGUUGGUCGAGCUGGCACUCGUUGGGCCACUGCUGAGCAGUGAAGCCAUGGAAAAGGGCCAAGAAUGUGAAAAAGAAGGAGAUAAGAGAGGUUGGACCCAUCUUUUUUUUUUUACUUUAAUUGUGAGUUAAGGCUUCUACAUUUGCAUGCAUGGAGUUUCGGUAUUUAUAGGAGAUUUUUGGUUGUGCAGCGUGCCUUUGACAUCAUAAUUCAGUCCUAAUUUAUUUAUCCUAAUUCUGUUAAAAAUAGAAGAAUCAACGAGGUUCUAAAAGUAUUAAAUGGUUUCGGCUAAAACAAAUUAAUAAUAUGAUUUGGUUGGUUACAGUUUUCGUUUAGAUACUUAUCAAAAAAAAAAGUUUUCGUUUAGAUCUUGCUUUUUAGGGAAUAUUAAUUAAAUUUCGCAAGGAAAUGUGUUUUCUAUUUUCUUUCAGUGAGGUCUUAGUUAUAUUUCUAUAUGAUCUAUCGAGGUUUUAGAAUAUAGUUUUGGUAAGGUUUAGGUUUAAUACGGAUCGAAUUAAUGAAAAUAGGUACCGCUAAUCGGAAUGACAUUCAACAUGCACUAUGUUUUUUUGUUUAUGCAUUAGUUAGGGGAUCUUCAUCCCAACUCCACUUUUUCCUGUAAAAUGGAGUAAAAGUGGAUAUAGAGUAAGGAAUGCUCCAACUCAACUUCAUAUCUCACUCUAUAAUGAAAUUUACUUCAUAAAUGGAGUAGUUUAUUUUUUGUUUGUUCAUUACUCUAUAAUGGAGUGGAAAAUGGAAUAGGAUUAGAGCAAUUUUACUCUAUUUUCAUUUUUACUCCAUUUUAAAGGAAAAUAUGGAGUUUUACAUUGGAAAUGCUCUUAAACUUGUUUUUCGAGUAGAAUACCUUAUAACACUCUGGCAAAUUAGCUUUUAUAACACACACACACACAUAUUUCUAUAAAGUAAUGCAAUUCCCGUUGUUGAGAUUAAUUAGUAUGUUAUGUUAACUUCGAAAUUAUUACGGUUAUUCCAAUCAGGUGAUUAAUCACCAUGUAAUGUCUUACACUGAAAAUAAAAUCUGACGCUGCAGAUUAUGUAUUCUCUCUUUUGAAAUCAUUUAUCGUGGAUGAAGAAAUAUGAAAUAAUUAUUACGAGUGAAGAUGAGAAUUAGGUGAGCUUAUGAGUUGUGAAUGGAGAGAGUAGACACAUUUCAAGUUGCAUGGCACAUCAAAGUGCAUGUUCUUACACAUCAGCUUCGAUGUCAUAACAUUUUUAUUUUACUCAAGUAAACACGUGAGAGCCACGUGAUGAUGUGGCGGACGCGACGAACCGAGCGUGACGAGUGUAUGGCUGCAUGCUUGCUCAGGUGCCACCACUUGGAUGCUUCUUUCUAAAACUUGUUCCGUCUUCUUCUCCUUUAGUAGGGGAAACUUGUUCAUCCAUUUAAAGAUGGUAAUGUCUGGGCCACAUUUAUAAAUCAGUCCAUUAUAAGCAUUCCACACAGACCAGAGCUAAACCCACAUUCGAGGCCCAAUAUAACUCUGGGUGGAAACUAACUUGUUCCAACUGCGUGCCGUCAUCUAAAAUAAAAACUGUAUUCACUUUAUAUAAUUGCAAGGAUGAGGCAAUAUUAAUAUAUAUAUGGGUCUUCUUCCAAUCUUCCACAUGCCACCUUGUGCUUCCCAGCUGUCACUUAGUCAGUUUGUCCACUCAUUUUGUUCUUUUUUACAGAAACAGAACACACAUAUAUUCUUUUCUACAUAUGAACAUGUCUACGCAUCUAUACGCAUCCAUGUACAUUAUAUGUAUGUACACGCAUAUUUAGACAGUGUUUUAUGCUAAAUUUUACAAAAUAAUGUCUUCAAAAAAUUAAUUACUGCUCCAUUCAUUUCUUCUAGAUUAUAAUACACGCAUAUUUAGACAGUGUUUUAUGCUAAAUUUUACAAAAUAAUGUCUUCAAGAAAUUAAUUACUGCUCCAUUCAUUUCUUCUAGAUUAUAAUUUCACUAGUCAAUAUUUACUGGUAACAAAAGAUUCUUGUAAAACCCUCAGAAGUUUUAUACUAUUAUCUAGUUUCUGAAUUAACUUCUAAAGAUGAUAUCAUCUAAAAUAGAGUUGACGUUUAUGAGCACUCUAUGCACUCUAUUGGUAGAAGAUUUUACGUUUAUUUUGGAUCUUUCAUUUUUUUUCAAUUUUCCAUUCAAAUUCUUAUUAUUAUUUACGUCCACCUCAAGUUGUGUUGUGCAACCUUAUCUUAAUAUCUCCUAUUAAAAGUUGUAUGUAAAUUCGAAUUAUUCACUGGAUGCCAUUACAUGUGAUGUGGGCUCUAACCACGGAUACACCACUUCAUAUUGUAUUUCUAAUAUAGUUGUCAAAUGUUUUUUGAGAAUCAUAUAAAUGGAUCUUAACGGCUAUAUGUACAUAUACUAUUAAUAAUAUGAUCUCUAUGAAACAUUAUUUUGUCUUGAACAUUUUGUAUUGACUUGGCCAUCUCAUUCCAACAAAGUCACAACUCAUCACUCCACACAUUAUACUUCCAUAUAAACCAUCCCCUUCCCACCUCGCUAUACCAAUCACUCUUCACAGUUUAACUGAACAAACUAGUAAUGGCUAUCGCACGUCUAACUCUAGCUCCUCUCCUCCUCAUCGCCGCCGUGAUUCUCUCAACGGAGACAUCAGCUCAGCCGGCAGCACCCGCUCCAGGCCCUGCUGGUCCUAUAAACCUCACGGCAAUCCUCGAAAAAGGCGGUCAAUUCACUACCUUCAUCCAUCUUUUGAAAAUCACUCAAGUUGGGGAACAAGUGAACAUUCAAGUCAACAGUUCAUCCGAAGGCAUGACCGUGUUCGCGCCAACGGACAAUGCUUUCCAAAACCUCAAGGCCGGAACUCUAAACAAGUUGAGCGCAGACGAACAAGUCAAACUCAUUCUCUACCACGUUAGCCCUAAAUUCUACACUUUGGACGAUCUCCUCUCCGUAAGUAACCCGGUUAGGACUCAAGCUUCCGGCCGUGACAACGGUGUUUACGGUCUUAACUUCACCGGUGAAGCUAACCAAGUCAAUGUCUCAACGGGUUACGUGGAGACACGUGUCAGCAACGCGUUGAGAUCACAACGUCCUCUCGCGGUAUAUGUUGUGGACAUGGUUUUGUUGCCUGGUGAGAUGUUCGGAGAGCACAAGCUUUCCCCGAUUGCUCCUGCCCCGAAAUCUCCGACCACUGGGGUUUCCGAUGAUGACACCAAGUCUAACUCAAGUAAAAAGGCUGCAGCGCCGGCAGAUAAGUCAGCAUCUGGUGAGAGGAGAGUUGGACUUGGGUUUGGUUUUGGACUUGUUGUCUUAUGUUUGAAGUUUCUCUUUUGAAUAUUGUGAUCGUUGCCUUGUAUUUGUUUCUGAUUAUUCCACCCGGUUUGGAUUAUGAAAUUUGUUCAUUUAUUUCCGUGAAAUGAAAUGAGAGAUUAUUAAUUUACUACAUAUAACAUUCGUCUAUAGUUGUCAUUAGUAAUGUACUAAUGUCUAAAUGUCUAAGUCAACUUGAAUAUACAUAAAUUCGGUAUAUCGAAGAAGGAAACUUGGUUCACAUGUAAUGUUUUUUUUCUGGACGUCCAUCUUCUAAGAUUAAGUAGUAGGCGGUCUUGAGACUUUCCGAAGAGACGCUCUAUCGGCUGAGUUUGAUUUAUAUGGAAAAAAAGACACCAUUAAAUCUCGCCUCUUUGACGAAAAAAUCUGCAUACACGUUCUUAGUCAUGGGUAUGCGGAGAAUGCUGAACUCAGAAAAAAUAACUUGUAGAAACCGGAAUGAGAUUAGCUUAGAAGUAAAAGCCGGCUAGUCGAUAGGAUUAGCAAUCAUGUCCAACAAAUCAGAGUAAUCCGUUUUCAUAUAAAUCGCAGUGCAGUGUAGCUUUUGUAAACAAGACAUUGCCCAUAUAAGUCCUUCCAUCUCUAUAUGGAGAGAUUCAGAGAUGAUAAGUUUUUUCCGGCAUCUUUGUAGUCCAAUCUUUCGACUCUCAUUUGGUUCGCAUGUAAUGUCUAAGUUAGAUAUUUUCUUAUUUAAAUACAAGUUACUAAUCUGAAUUUAUACCAAUAAUCUCAACUCUACGUGAAAAUCGGAGCAAAGAACGGCGGUCUUGCUAUACUGAUAAACCACUAAACCACUUGGUAGCUAAUAAAAUACAAUAAUUGAUUUAUCAUUACACUAUUUUAAAAUGGAUAAAAUAUGAUUUUGAUUCUUUUAUUGGUCCCUCAGAUCCGAAAUAAUAGCAGUCACAUGCGAUUACUAGACAUGGACCAUAUAACUCUUUGUUGGUUAGUAUGCUAUUAUUUUAUUUUGACCAGCUUAUUGAUUAGUAUUGAAUAAAGACGGGAAUAUGAGUUCAAAGAGUUGUUCUAUUAUCAGGCAAGUAUUAUCUAAUUGCCAUAACAUUUUAAUGCAGUGAGACGAGUAACACCGUGAGUGACUGUUUCGUGUACUCCUUAGGCCUAAUGAAGCGACAUUCUGGGCCUAAUGAAGCAUACUUUUAGACUUUUAGUGAUAUAUACACAUGUGACAAAAAGAAAAGACUUAACUCACAUAAUGGGCCUAUAAAAGCAACUACUUAGUAAUGGGCCUGAUUAAUUCGGCCCAAAUAUACAAGAAAGUUUCUGAUAUAUCGGGAGUUCAAUUGUCGUCACUCCUCGAUUCUAAAACCCUAAGCUUCUUCGCCGACUAUCUCCGAUCGUGAUCCUUCCUAAACCCUAGCCUCACCGGUGAUUAAGAGCUGAUCUAAGGUACCUUUAUCUCUCUCGAUCCUCCGUUCGUAUCUCCGAUUUUUCACUGUGUUUAUUGGUAUGUUCCGUUUGUAUGCCGAUAAAGUCUACGAUGUGCCUGAUUUAGAGUUAAAAUGUUUGUGAUGUAAACUCGUAGAUCUGCUCUCGUUGCAUCGACGAUCUAUAGUUACUGAUUCUAAAUGGCCUAAGGCUCGAUUGAUUUUGGCUUUGCUAUUGAUGUGUUAAGUCUUUCGGAUCUUUGGAUUAUCUACUGAAACUAAUCGAUUCUAUAAUGUUGAUUUCUUUUGGUUUUGGUAGAUCAUGAGUUUCAACAAAGUGCCGAACAUCCCUGGAUCUCCUGCUCUCUCCGCGCUUCUCAAGGUCAGCGUUAUCGGUGGCCUCGGUGUCUACGCCAUCACUAACAGCCUCUACAAUGUCGAGGGUGGGCAUCGUGCCGUCAUGUUCAACCGAUUAACCGGUAUCAAGGAAAAGGUUUUGUAUUAUUAUUCCUCCAACUUACAAUAGUCUAUGAAUACUUAUUUUGAUUAAUGUGAGUUUCACUCUCAGAUUUGUUUUUUUUUUUUUAAGGUGUACCCGGAAGGUACGCAUUUUAUGUUGCCAUGGUUUGAGAGGCCAAUCAUCUAUGACGUCCGUGCACGACCCUAUCUUGUUGAGAGCAGCACUGGUAGUCAUGAUCUUCAGACGGUGUGCUGUUUAUCUUUAUUUUUUUUUUGUGUAUUUGUUAUAUUAUUUGAGAUGGAACAGAAAAUAAACUUAUUGUUUGUUGUUUGCACAGAUCAAAAUUGGACUUAGGGUUCUCACACGUCCCAUGGGUGACCGUUUGCCUCAUAUUUACCGAACCCUAGGCGAGAAUUACAGUGAAAGGGUUCUCCCUUCCAUCAUCCAUGAAACACUGAAGGCUGUGGUGGCUCAGUACAAUGCAAGCCAGCUCAUCACUCAGAGAGAAGUAUGUAACUCGACAUUCUUCUUAGUACAAUUUUGUUCUACUCUUUUGUUCAUUAUGGUUGACUUUAUUUUUUGACUCGCCUCUAGGCUGUGAGCAGAGAGAUACGCAAGAUUCUGACGGAGAGAGCUUCGAACUUCGACAUUGCUCUUGAUGAUGUCUCCAUCACGACUCUCACUUUUGGCAAAGAGUUCACUGCUGCAAUCGAGGCAAAGCAAGUCGCUGCUCAGGAAGCUGAACGUGCCAAGUUCAUUGUGGAGAAAGCUGAGCAAGACAAGAGAAGUGCUGUUAUCCGUGCGGAGGUAAAUGAUAACUGGGAACUUUAAUUGGGAAUCUAAUGACAGAGAUUACAUGCUUAUGGGUGUGUGUGUAUUGAUUCAUUGUGCAGGGAGAAGCUAAAAGUGCUCAACUUAUAGGACAAGCAAUUGCAAACAAUGAGGCAUUCAUAACUCUGAGAAAGAUCGAAGCUGCAAGAGAGAUUGCUCAGACCAUUGCAAAAUCAGCUAACAAGGUGUACCUGAGCUCCAACGAUCUGUUGCUUAACCUUCAAGCGAUGAACUUGGAGCCUAGCUCGAAGAAGUGAAAACAAGGAACUAUAUAGUAAGUUCCAUCCGUUUCUCUCAAAAUGACUAUUUUGUCCAUUAUCGUGAUCGAUCCUGGAACUGCUUACUUUAAGUCGAGACAUUGAAACUUGGAUUAGCUUUGGUCGUCAUGUUCUUGUUUAUAUUUUCUUGCGCUUUCCGGGAAAAUUGUUUGGCUGGAUUUAAAAAAUAAUAAUAACAAACAUAUUCGUAUGGCUAGACACGUUUUUAUUUAUAAUCCUAAUAUUACUUGCGAUAUUUAAAAUCUUAUAACUUUGCUAUUCAAAAUUUCUGUUCUCAACCAGUUGCCAGCGUUAUCUACCUGUAGAGAAAUUUAUAUCGUCGAAAAAAUAAUCUUAGCGCAUACGUAUUAUAAGAUUCGUAUGAGCAUAGCAAUAUGGGUCCCUUUGUAUUUGGUGACACCAUGCCGGCGCCACCAUGAUACAGACGUCUUUUUUUUCUUCUUUUUACCGGUGUGGAGUUUUAUGGGGGUGACGAUACCCCGGCAAAGUCAGAUGACGUCAAAUUGAAAAACAAUUUAUUAAAAAAAUUUGACCAAGUAAAAACUCUUAUUUGAUGUCUUCGUAUAUAAUAACCGACGGCUGCUUCUUCUUAAUGAUGUCAUGUAUUAUCCCAAUUAACUUCCUGAGAAAACAAAUUAGAUGGACCGUAUUGUAUUGUUUGAGUAAAAGUGAUUCAAAAUUACACGCGUUGUAGUAUAAACUAAAGAGACACGGCUAGUUGUUUUGUAAAGUUAAAGGAAAUGUCGUAUGGUUUUAUCACGGUGAGGGUCCAUCUUCUGUCAUUUUCUCUCGUUCUUCUCAGCUGUUUCCUUUUGACGAAAGGGGUGGGGGUUGUUUAGAUUUUUCCACAAAUUACCACGUCAUCAACAAGGCUUUGUGGAGUUCGUGACGUUCGUGCAAUGUUUUUUUCCAAUCAAUCAACAGAUUGUAUGUAAGGUUAACUAAUCCUAUCAAAGGCUUCAAAAUUAAGUUUAGUUGUUGAGGUAUUUCGAUGAAAUGGUAUCUAUAUUAUGUGCCUAUACAAUACUGUCACCAUGUAUUUAUAUUUUUGAUGGAGAAAAACAUUUUUUUAAUUAUUCUACGUAGGUUUAAUCAUUUCUUUCAAGUUUCAACUAAAAUAUAAUAUACCGAAUUGUUAUCUUAUUUCUUAAUGUUAAAGAAAAUAAGUCAUCAUCAUGACGUAAUAGAGAUGAUCUUAAAAUCUAAUGGUCCAUACAAUGAUUUGCAUUUAUCCAUUGGCGUAACCAUACGAAGACAAUUGUAAUUGUGACAUAAGUCGAAAACAACUAAAGAAAUCGGUUGACAUCAGCCUUGUCGUCAGCCAUUUACUAUGUCGGCGUCAUCAAUUAUUUUUUGAAAUAAACUAUAUCGUGCAAGUCAUUGAUUUUCUAAAUUACAAUAGGAUAGAAAUGACAUUACGUUAUAAGAUAAUGAUAAUAUACUCCAAAAUAUUGAGUUGUCGCAUUUGAGUUCCGACAAUGAGAUCAAAACUUAUCUUUCAUUCCUAAGUUAAUUAACACUAAAUAUUUUAAAAACUUUUUUAGAUAAUUUACACUCAACAUUAAUAAGUAAUCACAAGUACAGCAAUGGAUAUGUAAUUUAGAUACGGUGACGUUGCUUCGGAUAUUCUGAGAAUACUAUCUACACAUGUUUACGUUGACCUCAAAACGAAAUGCUCUCUAAAAUUCUCUAUAUAAAUUCUUUAAUCUAAUCUCUUACCAAUCCAUCACAACUAAAGAAGACUCUCUCUCUCUCCCUCUCUCCCUCUCUCUUGUCUCUCUUCUCUCUCUAAAUCAAUUAUGCAAAAAGCAAUAAGAGCAUACGAGUCAUCGUGGACGAAGACCACAUCGGCCAAUAGCAUUUUCCGUCCAAAGAAUGAAGAUAAACCAUCAUCAUCAUUAUCAUGGCUAACAUCAUCACCAUCACCACAAAAGCCAUCAUCUUCAAGCACUAAGAAAUCAAGCUAUAACGUUUUGGUGAUGGAGAAUGCUGUGGUGGUGUUUGCGAGGAAGGGUUGUUGUAUGGGACAUGUGGUGAAAAGGUUGUUACUGACACACGGCGUGAACCCAUUAGUAGUUGAGAUUGACGAAGAAGACAAUAACGAUAUGAUCAUAAGUGAUUUGGGUAAAACUGUUAUUAAUAAAGAGAACUUACCAGUCAUGUUCAUAGGAGGAAAGUUGUUUGGAGGAUUGGAGAAUCUGAUGGCUGCUCAUAUUAAUGGUGAUUUAGUGCCUACUCUCAGACAAGCUGGGGCUUUAUGGCUUUGAUUCAAUAUGAUUUUCCUCUUAAUCUUUUUCCGUGUUGCAUUAUUUGUGAAUAUAUUUUUGGCAAUGUUUUAAACUAUGUGAAUUUUUAAUCAAUUGUUAUGUAACACAUAAAAGUUUAUCAAAGAACAAUAAAAAACAUUUUUCUUGUAAUUAAAAGCUCUUGAAAUCUGUUUUUCUGCAUAAUAAUUAACAAGUCAAAUGGUAUCCAACCAGCUGCCAAAUUUGAAAGGUCAGAACUCAUCAUAAACCUUGGCUUUUCCAAGUCAGAUCUGCUUUGUUUCACCAAGACUCAUACUGUUUCUCCGAGCAACUGAUCACCACACCAAAAUCAAUCUUGUGAGGAUUAUAUCGUUUCGUUGAAUCUCUUAGUCGGUGAGCUUUUUAAGCUGAUAACAAUGAUUUUAUUAAGUUCAGCUUUGACCUUAAUUUAAACUUUGCCAUUUAAAUUUUGUUGAACAGCCUCGUUGUGACAGCAAUAUUGACAAACAUAAUACGACACUUAAGAUUAGACCUUCACAGCCCAUUAUUGAUAUUUUAAUGGAUUAAUAAAAUGGGACCCUAAUAAUGGCCUAAAAAUUAAGGGCCCAAUAUAUGCUAAGAAUUUAUAUCCCGUUCAAUCCUACUGCCUUUUGUUUAAAAUCAAAAUGAAGUAAUGUUCGUUCAUAUGAACAACUCAAAAGAAAUUGUGUAUUAGAUAUUGGUAUUGUUUUCUAUAUUAUUCACAAUGAGCAAUGCUCUGGCUUUAUACAAUGAGAGAGAGAACCUAAUAAGGAAUGUGUAUAUACAAGGAGUAAUGUGAGAAUAUAUGAUUGAGAGUGAUGAUCGUCUUUCUAUAUCUUACAUCCCCCCUCAAGAUGGACCGCCUUUGGCGAGGCCAAUCUUGUUGCAUAGAGACUGAUGCUUGCCGCGAGGUAAAGGUUUGGUAAGAGCAUCUGCAAGCUGAUCAGCUGAAGUGACGUGUGAGACACGGAUGCGGCCCGCUUGGACAAGGUUUCGAACAAAGUGGUAAUCUAGAGCCAGAUGCUUCAUACGAGAGUGAAAGACCGGGUUAGCUGCAAGGUAGGUGGCUCCUAUGUUGUCACAGUAGAUGGCUGGUGUAGUGAGUUGCUUCAGCCCCAAUUCAGUGAUCAAGGAGAUAACCCAGCUAACUUCUGAGGCAGUAGAUGCAAUGGAGCGAUAUUCUGCCUCCGUAGAUGAGCGUGCAACGGUAGUUUGUUUCUUUGAGGACCAGGCUAUGGGAUGCUUCCCAUAGUAGACAAUGUAUGCUCCAGUUGAGGUGUAAUCGUCUUUGUUUCCCGCCCAAUCAGCAUCAGUAUAGGCGUGUAGUGAUGGGGUGUUGUGCUUGUGAAGGAAGAUGCCAGUAGUCAUAGUUCCAGCAAGAUACCGAAGGAUGCGUUUGACUCCAUUCCAAUGCUCAUCACUCGGUUUAUGCAUGAAUUGAGACAUCUUGUUGACUGCGAAGGAGAUAUCUGGACGGGUGAGUGAGAGGUAUUGGAGACUCCCAACAGUGGCUCGGUACUGUGUUGGAUCUUUCAGAGGCGUGCCUGAGCUCAGAGUUAGUGGCUUGUAAGGGCACAUCGGUGUAGGAACAGUGUUGCAGUCCUCCAUCUUGUUCCUAUGUAAAAGAUCUGCAAUAUAACGAUGUUGUGUAAGUAAUAGACCUUGAGAAGAGUAAUGAGCUUCAAUGCCUAAAAAAUAAGAAAGUUGGCCAAGAUCUUUUAGUGAGAAUCUCGUGGAUAGAGAUGUGAUGAAGUUGUUGAGAUGAGUCUGGUUGUUGCCCGUCAAGAUGAUAUCAUCGACGUAGAUCAACAUGUAUAGGAGAACUCCAUUGUUGUUGUAGAUGAAUAAGCUUGCGUCAGCCAAGGAAUUUUUGAACCCAGAGGCAAUCAAGAACCGACGAAGCUCGUUGUACCAUGCCCUUGGGGCUUGUUUCAGACCAUAGAUCGCCUUAUGGAGUUUACAUACAGCCGUAGGAUUGUCUUUGUCUACGAACCCUGGCGGUUGUAGCAUGUAAACAUUAUCUUCGAGCUUCCCUUGUAAGAAGGCAUGAUUAACGUCGAACUGUCUUAGAGGCCAGUUGUGAGAGGUGGCAACGCUGAGAACAAGGCGGAUUGUUGCUGGUUUUACCACUGGGCUGAAAGUAUCAUGAUAAUCAAUUCCUGGUUUUUGAUUGAAGCCCUUUGCUACCAGCCGCGCUUUGAAUCGAUCAACUGUACCAUCGGCUUUCCUUUUGAUCGUAAACACCCAUUUACAGCCCACUACAUUAGCUGCUCUGAGUGGAGACUCUAAAUCCCAUGUGUGAUUGCGCAGUUGAGCAUUGAUCUCGUCUAUCAUGGCUUGACGCCAUCUGGGGUCUUUCAGAGCUUCAGCUACAGAGGUGGGAAUCCUUUCAGAGCCAAUAUGAACCACUGCUGAAAGAUUGAGCUUGUCAACUGGUUUCCGUGUACGCUGAGAUGUGCGUGUGGGUUGUCGAGGCUGAAGAGACUGUGAGGUAGUUGAAGUAGAAGCCGGUUGUGGUAGAACAGGUUGCACCGGUUCUGGUGAGAUCGUUGGAGGUGGGACAUUGGCAGGAGCACUCGUAGUUGGAGGACCAGUUGCUGCAGGGCCGGUUGCAGUAGCUGGAGGUUCGGGUGCUGUGACAUUGUCAGUAGCACUCGUAGGUGGAGUACCAGUUGCUGCAGGUCCGGUUGCAGUAGCUGUAGGUUCUGGUUCUGUGACCGUGGCAGUGUCUUGUGGUAAUGGUUCUGUCCUGUUGUUGGGAGUAGGUGCCAUGGGAGGAACUACUUGUACUGUUGGUCCUGGUGUCUGUGAGGAAUCUGCAUCAACAACUUCAGUUUGAUUUUCACAAGUUAGCGGAUUAGGCAGUGAAAAAGGAUAAACAUACUCAUGAAAGACAACAUGUCGAGAUGUAUAGAUGCGAGAUGUAGUUCUAUCUAGACAAAAGUAAGCACUCUGAGUAGUAGAAUAUCCUAAAAAUGUGCAAGGAGUUGAUCUAGAAUCUAGCUUAUGAGAUGUAUAAGGACGAAGCCAAGGAAAACAUAAGCAACCAAAUAUUCUUAACUUGGAGUAAUUUGGAACCUGUCCAAACAGAGACUCAAAAGGCGAUUUCAUAGAUAAAAUAGGAGUAGCCAUACGGUUGAUAAGGUAUACUGCAGUAGCAAAAGCAUAUGUCCAAUAGCCUUUCGGCAUGGAAGCAUGCGAUAGGAGGGCUAGUCCGGUUUCGACAAUAUGGCGAUGUUUCCUCUCGGAAAUGCCAUUAUGCUCUGGAGUAUGUGGUGGAGUAGUAAAAUGUGAGAUGCCAUUAGCUGCCAAGAAUGCAGUUAGAGCAAUGUACUCACCACCAUUAUCCGUAUAGAGCGUUCUAAGUUUUGAUUGAAAUCGGUUUUCAACCAACACUCUGAACCUCUUAAAAACCUCAGAAACAUCUGAUUUUCUUUUUAAAGGAUAAAGCCAAGUAUAUCUAGUAUAGUGAUCUACAAAAAUAACGUAGUAUUUGAAAUUAUCAGUUGAAAUUAUUGGAGAUGUCCAAACAUCUGAAAAGACAAUAUCAAGUGGAGAAGAAGAAGUAAGAGUUGAAGCUGAAAAUGGCAACUUGUGCAUCUUAUUAAUAGAACAAGCAUUACAAGGCUUGGUCAAUAAAGCAUGAGAAGAUAAAGGUAAAUCAAAUUUUGAAAGCAUAGUUUUUAAAAUAGAAAGAACUGGAUGGCCUAAACGAGAGUGCCAAUCUGAUAAAGUAGUAGAAGUAGCAGAAGCAUAAGAUAAAGAAGGUGGAGAGGAAAUAGGUAGUUUCGGCCAGACAUAAGUUCCACCCUUAGGUUUGCCUUCCAGUCGAAGAGCUCCCGUAGUCAGAUCGCGGACCUGAAAGUACGUCGGAGUAAAGGUAACAGCCACACCAUUAGUCUUACAUAACUGGAAAACCGAUAUCAAGUUUUUAUCUAAGGCAGGAACAUAUAAAACAUUAUCAAUAAAGAAGGGUGAUUUAAGAGAUGGAACAGAGAAAGAACCAGUGUGGGAAAUGUGUAGACCCGAGCCAUCACCGAGAAUCACAUCAUCACCACCGUUGUAGGGAGCAUGGAGAGACAGAUUUGUUAAGUCGGAUGUCAUGUGAUGUGAAGCACCGGAGUCAAGCAACCAUGUUGAGGAGUCACCAUUCAUCAUUGCGGCAUUAGCUCUUGGCUGCCACGACUGUGGGUGAGGAGUUUGUUGCCAUGGCUGAGUGGUGUUCCACUGUUGUGCUGAGCCAGACCCACGAACAAUACGAAAUUCAGGACAAUAUUUGGCACUGUGUCCCUGUGUUCCACACGCUUGACAACGUCCAAGAUAUGGACGUGGUGAACGAUUCUGGUUCUGGUGUGUGUAGUUUCUGCUGUUGGAGUUGCGAUUGUUGGGCUUCCAAGUCUGGUUGGAGUUGUGGUUGUUGUUCCUGAAGCGUGUAUCAGUAGCGUUAGCAGUGAUAGGAGUCUCUGGUGUAGAGACUGGAGCUUUGCAUAGGAUCAUUGCUUCUCUGUUAAGGAGGCGUUCAUGGAGUUCAACAAAGGAGAUCGUUGUGUCUCUGCCAUGAAUGGCAUCAACCUCUGACUUGUAAUCCUCAGGCAAACCAUUGAGAACAAAUUCAGUAAUGUCUUCUGGAUCCAUAGGCUUUCCAAGUUGUGCCAGUUCAUCAGUCGUAACCUUGAUACCUCUGAGAUAAUCAGAUAUGGUUUUGGUACCUUUAGCGCAUGACUGAACUUGGAGUUUGAGUUGACGUAUGUGUCCACGGGUGGGGUUGCCGAACGUUUGAGAAAGCAGGCUCCAUAUCUCAGCGGUCGUUGUAGCGCUCGAAACCAAUGGCUGGAGCGGUGCAGAGAUGGUUCCAAUAAGAGAGCUGUAGAGAAGCCGAUCUUGUCUCCUCCAUGGAGCGUACUCAGGAUUUACUUCAUUCUGGACUUCUGCAUUAGUCGCAUUGGAGGGAACAGCCUUCGCGGCAUCAAGAAACCCGUGGAGUUCCAGACCUUCAAGCAGAGCACAGAUCUGUUUGCUCCACAUGAGGUAAUUGGUAUUUGUCAAUUUGGUGAUGCUGGACAUAUUCACCGUGAGCAGGGUGCUGGCGGGAUCUCGUGUGUUGAAGACUGUGGUUGUCUCCGCAGAGGAUGUGCGAUUGGUACUUUCGUUAGCCAUUUAGCCGUUUGAGAAAGAGAGGCAGAAGAAAAAGACGUAGGGAAUGGGGGAGGAAGAAGAAAAAAAGACGUAAGAUAGAAAAAUUAGGUCAAGAUCUUUAGGUGCUCUGAUACCAUAUUAGAUAUUGGUAUUGUUUUCUAUAUUAUUCACAAUGAGCAAUGCUCUGGCUUUAUACAAUGAGAGAGAGAACCUAAUAAGGAAUGUGUAUAUACAAGGAGUAAUGUGAGAAUAUAUGAUUGAGAGUGAUGAUCGUCUUUCUAUAUCUUACAUUGUGGACAUACAAGUCUUGAAUAUCUACAAAAGUUUUUCAACGUAGAAAGUUUUUUUCACAUACAUUUUUUUUUUAAACCAACUUUCACAUACAUUAUUGUUCAAUGAUGAACAAUUACUACACACUUAAUUAUGUAUGAAGUUCGAACUCCAUAUGCAAAUUAAAUAAUACAAAACUAAGGUUUUUGUUUUCUCCGGAAGCGUAAGGAAACGGAAAAAGAAAAUCAUUUUCUAAUAUAUUUCUUGAGUGAUAUGUGCAGAUUCUGUCAAUCAUAAAUUUAGUACGUACAUACGCAUAUACGUUUGCGUAGUGCUAAAUUUUUUUUGUAACAAAAAAUAAUGGUAUUAAGAAAUCAUACAAGUGCGUAACGUAUUUGAUUUAAACUAAUAUUUGAUGAGGCCUACCUUCAAUCACGAAGCCAAUAACAUUUGUGACACUUACUAUAAUAUAGUAUUACGAAAGACCGCUUUUGAGUAAUUAUCAUCAACUUUUUAAUAUGCUUUUUACAAUCUCGAAUGCAUCUACGAACAAUUAUGGACGAAGGUGGGCCAAGUUUGACCGUUUAGUAGCAAUCCAGGUUCGAAAUUGCGCUAGGCGUGAGUCGAGCGGUGAUGUCGGGCCUAGCGAGUUACCAAAAAAUCGGAGAUUAAGCGGGAAUUAAUCGGGGAGUAAUUAUAAGCGUUUUAGUAAUAUAUAUACGUUUUGGUAAAUGAUAACAAAUAUUUGUAGUGGUCUGGUGGUCAUUAAUGCAGUCGGAUGUCCAAAUAAUUCGGGUUCGAAACACUGUCUUCUCAAUUUUUAAGCAUUUUCGUAUUUAAUUCAUUAAAAAGUAAAAUUACAUUAUUACCCUCAUCUCUUUAACAGACUUCUCUGCAACCCUAGCCGCCGUUCAUGAGUUCCAAACAUGAUUUUUCACUUUUUUGUCAUUUUUCUUGCGGUUUACAGCACAAAGUCUCAAAAGAAUAUCGAUUGAGGUCAAAAUUAUGUAGAUUAUCAAACUGAAGCAACACGUGCUUGUAAUAUUAAGCACCGAUUGCAUCAUUUUCGCGGUCAACUCAAGACAAAUUCAACCCACCGCCUAGCUACUCCGAUCAGCUCCUCCACGCCACGGUGACAACACGCCCAACGCUUACCCGGCCGAGAUCUCGGCAACUCGGGCGCGUUUUCGAACACGGGUAGCAAUGUAAGAUAUUCUUUCUAGUGUUUUUCUAGUCUUUAUCCAUAUAUGUGUAACAUGAAAAUGUCCUCAUCACUCAAUAAUUGUUGUAGAUCACUCAAACAAAAUCACCGCGAAGACUAUCUUCUUAUUUAUAUGACUUGUUUAGCUAAAUAUAUGGAAACUAUGUAAUAACACGCGCCUUGCGCAUGAUGUGAUUAUUAGUUUCAUUAUUUAAUAAAAAAAUAUUAAAUCUGUCUAAUAUGGAUAUUAGUUCGGUUUUAAGUUUUUUUUUUAGUUUUUAAUCUUCUAAAACAUAAGUAUAAUUUUAAAUUAAUAUUUAUUUUAGUUUAUUCGGUUAAAUUAUGUUUGAUUUUUUGGUUUUUCCGGUUAUUUUCAAGUUAUGAAUUUUAGAUAGUCGUCAUGUCGAACCAAUAAUUUCAUAGUAUAAUUUAUAAACAGAUAAUAAUUUAAGAAAAAGAAAAAAAAAUUAUUAAGACAAAUCAUUUCACUACAAUUUGGUCGAUAGUGAAAGAAGCAUUAAGAAAAAAUAUUUCAAUUUUAAAAAAAAUUAGAUACUUUAAUUGUGGUGAAUGCUUAGUUACAAGAGACAAUUGGCUGAAUAUACCUAAACCACCAAGAAAUUAAGAAACUACCCUAAAGCAAGAAAAACUCAUGUCCACUAUAGAUAUUUUUGUUUCCCUUUUCCGUUUUACCCUUGCCCUAAUUUUUUUAUAUGUUUCUCUUUCUUACCCUAAAUUUUGAUUAUAUAUGCUACAAUAAUUGUUAACUGCUAGGAUAAUAUUAGUUGAAUCGAUAAUGAUUAAGUUAACACGUUAACAUAAUUUGUAACUUUUAACAGAAUAUAUACAUAUUAGUUAAUGAUUGCUACUUUAACCAUUUUACCAAACAAUGUAAAAAUCGAUAACAUAUUUUGUAACAGUUAACCAAAUAUGUAUCAACUAAUCAUAAUAUGUUAUAUAUAACAUGAACACAAAGUUUUAACGUAACUGUUAUGUGACUUGUUUUAACCUACUAACUUAUUUCAUAGCAUCUAACAAACUAUUUAACAGCCAACACCUCAGCUCUGUAAUAGAUGAUUGCUACUUUAACAAUUUUACCAAACAAUGUAAAAAGCGAUAACAUAUUUUGUAACAGUUAACCAAACAUGUAUCAACUAACCAUAAUAUGUUAUAUAUAACAUGAAUACAAAGUUUCAACGUAAACUGUUAUGUGACUUGUUUAACCUACUAACUUAUUUCAUAGCAUCUAACAAACUAUUUAACAGCCAAGACAAGCUAUUUUUUUUAAAUGACAAACCGUUUUAAAAGGCUGUUAACAUGUUUUAUAACAGCUAAGUAAACAUUUAUCAGCUAAUGAUAAUAUAUUUUGUGAAAAAAUCAGCAUCCACCGGUUUAUUAACAACUAACCAAACAUGCAUAUGCUCACAAUAUUUGAUUUGUAGCAUGUAAUCAAACAAUUAUCCGUUAACUUAAUAAAUAUCGACUACAAGCACAAAUAACUUAAAUGUUAGAUUCAAGUUUCAUCAAUGUCAGGAAAUCUCUAUAUUUCUUGAUUAUACAAACCAUCAAUACAACCAUGUGAUUUUACCAGCGAAUGAAUCGAAGAGAUCUCACAUGUAUAUUAAACAAAAUUUCUUACUUCAUAUCACGGUUAAAUUGAGUAAAAAGGAUAGAUAUGACAGAUAGAAAAACUCAUGUGAGGAUAGUACUCAUUAGAUUCAUACUCUGUAUUAAUUAAAAUAUACGUACAUGUUGCUGAUUCACAUCGAUCGUUGGAAAUAGAAAAGAUAUGGAAAAAAACAUUUGUAGAUUAAUAGAAAAAAAAUUGUGUUUGGUGAUUUUAAGAAAAUACAAGAGAGAGAGAGAGAGAGAGAGAGAGAGAAAUAAGAAGAUUGUUCUGGACAGAAGAUUAUAAGAAGACACAAGAUAAAGAAUGAUUCAGAUAGUUGGGGCAUGGGUGAUAUCUUGCAUAUUUGCAUUGUUUUAUCCAUUCAUCCAUGAGCAUUUUCAUCAUAUAGAUUAGGUUUCAGACAUGUUUAGGUUGCAUUUUGCAUACAUGAGUCUCUAUUAGGUACUGGAAUACCACAUGAGGCUAUUUGGAGCUCAAAAGAGGUGAAAAGGUGACCAUUGAACGAACCGAGCAUGGGAGCGACCUCCCGGAGCGACAUCACGAAGUCGCUGUGUCCCACUUCUCAGAGCGACCUUCCUAAAGCGACGCCAUGAAGUCGCUCGCGUUCUCAUUACUCCGAACAGUCUUAGAUGACCCUGGAGCGACCUCUCAGAGCGACCUACCAAAGUCGCUCCCGAUCCAGAGCGACCCGUUGGAGCGACUGCACAAAGUCGCUCGCGUUUUCACGUCCGGAGACACACAACUCGCUCUCGGAGCGACCUCUCGCAGCGACCCAGCGAGGUCGCUCCCGAAGCUUGGAGCGACCUGUCCAGAGCGACAGGGAGAAGUCGCUCGCCAUCUUGGUUCCCGGAGACAAGAAAUCGCUCUCGGAGCGACCUCUCGCAGCGACCCAGCGAGGUCGCUCCCGAAGCCUGGAGCGACUUGUCGGAGCGACGAGCCGAGGUCGCUCCGCGCCUAUUAUCUGCUCGAUUUCUAUUUUACUUAAGGGCCUUUUGGUCAUUUCAUUAUGCACGUUUUGCACUUGGAAAAACCUAUGUUUUAAACAUCUUUUGUAGCCACCAGUGGCAGAUUAUCUUUGAGCUUUUGAUCUAUUGAGAAAGACACAAGAACUCUCUUGAGAAGUUCAUCUCUUGGGUUUUGAUUUGUUAUGUUCUUGUGUUCUUGUUGAUUUCUUAUCUAUUUCUCUACAUGGUUAAUCUGAAAUCCAAUAUGGGUUUAAGAGGAAUCAUGGAGAUUAGUGAGUAAUCACCUUUGGAAUUCAUGGGUUAGGGAGAUUAAGGGUGAUUAGGUUAGAGUUAGGAUGUUUUGGUGUAGAUCAUUCAUAUUUCCUUGCUAGUAGAGUAAUCAUAAUGCAUCUUCUGAGUUGGCCACUCAGUUGUUGAUCCUUAGGCAUUUCUCACCCGAAAGGUGUUCGAUGAAAUGCCCGAGACAACUCUCCUAGGCUUUUAGUAUACUUUGCCAAAGACAUUUGUUGUUAAAGGUACUAAGAUAGCUAAUAGACUUGUUAGUAAUGAUUGCUUUCAUAUUAUUCAACCAAAGACAUUUGAUGUUUGAGAUAUGUUAGCAAAUGAGCAUUCAUCUAGACAUAGAGCUUGCUUAGAAUUGUGUCUAGGCUUAAGGUUGAUUGUUUGAUUGAUCAUUUGCCAUCCUUAGUUCGAUACUUGAUCACCCAAGGUCUAAUCCCUAUACCCAUGAGUUCUCUUUUCCUUUAGUCAAGAAAGUAUCAUUCUGUUAUUGCUUUCUAGUUUUAGUCAUAGUUUAAAACCCUUCUAAAUCAUUGGUUGCACUUAGAUUAAGUGAGUACUUGCAUUCUCAGUGCUUUGAUAUCCCUCAGAACUGGUUCGACAAUCUUCUAUACUACAACAUUUGUCUUAGGAGCCUUGAAAACUCCUAACAUCAAAUUGGCGCCGUUGCCAAAUUCUGAGUAGCCUUGAAAACUCUUAACAUCAAAUUGGCGCCGUUGCCAAAUUCUGAGUAGAUUUGAACAUUGAGAUUUAGUCACUUGCUUGAGACUAAGUCAUUUUUAUUUUCUUUUGUUACUGAUUCUCUUUCUUCACCUCCCUUUAAUCUACAGGUGUAUGAACUUGAGGAGCAGGGGUCCAUCAAACCUAGUUCCAAUAGCUGCAGACAUCAGAGCUUUAGAGAGAGAGUGUGCUAGAAAUAGAAGAGAAGAAGAGCUACAGGCUCAAUUGCAGAGACUGAACACUGAUAUGGGAGACAUACCUCAAAACCAACAGCGAGCAGCUCGACCCAUUGGCACUUACGACCGCCCCAACAUUCAUGGUCAUAGAUUGGGAAUCCGAGCACCCGCUGUGGCAGCCAACAACUUUGAGAUCAAAUCAGGACUCCUCAACGUGAUCGAGAACAACAAGUAUCAUGGCUUGGCUCUAGAGGAUCCAUUUGAUCACUUGGACAGGUUCGACAGCUACUGUGGGUUGUCAAAAACCAAUGGUGUGUCCGAAGAUGCCUUAAAGCUCAAGCUAUUCCCUUUCUCUUUGGGGGAUAAGGCACGUCAGUGGGAGAAGUCUCUACCCAGUGACUCCAUCACUACUUGGGAUGACUGCAAGAAAGCAUUCUUGGAGAAGUUCUUCUCUACUUCAAGAACUGCUAAGCUGAGAAACGAGAUUUCCAGCUUUCAACAGAAGAACUUGGAAGGCUUCAGUGAAGCCUGGGAGAGAUUCAAGGGCUACCAAGCUCAAUGCCCACACCAUGGCUUUUCUAAGGAGAGCUUACUGAGCACAUUCUACCGUGGUGCUCUUCCUAAGUACAGAGCCAGACUGGAUACAGCUAGCAAUGGGUUCUUCUUGGGGAGAACUGAAGAGGAUGCAGAAGAGUUGGUUGACAACAUGGUAAAGAGUGAUGCAGUCUACAGUGGAGACCACGACAGAGGCAGUAGAACAGAUGAUAAGCAGACGAGGAAAGAGAUCAAAGCUUUGGAAGACAAGAUCGAUCUACUCAUUGCUGAAAAAGCCACCCAAGAGCAGCUGAAGUUUGUUGGUAACUCCAAGCAGGAAGAUCCACUUGCUGUCAAUGAGGUUGAGGGGUUGGAAGGUCAAGAGGAGUUGUGUUUCAUCAACAACAAUGGUAGCUGGUACAAAAAGGAGCCCAACUUUCAGUACAACAACUACCAACAGAAAUCCUACCCAAACAACCAACAGAGUGGCUAUCCGCCAAGAAACAACCAGCAAGGCAGCUAUCAGCCUCAGCAAAACCCCUCGUCUGGUUCCUCUGCUCCUCAAGAGAGCAGCACUGAUACCUUACUGAAGCAAAUCUUGGAGUCUCAGACUAGAAGUGAGAAGCAAGUUGGUUAUGAGUUGAAGAACCUUCAUUCCAAGAUUGAUGGGAGCUACAAUGAGCUCAACAACAAAUUCUCACACCUUGCUUCUACAGUCAGGAAUUUAGAGAAUCAAUUUGCUUCCAUGAACACUCACCAGAAUCGCCAGCAAGGAUCUCUACCUGGAAAGUCUGACCAAAAUCCCAAGGAGGCCAAAGCUAUCACCCUUAGGAGUGGUAAGCAGUUACCUCCUAGAACCCUCACCAAGGAUGCUGAGAAACUAGGUGAGGGGGUUGCCAUCAACAUAGAUGAUGAAGUGGUGAUUGUUGAUGAGAAGAUCAAUGACGAGAUCUUGGAGAAGAUAGUGGAAGCCAAAGGUAAAGGAAAGGUUGGAGAGGAGAAGAAGACAGUAAAGGAUGGUGAAGUUGUUACUCCAGCAAGUGAAAGUUCUUUUGUUCCCCCUACCUAUGAACCCAAACUUCCAUUCCCUGGUAGAUUCAAGAAGCAGCUGCUAGAGAAGUACAAGGCUCUGUUUGAGAAGCAAAUGAGUGAAGCUCAGGUUGCAAUGCCCAUCAUCGAUGCUUUCAUGUUGAUUCCUCAAUACAACAAUUUCCUGAAAGAUGUUGUAGCUGCAAAGAAGAAGGAGAUGGAAGGCAUGAUGAUUCUUACCCAUGAGUGCAAUGCCAUCAUCCAGAGGCUUGAUGUUCCAGAGAAAUUAGAGGAUCCAGGAAGCUUCACACUACCUUGUGCUCUUGGACCUAUGGUAUUUGAGAAAAGUCUCUGCGAUUUGGGAGCUAGUGUCAGCUUGAUGCCUUUGUCUGUUGCAAAGAAGCUUGGAUUCACUCAGUACAAGAAGUGUAGACUCUCUCUGGUGUUAGCUGAUCGUUCAGUGAAGUACCCUGUGGGCAUCUUAGAGGACCUCCCUGUGAAGAUUGGAAGGUAUGAGAUACCUACAGAUUUUGUGGUGCUUGAGAUGGGUGAGGAGGCUCAAGAUCCAUUGAUUCUAGGAAGGCCAUUCUUAGCUACAGCAGGAGCUAUUGUUAAUGUGAAAGAGGGCACGAUUGAUCUCCAUUUUGGUAAAGAGAACAUCCUCCACUUUGACAUCAAGGGGAAAAUGAGGAAACCAACUGUGUUCGGGCAAGCCUUCUACAUUGAAGAGAUGGGCACUCCUGCUGAUGAGCACCUUGAAGAGUUACCACCUGAGGACGACGAGGAGGGAGCAUCUCCCUCUACUCAUUCCCUAUAGAAGGUAACCCACCACACUCCUUUGUAUAUACCAUUUCAUUUUUGCAUAUUAGUCUUCUUUUCGGUAUCUCUCUCUACUUGACGACACAGAGACUGUGUAACUCAAGUUUGGGGGAGGUACCAAGUAUUUGAUCAUGUUUGCUUUGAUGUUGAUUCAUUGAGUCAUGCAUGGCAUACCUAUUUGCAUAGAUAAAAAAAAAAAAUUAAUCAUUUAGUUUGCAUCAUUUGCAUUUUUAGGAGAGUCUAGAGCAUAUAGGUUGCAUUCACUUGCAUUGGGAGCAAUGAUUUUAAAUGCCUUGUAAAGAACACUACGUUGCACCUGAGUAGCUUUUGCACCUCUCAAAAAGACUUGUAUGUUUCGAGCCUUGAAAACUCUUCCUGAAACUUGUUGAUUGCUGAAACUCAGUCUUUGAAGCCAACUACAACCUUAUUUGAACUGAACGAACUUAAUGCUUCUUGCUCAUGGUCCCUUGUGUACUGAGUCAUGGCUAUACACACUUGAGUUGUCACAUCCUUUAUGCCAAUCUUAUUUUGACAAACUCUAGUGGUAGACCACUCCCAAAACCGUUCCCUCCUUUUAAGCUUUCAUUGUUUGAUGAGUGAGGCCUUCUUCGGAAAGUCUUACAUGCGCAUAAUGUUGAGAGUAUCGGGAACGACAAUGCUUGAUCUUCAUUCUUGCUAGAUUGGGCACUCUAUUGUCUAGCUAUAGGUGGGGGGUGAGUGUUGUGAUUAUGAUUUGGGAGAAAUGAAAAAGGAAAAGAAUAGACUCUUUGUGCUUAAGUGAAUUGUUUUAUUGGGAUAAGUAGAGAAGCCUCUAGCUCAAGUUUUGAAAGUCUUGGCCCCCAGCCUAAAAAAAUAAAAAAUAAAAAAAAAAAAGAGGAAAAAGAAAAAAAAAAAAACGAAAAAAAAGAGAAAAGAAAAAGAAAAAAAAGAAAAGAAAAAGGGGCUAGCAAAGUUGUUAGGAGCUAAGAAAUAUUUUGAGGUUCUGAAAAAAAUCCCUUGUAGAUUUCAAGGAGAAGGAGUUAAAGUUCUUAGGAUCUUUUGGUGAGAGAUGUGAGUUGGGUUUGACAUUUGGGAAUGAUUGUGUAAUUGUAUGUUUGGGAAAAGGGUAGAACAAUGGAGAUUGAGCAUUGUAUGCAUGAGUUGGUCCCUUUCUUAGAUAUAUUAUGUGCAAUGUCAAGGCUACUUGUUUUGAGAGUAAACCACCUUAAAGAUCAUAUGUUUUGAACCUCUUGAAUCACUUGAAUAAAAGCCUUCCCUUACCCAACCAAAUGACUUGGACCAACUGACCAUUUGCAAGAAUUCACCUGAUGUUUUGUGCUUAAUGAAUGUGAGAGUUGGUUGAUUUGAAUGUGUGGAUGCUUGAUGAUGAGUGUAAGAACAAAAAGAGUUAAGAUAGGCCUAGAGAAGCUAGAGUGUAAUAAGAGAGUGUGCUAGUUGUGUUUCUUUUGGCUAUGUGCUCCCUCCUUCAACCUCUCUCCCUAUGAGUUCUAGAAAGUUCACUUGUGGACAAGUAAAAGAACAAGUUUGGGGGAGUUGAUAUCUUGCAUAUUUGCAUUGUUUUAUCCAUUCAUCCAUGAGCAUUUUCAUCAUAUAGAUUAGGUUUCAGACAUGUUUAGGUUGCAUUUUGCAUACAUGAGUCUCUAUUAGGUACUGGAAUACCACAUGAGGCUAUUUGGAGCUCAAAAGAGGUGAAAAGGUGACCAUUGAACGAACCGAGCAUGGGAGCGACCUCCCGGAGCGACAUCACGAAGUCGCUGUGUCCCACUUCUCAGAGCGACCUUCCUAAAGCGACGCCAUGAAGUCGCUCGCGUUCUCAUUACUCCGAACAGUCUUAGAUGACCCUGGAGCGACCUCUCAGAGCGACCUACCAAAGUCGCUCCCGAUCCAGAGCGACCCGUUGGAGCGACUGCACAAAGUCGCUCGCGUUUUCACGUCCGGAGACACACAACUCGCUCUCGGAGCGACCUCUCGCAGCGACCCAGCGAGGUCGCUCCCGAAGCUUGGAGCGACCUGUCCAGAGCGACAGGGAGAAGUCGCUCGCCAUCUUGGUUCCCGGAGACAAGAAAUCGCUCUCGGAGCGACCUCUCGCAGCGACCCAGCGAGGUCGCUCCCGAAGCCUGGAGCGACUUGUCGGAGCGACGAGCCGAGGUCGCUCCGCGCCUAUUAUCUGCUCGAUUUCUAUUUUACUUAAGGGCCUUUUGGUCAUUUCAUUAUGCACGUUUUGCACUUGGAAAAACCUAUGUUUUAAACAUCUUUUGUAGCCACCAGUGGCAGAUUAUCUUUUAUCUUUUGAUCUAUUGAGAAAUACACAAGAACUCUCUUGAGAAGUUCAUCUUUUGGAUUUUGAUUGUUAUGUUCUUGUGUUCUUGUUGAUUUCUUAUCUAUUUCUUUACAUGAUUAAUCUGAAAUCCAAUAUGGGUUUAAGAGGAAUCAUGGAGAUUAGUGAGUAAUCACCUUUUGAAUUCAUGGGUUAGGGAGAUUAAGGGUGAUUAGGUUAGAGCUAGGGUGUUUUAGUGUAGAUCAUUCAUAUUUCCUUGCUAGUAGAGUAAUCAUAAUGCAUCUUCUGAGUUGGCCACUCAGUUGUUGAUCCUUAGGCAUUUCUCACCCGAAAGGUGUUCGAUGAAAUGCCCGAGACAACUCUCCUAGGCUUUUAGUAUACUUUGCCAAAGACAUUUGUUGUUAAAGAUGCUAAGAUAGCUAAUAGACUUGUUAGUAAUGAUUGCUUUCAUAUUAUUCAACCAAAGACAUUUGAUGUUUGAGAUAUGUUAGCAAAUGAGCAUUCAUCUAGACAUAGAGCUUGCUUAGAAUUGUGUCUAGGCUUAAGGUUGAUAGUUUGAUUGAUCAUUUGCCAUCCUUAGUUCGAUACUUGAUCACCCAAGGUCUAAUCCCUAUGCCCAUGAGUUCUCUUUUCCCUUAGUCAAGAAAGUAUCAUUUUGUUAUUGCUUUUAGUUAGUCGUAGUUUAAAACCCAUCUAAAUCAUUGGUUGCACUUAGAUUAAGUGAGUACUUGCAUUCUCAGUGCUUUGAUAUCCCUCAGAACUGGUUCGACAAUCAUUUAUACUACAACAUUUGUCUUAGGAGCCUUGAAAACUCUUAACAUCACUACUUUACGUAAUUCUACUAUGAAUUUAUAGAUUAUUAUAUAUUGACUAUAAUGUUAUACUAUUUCAUAUUUUACAAAUUACGUAUUGGAUGCUUGAAAUUGACAAACUUAAACUUAAUUUUACCAAAAAGUUUUUUGACAAACUUAACACCAAUAAUAAAGUAAAAAAAAUAAAUACAAGUGUUGGUGUUUUGUUUAUCAAUAUUUUCCUAUAUACUGGAAAAUAGGAAAAAUAACAAAAAAUAUUAUACAAAAAUUAACUCAAAUUUAAAAUGAAUUCUUGAAUAUUUUUUAACCAAAUUUGUAAAUGUACAAAGCCCCUGGUCCCUAGAAAGAAACUGGAUCGGCCUUUUCCAACUUUGUUUAUUUUUAUUUUUAACUUGCAUUUCCUUAAAAAGCACGUAAUACCAUUAAAUCUCAUUAGCCUAAAUGCAAUCACAAUCUCUUGCUACUGCUCAGCUACACAUACAUACAUACCUUACAUAUAAUCUCGUAGUUAAAUUAUUAAUUAAAGUUAAUUAUUUAAAGGCAGCCAAGUCGAAGCUCCAAAUCAAGAACUUGGUUUGGAUUCCUCAAAUCCAUCCCAAGCUCCAACCUCGUGAAUCCAUGUUUCUUGUUCAUCUCCCCACGACUUAUCUCACAUUUUGCAGCAUGGCAUGAUGAAUCUAUGGCACUCUUCUUGAGCUCUCUGCUACACACAUUGCUCUUGUUCUUCUCUCUUUCCUUCAUCAAACCUCCAUGGCUAGUAUUAUCCAGAAGAUCGAACCGGUCAGAAGAAAACGUAGUCGUUUUGGAUAUCUGGUUGGUUAGGGAAGGGUCAAGAUGAGCUGGCAUUGUUAAAGGAGAAGAAGAGCCAAAAUUAGGGUUAGGGUUGCCAACAGGUACGUGUUGUUGGUGAGGUUCAAAGAGCCAAGAAGGGAUCUGUCUGAGUUUUGCUCUGUCUCUUCUGUGAACAUUCAUGUGUCCUCCAAGUGCUUGAGCAGAUCUAAAAUCUCUCCUGCAGAAACUGCAAGUGUAGUUCUUGGGAGGCCAUGGGAUCAGCCCAGCUUCAUAGCUAUUGUAGAGAUUCAUGAUGACUCUGUCGUUACCACUAGUGUCACCUUCUUGAUCUUCUUGAGUUUUGUUUUUGCUGCUGAAACUUGCCAAAUGUGUCCUCUUCAUAUUCUCCAACAGAUGCUGAUGAUGAAUAAGGAUGAUACUCACCUGCGUGAUAUAAACAAAAAAAGAUGUUAUAUAAAGAGUGUAUAACAUUACUUCAGAAGCAAGUAAGAAUAAAAGUGGAGAAAGAUGAAAACCCUAGAUAGAUAGAGACUUGAAUUUUGAGCUUGCUGGUGAUUUAAGGAAGAGGAAGAGAUAUGGAGGAGAACUUACUGUGUUAUAUAGAAGAGGUGGUUUUAAUUUAUCAUUACUUGAGGUUGUCUUUAAGUGUAUAUAUGGACGAUCAUUUAUUAGGGUUUUAUAGUCUGUUACAUGUUUGGUCAGAUAUAUUGGAGAAUAAUGAGUAUAGCUAGGCUAUUUUCGAUUAGAUUUGAUGAGUGGAAAAAGAAAAAUAAAGAAAGAAAGAGACAAAGAGGUAGUUUCAUGAUUAAGAAGCAGAGAGAGAGGAAUUGAAUGGAGGCUACUUACUCAUGAUGCUCAUGCCUGCAACGUGUCUGUUUAUUACUAUAAUUGGAAGUUACUUGAGACCAAUGUUAUUGUAGUAUGGGGACUCUGUGUUGCAUUAAUAUCCUGUGUUAAUAUCUAGCAGGAGAUCACUUGCCACUUCAUUUUCAUCAUAUUCUUCCACAAUUAUCUUCAUUAUAUCUGCACAUUUUAUAAAUACACAAAUAUAGAUAAAUAUGUACCAAGCUAUAUGUUAAAUGCAUCAAAAACACAUUUCCUCUUAUGGUAUUGAGAGAUGGGUAUGAUUUUAUUACCAAUAGAUUGCAGUGGUAGAGGGCCAAAAGAAAUCAAAGUAUUAGUAGUUGAUUUUGACAUUGAGUAGAAACUGUACAAUAAAGGAAAUAAACAAGGCUUGUGUUUGCAUUAACGACAUAGACAAUGACGUUUUGCUGGCCUUAAGAUUUUUAUUGCAGUUUAUACCUACUAUUUCACAAACUUACAUAUGAAAUUGAACUAAUUAACGAACCUCUCUACAAUGUUAAUGUCACAAAGAAAAUUUGAGAUUGGUACACACAAAAAAAGCAGCUCAUCUAGAUAAAUCAUAGACCCUCCUUGGUCUGUCUCAAAACAGACCAGAUGAUAACAUAUACUAUACAAUUUUUCCAGUUUCCAAAACAUGAGUUUAUUUUAGUUUGGUUAACAAAUAUUAUUUGAACGAAUGAUUAGCGUGUAAUUAAUUACCCAGGUCUCUUAAUUGAUCACCCAAGCAGUAAGCAGCAUAAAAAGUUGCAGUCCUUACACAAAAUAUCUAGUUUUCAAGGGAAAAUUUUAUACUAACAAGAAACUGUCAAAUCUUAUAAGCAUUAGUUAACAAACAUAAUGAGUUUCUAAUCACACCAAAUUAAAAAAUAUAUAUGAUAUUUAACAAUUAAAUUUCGGCACAUAUCAGAAGAGCUUUUCAAAACAUUAACAUAAUCAAGUUUCGAAAAAGAAAACAUUUAACAUAAUCUUUCAAAUAGUAAACUUUCACAUUUUCUCUCUUCUUGUUUCUAUUUUUCUUAAGAGACACUUCUUCUUUCUCUCUCGCGCGAUAAUUUUGAAUUUUCAAACGGGUCAUUAAUGGGCCAAUAUAUACCGGGCCAAAAAUGGGCCUUAUAUAUAGAAAUCACAUCGUCGGUUUUUUAUUCGCAACGACCAAAAAGAAUGUUGAUGAUGACUCCUUCUUCUUCGCUGUAUAAUCUCACUUCUUCUUCUUCUUCCUCUUCGUCUCGAUAACUCCUCUUCCUUAUUCUUCCUCCAUCGGAGCUGUAUCAAUCCCAAUCGAAACUGUGAGCAUCUUCGAAUCGAUUUCAAUUUUUUAAGUUUAGAACUCAGUCUCAUGUUAGCGUCUUGUCCGAUUUUUUAAUUAAGUCGAGUAUUGAUUUAGGGUUUGAGAUUCGAUCGAUGAUUUGGUGUAGAACAGAACGAGCUAGUGCGAUUUAGUUUCUAUUGAUUUUGAUUUUCUGCAAUCUGAAUGUUGAGAUUCUCUGUGUGAUUUAGGCAGAGAGAGAGGAGAGGGAAAAGGAGAAUGUCAAACCAUCAGAAGAUCACAUGUGUGUCUUCGUCCCAUCAGAAUCUGGUGGAGAAGCUAAUGCAACUCCAGGAGAGGUUCUCCCAUCUCCAGGCUGUUAGGAAGGAAGGGAGGGUUAAUGAUCAUGCGGUUUUGGAAGCUCAGAUCUCUCAGAAUCUUCGUGAGUGGCAAGCUGAGCUCACUGCUCCUUCUCCUGAAUGUUCUCUUCUGGUUCGUAAGUCUUGGACUUUAGUGGAUUAUAGCUUUGUAGAAUGAUAAAUAUUCGUGCUUUUUGUUUGUUUGGCUUGAUUUUGUGGUGAUUUUUGAUCUUUUGGUAACGUGUAUAGGGUGGGAGUAUUAGUCAUUUCUCUGAGGAGAUAGCUCGUUUGUUGAAACUAAACGACGAAGAGGAUGAUGCUACUAGUUCGUUAAAGGAGCAUGAUGCGCCUAAGCCUGACGGUUUCGAUCAAAGCUUGUGCCCCCCUCCAGAACAUUUGGAAUGGAUAGAUGAGCCUUUUUGUCAAAGUCCUUUCAACGUCAAUUUCUCCUGUGGUUUUGAGGUGAGCUAGCGUCAGAUUGAUAGUGAUUAUGAUAGUCUCUGUUACAAGGAUCUGUCCAAAUUGUCUUCUACAAUAUUAUGUUUGAUCUUUGUUCCUUCUUGUCUUCCUUUGAGCUUGUUUGGUUAUUUAUUACAGUUCAUCUUUUCUACCUCAGGAAGCUGUUAAUAACAACACCCAACCACAUGACCAGCAAUUCCACUUUGCAUUUCAAGAGUUCGACCCAAGCAUAAACACCGCUCCUGAUUUCCAUGUCCAGAGCAACUUGGAUAUAGCUUCUCAGUUGGAUUACCAUCUCUCAGAAGUGCGUUAGGAGUUCAACAGCAGCCCUUCCGUCAAGCUUGACGCGUCUGAGAACUACACUGACUUCACUACUCCACAAAGUGUCCGUGUGCCUCCUCCUCCUUCUGCCUUUUUGGGACCGAAGUGUGCUCUAUGGGACUGCACAAGGCCUGCUCACGGAUCUGACUGGUACCUUGACUACUGCAGUGACUACCAUGGGAAUCUAGCUCUGAACGAAGAUUCCCCUGGCACAGCACCUGUUUUAAGACCAGGAGGCAUUAGUUUGAAAGAUAAUCUCUUGAUUGAUGCUCUUCGUGCAAAGACUCUUGGUAAGAAUGUUGGCAUCCUGGUGUGUGAAGGAGCUGUUAACACAAAAUUCCCAUGGAACGCAGCAGGUGAGACCAUAUGCGAGUUUAUGAGUUAAUUACUUUUUUUGUCGUCUGACCCUUUUGUUAACUGUUUAUACAUGCAGAGCUAUUUCAUCUCGAGCUGGUUGAGGGUGAAACGAUUAGAGAGUGGCUAUUCUUUGACAAACCGAGAAGAGCAUACGAUAGUGGAAACCGGAAGCAGAGAUCGCUCCCAGAUUACAGCGGAAGAGGGUGGCAUGAAUCGAGGAAACAGCUGAUGAAAGAGCAAGAAGGGCAGAAGAGAUCUUACUACAUGGAUCCACAGCCUCCUGGUCUCUUCGAGUGGCAUCUCUUCGAAUACCAGAUCAACGAAUCCGAUGUGUGUGCGUUGUACAGACUAGAGCUCAAACUAACAAAUGGGAAGAAGUGUCCCAAGGGAAGAGUCGCGAAAGACCCUCUAGCUGAUCUGCAGAAGAAGAUGGAGAAGAUGGGACAGUUGACACCUGAGGUGGCUUCGGACAAACCCUCUCCUCCAACAAAAGGUCGUACAAAGUCUACCAAAGGAGUUAAGGUAGCAACUCAAGACAAUCCGGUUCCUGCAACAGUAGCAAACGAGCCAUCAUCACAUCAGUGAUGGUUUUCAGUCUCUGCUUUUACCUGACUACUAGUUAACCUCUUUGAUGGUUAGUGUUAAUAGGGAGAGGAGUAUCUUUGGCCCUUCUUUACUGUAGAAUCUGAGAUGGUUUGUAAAUUCAUUUAGCUUCGUUUAUUUACUCUAAAACCAUUAGGAUCUUGUCAAAAAAGUUUGUAACUCUCCUGUCAUGUUUCCGUAUUCCAAAAUGAUUUUGAAGCUCAUGUUUUUAAGACAACAUCACUUCCCUUGUCUAUACUCAGAUGAACUCAAGUUGCAAAGAGAUGAUCUCACAAACAGUUGGUUCUGCAUCCUUGUGAAGCCCUGAUAUUGAGCUCUCUACUGUCUUACCACUUUGAGGAUUUAACUAGAAAGGCCUCAACAUUAAUAUGUAUCUUUUACUUGCAUAGAAGUAUUGUCUCAUUACACAUAAAAAAAAAUACACACAAGUAGUAAGUAGUACAAAAAUAAAGGAGGAUAGCAUAUAAACUCAUGUAUUUUCUAUGUAGACUCAGUGUCUAUCAAGUUCCACUACAUGUUCUUGGCCAACACAAGAAUGAUUUAUCCUGUUGGAAGAUCUUUCUCUUGUUAAGAUUCUCCUAAACGAGUCUAAUCGUGAAACCGACGAAGAGUUCAGCCUGACUUCCUCCAACGACGGUGGUGCAGUCGGUGGUGAGCCAGAGGCACCAUCGCCAACUGGUCCUUCUCUUGGCUCAGGCUCAAGUCUCAGCCUUGGUUGAACUUCAUUCCGACAAACAGGACAAGUAGAGCAAGUGGUGAGCCACGUGUCAAUACAAUCAACAUGAAAAACAUGUCUACAGUUCGGCAACUCUCUCGCCGUGUCUUGCUCCUCAAACACGCUAAGACACACCGCUUAUUCAGUAGCGGCCGCAACGUCACUUCUGGCUCCAACGAUGAAAGUAGGGAGAGAAGCUAUGACUGUUGGGUUGAGGUCACGUUUUGGCGUUUGCAAAGGGUGGCGUAAUACGACGGAGAGGCCACGGAAGCUGCUAGCUUCUCUACGGCGAUGGAGAAUGAAUCUUGCAUAAAGAUGAAGAAUGAAGAUGAUGAGGAUAACUGCUGACGAAGAGAUGACUGCUGCGAGCAUGAUCUUGCUGGUGGGGUCGUAACGAGAAGGGUUUGGCCAGAACGAGUGGUGGUCUUGACCGUUGGGCCAUGUAUGAUCUCUAUCGUUGGAGCUCAUUGCAAAGAAGGGAAGUGAACAAAAGUUCGUAAUAACUUCUGAUGUAUUAUAUAAGAAAUAAAGUACUUCUAAAAGUUUUCUUAUUGCAAUGUCUUGCUUCUAGGUUCAUACUUUAGUUUAAUCAGAAAAGGAGAUAUAACCAGAAAAGUAGAAAAAUCACCAAUGUUGACUGAACUUGGAUUGUGGAAAGUGGCACUAAAAGCCUAUGGCUUUUCAAGAACCAAUAAAAAGUUUAUAUAUUUUAGAUCUAUAUAUUAUUCAACUUUUUAAUGUUAUUAUUCUCUAGCUUAUUCAAAUAUUAAUCUUAAAUUUUUUUAUGUUUGAUAAAAAAGAAUAAUAUUUAGGAACCAGUAAUCACAUAUGAGAUCUUUGAUUUUCACGCAUUACAAAUUAGUACAUUUUGUUAAAUAGAGAUUGCAUUCACAAUUUUUUCAAGAAUGAUAAGACAAGUUUUUUUUUCUGGUCAACAUAAUGAAGAUUCAGUUAAAUCUCAAGUUAUGACUAGAAAAAAUGUAAAAUGUCCAUGUUGGACUGUGGAAACAAAGAACCAAAAAAAAAAGUUUAUAUACUUUAGAUCUAUUAUUCAGCCUAUUAAUGUUAUCAAUCCCAAACUUAUUCAAAUACUAAUCCUUAAAUUUUUGAUGUUGAUCCAAAAAUUAAUAUUUAGGGACAAGUAAACACAUAUGACAUCUUUGAUUUUCAUGCAUUACAAAAUUAGUACAUUUAGCUAAAUAGGAUAGCAUUCACUAUUUUUUAAAUGAAAUGAUAAGACAAUUCUUUUCUGGUCAACAAAAUGAAGAUUCAGUAAAAUCUCAAUAUAUAUGACUAGAAAUAAUGUAAAAUUUUCAUGGUCAAGAAAAUAAGAAAAUUAAAGGUAAAAACGUGUGAGGAGGUAAUGUGUGGGAAGGGAACCAUAUAGGUUGACUUGAGAACAGUCUUCAAUGUAGACACACUUUGAAAAUAUUACAAGUUCAACACUUUUUUCUUCUUAUAUUUUUCACACGUUAAUCAACAAUGUCUUUGUACUAUAAUGUGCAUUUCCUACAGUAGCAUACAAAAGAUUUACACAUUACAAAAUAUUUUAGUAAGACAAUAAAUAUUAUGAAAGAACAAGAGUACUAUUGUGCAUGAAUUAAAGAUUUAACUAUUGUGGUAUGUGUAUCUAUUCAUUGUCUUUCUAGGUCCAUUACACGAUCUUGGUCAACACGAGUUUUGUUAUUCGACGAAGAUGCCGCUGUUAAAUCUAACGGAGAUGCACCGUCAACAACUGGUCCUUCUCUUGGCUCAGGCACUAGCCUUUGACUCGGCUCGACUUCAGUUCGACAAACGGGACAAGUGGAACACGUGGUGAGCCAUGUAUCAAUGCAUGUCACAUGGAAAACAUGCUUGCAGUUCGGUAACAUCCUCGCCGUAUCUUUCUCCUCCAACAAGCUUAGACACACCGCACAUUCCGUGGCUGAGACGUCACCACCAUUGACUCCAACAACGAAUGUAGGGAGAGAUGCAAUGACAAGUUUGUCGAGACCACGUAUGGGCGGCUGAGACACGACGGAGAGGGAGAGGCCUUGGAAGGUUGAUCUACGGCGGUGGAGGAUGAAUCUAGCGUAAAGAUGAUACACAAAAACGAUGAGAAUAAUGGUAGAGAAAGAAAUGAUGGUGAGGAGUAAGAUCUUGCUGCUUCCAUCGUAAGAACUCGUGUUUUGCCAGAAGGAACGGUCGAAAUGAUCUCGGUUGUCUGAGCUCAUGUUAAUAACAAUGUAAUGAGGUUGAAGAGAUCUUAGUUGUGUAAUUAUGUAAAAUUUCUGAUGAUUAUCUGACUUCUUUAUUUUAUUCUACAAAGCAUUAGAAUAUGCUUGGUGGGUGGGGAAAAAAAUAGGAUACUAUAUAUCAUUGAUCCAGGGGACAUUGCUGACUUUACCGGAUUUGUUUUUUAAUUUAAGAAAUUCUAAGCAAGUUAAUGAAAUUUAGUUUAGAUUUGCAAUGGAUACGUAACAUGUCGACAUAAUAUGAGAAUUUUUAAUUCAAAACAAUACUUUUUUCCAAUAGUGACGAGUACAUGUAAAAUAACGUGAGGUUUGAAGUGAGGCUGCGUGUGGGAACCAUAUGGUUGACUUGAAGAAGAGUCUUCAAAGUAUACAAACAUUGUGAAUGUAUUACAAGUUGCGAGCGAAUAUAUGUUUAAUUCAACUCUUCUCUAUUUUUUCUUUUCAUACGUUAACUUCGUGUCCCAUUCCUUGGAGGAAAAGGUUACUAUAUUUUAUCUUCAAAACAUACGGUAUUAUUGUUUCCAUAUAAUUACGUAAAAAAAUAUUGAAGAUAAUAACUUUUACCGUAUAAGACAUUUGUACAGUGCAACUGAAAAGAGAUGUUUCAUAUAGUUACGUGAAAGUUUCGCAUUGAAGACACAAGACAGUAAAGUAAUGCCUGUUUGACAUUUCUAAGAAAUGCUGUGUAAAUAGUCAACAAAAGAAGCCAAGACUUACUUAAGAGUUUGGCUUUUUCUUUCAGCCUUAAAAGGAUCAACUACUUCAUCUCAGUCUUGAGAUGGGUUGGAUGGGUUGGUGGAGAAAGAAGAACACAGAAGAAGCCGAUGUAAAGAAAAGACUUGUCCAAGCUAACGGCGAGGUGGUGCUAGAAAAGCUCAUCGAGUAUUGCAAUGGAAAAUCCAAUCCAAUCAAAACCUUUUCUGCUUCUCAGAUCCUAAGAGCCACCGACAACUUCAGCCAUAAUAACUCUCUUAUUCUCCACGCUACUGGUAGCUACCAAUGUUACAAAGGGUAUGCUUGAAGACCGACCCGUGCUUGUGAAGAAAUGGGUAAUAAAGUAUAGUCCCUGCAGCGGAAAGACUUGUCGUGACAUAUCCAUAUCAUCAAUGGUUAGUGGUCACAAGAAUUUCCUCAAGCUGUUAGGUUGCUGUCUUGAGUUUCCUAAUCCAGUUAUUGUCUAUGAAUAUGCACAAAGUAUAAUGUGUAGAGAAAAGCCAAAGUAUCUAUUUGAUGUGAGUUUACCAUGGAACAUGAGACUGAAGAUUGCAAAGGAGGUUGCAGACGCUUUAACAUAUCUUCACACUGCAUUUUCAAAGAGUAUCAUCCACAAAGACAUGAUACCAUGCAACAUCUUCUUGGAUGGGGAAGGAGGGACGGCUAAGCUUAGUGGGUUCAACAACUCUGUUUUGAUUCCGGAAGGAGAAAAGUUUGUUGAAGAUAUGGUUGUAGAAGGAACUUUUGGGUACCUUGAUCACAACUAUAUGGCUACUGGGGUAGUGACAGAGAACACUGAUGUCUAUGGCUUUGGAGCAUUCAUGAUUACUCUUUUGACUGCUUUGCAACCGAGUCUUGUUGUCAAACUGUACAAGGAUUCUCCUAUAGAGUUGGUUGAAGAUGGUGGAUUUGUUGGGAUUGUUGAUCCAAAGGUGUUGGAGAGCUGCAAGGAAGAAGAGACAUGGCAGUUUAAGACUUUCUUUAUACUCUCACUGCGAUGCAUUGGCUGUGUAGGAGAAGAAGUUCCAAAGAUGAUUGAAGUUGCCAAAGAACUUAAAAUGAUAAUGCUUGUUUAAGCAUAUAAACAAUGUCAUUUUUUCUCUUAGAUCUCUCCCAAACUGUUCUUGAAAAAAUUACACAAAAGUUAUUACAAUGAGUCCCUUCUUCAUUAAGAGUAUCUAUGUAACAACAUAAAUAACUAAGCCCACACUUGUCGAAGGAGAUUGUAUCUUGCAUUUGAGGUCGCAGAAUCAUUAAACUCACUCGUUUUAUCAACAAUAGAUGUAAGAGGAGAGUCCAGCUCCUCAAGCUCCUCGUCGCUCGUGUACCCUUUCCUCUGUAUCAUAGACACAUUCCUCGACAACUUCCCUGCAGCCUCCGCAACUUUCUCCGCUACGUCCAUGGUCGAUGGAGGCUUGUAAGUAACAGAAGAAGCCGCAUAAGGGAAGCUUGCUUCUUCUGAUUGUACCUCGGCGGCAUUUAGCUCUUCUAGGACAGCUCCAGGUACAUCUUCUGGACAGAACUCAUCAGGAGUGAAGUUGCAUAGUAUUCUCUUGAUAAGUGAAAGAGUGAUUGAUGGACAUAUCUGUUUGUAAAAAAAAAAACAAUAAAUCAAAAUGACAAAACUUGUGAAUGUAAUGAGGCUUAAACCAAAGAACAUCAUACCUCUUCUCUAAUGGAACUUUCCAUAAGCAUGUCUUUAGGGAGCAUAAGAAGAUCACUAAGUUCAUUUAACAACACAAAGGCUUUACUACUAUCACUGCCUUCACUUUCUACUUGAUCAUCAUCUGAGUUCAUACCGAACAUUUCAGUGAGGGAUCUAGACCAGUUACCAAUCUGCAACAGGAGAAUAUAGUGACAUUACAUUAGUCAACUCUCUAAUGGUUAUGAAAGAAACUGAACUUUGUUUUAUUUUGGUUACCGCGUUUUUGAGCUGUGCUCCUGAUCCAAAGCUCAAGUCUCCAGCAGGAACAGGCAGAACUCUGGUAUCAAGAAUAGGAUCAGAGACUGGAUCAGUUGGUAUCUGAUGUUCUGACUCGCGCAGAAUAGCAUUGAACAUGGCUAUAUCAAAUCUACCAACACACUUCUCCAUCACCAUUCUAGCCAAUACAGGUAAGCAGCCACAUUCAUGUCCUCCCCCUCUCAUAGGACAAAGCCGUUGCAGAGCAUCUCCAAAGGCAUUCUUCCAUAGGGUAAUAGAAAAGGCUCCUUGCUUCUCAUUCGAUUUAGAAGCUGAAGAGUUGUUGUUCUCAGGGGAUUGCAUAUGAGGAGUAAAGACCUUAAAGAUAAGAGAACAAGAGUGAGAUGUUGUUACAUACACAAACUUAAAAAGAAUCUCAAUCUCUUGUGUUUAUACCUGCCACCAAACAGACUCCACGAUUCUAGAGAAGACCCAAAGCUCUACUUUCUCCAAAGCAGCGGUGAACGUUUCAGUUUCUUGCCAAUCCUCAAGAAGCUCUUGCAAACCAUUCUUCCAUCUCAAGUUCGUCUUCUUCCCUGAAUCACCACCAUUCUCACUCCCAUUAUUAGCUUCAGAGCUCUCCGUGACACGAGACUUACCAAACGCUUGCGAAAUAAUCUCCCUUAGAGUUAUAAUGUUCGAUAACCAAAACGUCAACCUAAAAGAGUUUGAGAAAAACCAAGAAUCAAGAUCCUGAAACAUGUUAAAAAACAUUAAGAGUAUUUGUUUUUUUUUCUUUACCUUGAAACAUCAUUCCCACAAGAUCUAGCAACCAAAACCAGACCAGAAACAGAGUUUCUAGCGAUGGUAGCUCGCCUCCCUCUAGCGAAAUGCUUACAAGCAUGAAUGUAGAUUCUAGAGAUACGCCUAGCAGGAGUAUGAAGCUUGUGCGCAGAGCUGGAAUGGUCAGGGACGACAGAGUAGAGAGAAACCUCGAGUGCAGCGACUUCUCUAAGCUCCUCUUCAAGUCUCUCGAUUCUCGUCUCAAGAUGCUCAAUCUUCUCUUUCAAAGAUCCAUCCUCAAUACUCUCUGUUACAUCAGGGGCCUCGUUCUCGCUUCCGGCACUAAGAGCGCCGUUAGAAGCAUCUUCCCACACAUCAGCAUUGGCACCUUUAACUUCUUCUUGUUCGUCAUCAUCAGCUUCAUCUUUCUCCUUUCUUACGGUUACAUCGUCCAAGUAGCGGACGUCUACUGUCUCGUAAGCCUCGGAAGGAUCUGACUGAGUUGUUGAGUCACUAGCCACUGUUGUGAGGAUGUUAGACUCUAAGGCCUCCUUGUGUUUCUCUUGUUCUGAUGAUUUUUUCUGGCUGUUAGUCUUCUGCAGCUUCUGGUCUUUUCUUCCACUCUUGGUGGAUCGCUUUGACUGGACAUUGUUCACUGAUCUUGCCUUCAUCAUCAAGCUCUCAGCCAAAGCAACAGUUACUUUCAACUUCCAAGUGAGAAAACAAUUCAACAAGAUCUGUGUUUCCCUUGUGAUAAGCCUCUAAAAGAUGAAAGGAUUUAAAAAAAACACAGCUGGAUAUGUUCAGGUUACUGAAAACGACAGCUUAUAAUGGAGGAAGAAAAGGACAUGUUCAGUCUUGCUAAGUUUUGUCUUAAACUGCAGUAGAGGUCCCAGCAACUUGUUCGUAGUUGUUUUGAUAGAACAUGGCUGGAUUCACUAUAUGUAAGUGGUUUUACUAGAAUAAUCAGAUUUAACAGGAAUGAUUAAAACUAAUCAGACUAAUUGAAAUCCAGAGUAUCCAAGAAAAUAUACUAGUAAACAGAGAGCGAAACAGAGCAUGAAACAACCAUGAGGACUAAGAGAAGUCAACAAGCAAAAGAAGAGGAGCUUACCAGUGACUUUGGGAGGUUGUCUUCCUCGGUUACUUUAAUCUACUGAGGGUGAAGUCUCUACUCUGAGAUUAGCUGUCUUUAUCUGUAAUCCACAAUAAAGAAGAAGCUAUCUUCUCUCUCUUCUCUCACUAUGGGAGAUCCGAGUGAGUGGGGGAAGUUAUGGUGGUGCAUUUAAGAAAGAAAGAAAAACAUGGAUCCUGUACGGAAAGGGACAGUGACUGUGGUCGUGAAACUAUGGAAGGUUGUGUCGGUGGCUAGACUGUUCACUGGAAAUAGCCGGUCACAUAACCCGGAAAAAAGUAGCUUCUCUUUUUAAAUGACAGUAGUGUGCUUUUCUCUUUGGUCCAAACACAUCUCACUGACUCCACCGACAUCAAAUAGUGUUCUUGAAUUGGAAUUAACAAAAGAAACCGUGUCAGACGUACAGAAGAAAAUGGAUAAGAGGACAAAGGUUCUUCACAUGGCUUUACACUGGACUCUUAUUUGGGUCUCCAGUAAAAAAAACAUGUGAUCGUGUUUUGUUUCAUUGAUAUAUCAAAGCCUAAAUCGUGUGUCAGUGUUCAUACUCUCGGGAGAGACAUACACACAGAGAGAAGGAAUGACUAGAACACCCCUCCCGAUGUGAUGCAACUUGAAGACACGGCAAAUAAACAACAAUGCUUGCAAUAAGGUAACUGAGUUUGUUUAAUCCUAAUCUCUUUCAUUUUGUUUAAUUCAUCAUUUAUGAAAUUAGAGGAUGAGACGAAACUCGCUAAAAACAGACACGGCAUUGAACUACUCUAUAUUUAAAGAGGAUGCUGUCAGACCACACUUAAAGGAAACUAAUCACAAGAUUUGGGAUACACGAAUGAUACUACUUGAAAUGGCAUUAUUCAAUAGAAAGCUCAUGGACCAGAGACAAAGAACCUAUGAGUAAUACUACUUGAAAUGGCAUUACUUGUAAGCUGCCAUGAUUUCUAAACCUUAUCAGCCCAACAUUGAGUGAAGUUCACCUCAACUCCAAACUUGCCACUGAUUCAAGAACAAGCUCCUUGAUUGAUACCCAAUUUAUCAAUUCCCCCAAGCAUGCAAACAACUAUUUCGAAAGCUCAAUAUUUGCUAAAAUGCUCACAAUUCAAUAUCCACACAUCCUAAUACGACACUAUUAGCCAUCACUGAAUUGUUCAAAACAUCCAGCACUGAUGCAAUGAGCAGUAAAAUUUUAGCAAAUACCACAACUGAAGAUACUCAAAAGUGAAAACUAGUGUUCUGAAUUUAACAAAGGCUGAUGUCAUGAGAACUCUACUCUCACCAUUAUCGAAUUGUUCAAUCAUCAAGCACUGAUGCAAUGAGCAGUAAAAUUCUAGUAAAUACCACAACUGAACUGAAGGUAAUGAAAUCAAUGUUCUGAAUCUAAAAAAAGGCUGAUGUCAUGAGAACUCAAAUCCAACCAGUAUUAGAUUAUCCAAUCAUCCAACACUGAUGCAACGAGCAGUAUUAUCUUAGUAAAUACCACAACUGAAGAUACUGAAAGUUAGUGUUCUGAAUCUAACAAAGGCUAAUGAUUUCAUGAGAACUCUACUCCAACCAUUAUCAAACUAUUCAAGCAUCCAACACUGAUGCAAUGAGUAAAUAAAAGCCUACCAAAUACCAAAACUGAAAGAAAAAAAAACUGAAAUCUUGUGAGCAUAUCUAUCAAUGACUGUUGAUGCAAUGACCUCUUUAAAACAUACCAAAACUCAAUGCGAAAGGUGCACAAAACUACAAUCAUAUACCAUAAAAAAAAAAAAAAAUCUAUACUACUGAGCCUUAUUGAAGUAUCUCAUGUCUACUCAACAGAGAGCGAUUCCUUCACCACCUAGUAAUAGCUAUACUACCAGUCUCUGACUACAACAACAAAUGACAAUUUUACUCAAAAAGGACCAUUUCUUCACCUAUUAACAACAAAUGACUAGUAGAAAAAUGGAUUGAUAACAAAGGCCAAUACUGAAACAAACAAUAUUCGUUUGAAAAAAGCAAUCGAAUUUCAGAUGUUGAUCAACAACUAGCAAAUCAAAAGUGACCAAGUUUUAAACUUGUAAUGAUAAGUUCGUCAAAGAACACUUAUUCCAUCAUUAUCAACAAAAACAAAAGUACUCAUUCAAAGUUCCAAAGCAUCAAACAUCUGAUCCUCUCAAUCGGAAGAAUCUCCGGCGAGCCUCUCCGCCUCGAGACGCUCCAGGGCCUUCUGAUGAGCCCAAGUCUCGAUCGAGAGAUCAGGCUUCGCGUUGAGCCCCACGCCGAGGAUGACGAUCGUGAGGAAGCUCGUGACGUAGCAGGGAAGCUCCCAGUCCUCCCAUUUCCGCGACUGCCCCGGCGGCGGAGGAGUGCGGUUCAUGAAGAAGCCCUUGGGACGCUCCUCGUGGCCCGGCGUCGCCCAUCGGCUCGCGCCGGCGGAUGUGGAUCCGGAUCUGGAGAGGAUCCGGCUUCGUAGGGACCUAGCUGCGACGGUUAAGGGCUGCGUCGACGGCAUCGAUCGCUGUGGUGUGUGGCUCCGAUCUGAUGUGAAAGUGACGAAAUGGGAAUCUACGGGUUUGUUAGUGGUCAGCUAUAUUACCAAUUUCGGUUUAAUUGGAUGUUUAACCGGUUUGGUUAUUGCUUGAUUUCAAUUUUUUUGGUUUAUUUCCCAUUAGUGGGUCAGCAGUAUUACCAAUUUCGGUUUAAUUGGGAGUUUAACCGGUUCGGUUAUUGCUUGAUUUCAAUUGUUUUGGUUUAUUUCCCAUUAGUGGGUCAGCAAUAUUACCAAUUUCGGUUUAAUUGGGUGUUUAACCGGUUCGGUUAUUGCUUGAUUUCAGUUUUUUGGUUUAUUUUCCAUUAGUGGUCAGCUAUAUUACCAAUUUCGGUUUAAUUGGGAGUUUAACCAGAUCGGUUAUUGCUUAAUUUCAGUUUUGGUUUAUUUUCCGGUCUAAUAGAUUUAAAAACCAAAUUGAUGAAUCUUUUCUGUGUUCGGUAAAUGAGAGGUGGUUCAGUCAUACUUUCCUCAGUUUUCAUUUUGGUUAUGGUUUGGCUUUAAAAUCGGUUUUACCAGUACGGUUCUAGUUUAGUUUAACCGAAACGAAUUGGCCGCACUAGUCGGUUAAAGAUUAUGGGCUCAUACUCUUAUACGACGUCGUAUUGCCAUAAAACACUCCUGCUCUUCUUCUUACCACGUUCUUUCCUCACGUCAAUAUUAUGGAUGUAACCUAUGUGUCUUUUGUGGUUACGUUGUCGGUGUAAAGGUCUUGCAUGAUAUGGCUGCAAUAACCUCCUCUCUACUCUCUAUGUUACAUUUGAAUAAAAACCAACAAUUUAAUUUUCUGUAUGAAGAAAUCAAAUGGUUCAAACCGGAAAUUGGAGAGUUACAUUAUUUUUAAGAAAUAAGAAAAAAAAAACGAAACAUGGGUUUUGAUAUUCAAUCUAAUAGGUCCAUGAUUAGAUACUUGGCUUGCUACCAUCACCGGCUGGCGAAUCGUGCUCGACCAACACCUUCGUAGCUUUAUCCUUGGAACGCAACUUUGACUGAGCAAGAAUCACAGCAAUGGCUUCUCUGACUGCAGUGGGGUCAAGGCGGGACUUUUCAUCCUUGUUUACCACGGGCAAAGGCACUACCUCCUUAUCCAUAGCUACGCUCGCUGUCUUAUCCAUGGAGAAGGUCUGAGAUCUAAAUUUAUUUCAAUGGAGACAGCCGUUCUGAUUCUGUAAUAAAAAACAGGAAUCCCUAAAACACACGAACUAAUAAAUAAUUAGAUGCUUAGUGGGCUUUUAGGUUUUCCAAAUGUCAUUUGGAAUAAUGGACUUUCACUAUUAUGACACAAAAAUUACUUUGGGGUGCAUAAUGCCCACAUACGAACCUCGAAAACCAUUCAAGUUGCAUGGUUCUGAAAAUGGGCCGUCUUAGCGAUUUAUAAGUAGGGGUUAUUGGUUGUUGUAUUUUUAUAGAUUUGAAAAUCCGAACUAAAUUUAGUGUUAUUGGUUCUAUGAUUUUCAAAUCUGUAUUAAAAUUAUGUGUUAUUGGUUUAAUGAUUCAUAAAUUCUAUAUCAAAUCAAGUGUUAUUCAAUCGCACAGAUUUACUAAUAUAUUUGAUUUUAUAAUGGAUUUGAAUGGAUUUGCUUGGAUUUUUCUGUUAAAAAUACAAAAACUCAAAUCCGAGAGAAAACCUCCGGAUUUGUAUAUUUUACUUGGAUUUAUAAAUACUAUAUGGAUUUCUAAAUUAAUCAAAAUAUAUAAACCAAUAACACCUCCUAAAGCUUUUGUUUAGCGUUAAAAUUAGGUUUAGGCAUUCAAAUAACCAAUCGGCUUUUGUUUCAGGUUUAAUCAAGUUUUGGAUUUAUGAAUCAGCCCCAUUUGGAAAUUAUAAAUGUUCGGUUCAGAUUCAGUCCGAGUUUAGUCAGAUACGGUUCAAAUUUUAAUAAUAUUUCUAAAAAACGGUUUUGUACUUAUUUAAAUCCUAAAACCAAAUAAAGAUCCAAUGAAACAGAUAUAGAAAUCAAGAAAUAAGAAUUGAGAAAAAACUUUGUCAAAAUCUUUUUUAAUUCUAAUGUAAUUUUCGACAAGUGAAAUUAAAAACAAUAAAAUUAAAAAACAAAAAUUUAAAAACUAUGUUCAAACACAUCAUUUCUGAUAAACCGGAGCGAAAACACAUCUAACCCGAUAAAUUUGACUAUGUAGAAGAAGGAAGAAUACCUUAUACCAAAAUAUAUUAGACUAAAUAUUUAGGUUAUUUAUUUAUAUAAUAUAUACUUAUUUUAAGUAUUCAAUGAAAUCUUAUAGUAUUUUGUGUACUUAUUUGAAAUUGAAAUUGGGUUUGGUAUGAGUGUUUUCUGGAAUUUUGAAUUUUUCAGCGGCUCAGAUCAAAUCCAUAGCCUGAAAUACCUAGACAGAUUUUUAUUUUUAGAACACUGAGCAUAAGUAUUCAAUAUGAGUAUUUUGAAAUUGAUGUCAAUGAGUUCAUAAAUCAUAACUAGCACAAUGGCAUUGUUUCCGGUAGAUAAAGUGAAACAUUUAUAAAUUAAUAAUGUUAGAACUACACCAAAACUAUAUUUUUUUAUUAAUUUAUAGAGAUGUUAUUUAUCAAUAUACUAAUUGAAUCAAAAACUUAAUUUGAGAUUAUAAAAUUAUAUUAUUUUAUUAAAAUUUUUAGCGUAUAUUAAUUUAUAAAAUAUUAAUUUAAAGAAGUUAUAGAGUAAUAUGUUUGAUUUUUUGUUAACGUCGGCCCAAGCCCAAUGUCUGAAUCUAGUUGCAAUAAAUGGUAACUGUUGAUUUUCAGACUAUUUAAUUACGAAAGGACCCUUAGAACUGAGAUUAUAGUAAAGUGGCAUCUUGCAAAUGCAUGUUCGGCAGGUGACUUUUGUCGGUUGGUUAAAAAUUUGAUCUGACACAAUCAAUUACUGUCUCCCAGUCUUUUCCUCCCUUUAAUUUGAAUGAAAUCUAAAACGUCAGCACAUGUACUUAUAUAAAAACGUCACCCUUCAUGAUAAGAUAACCACUAGGGGUCGAUUAGUUUCAAUUUUUUAUCUAACAUGUGCUUACGAUUUUAAAGUACUGAACUGAUAUAUAAAGUAAGAUAAAUAUAGGUUCAGUAGGACUGUACAAUUGUUUCAUGGCUCAAGAUGGUCUAACAUGUGUUAAGAUUCUAGGCAUUUAAGAUAACUAAUGGGUAAUGGCAAACACAAAACAAAAAGUAUAACUUAGAAAACUAAUAUUUCUUCAGAUAGAUUGCUUAUUAUACUAUUGUCCAUUGAUAAUUUGAUAUAAGAUGUAUUAUGCUUCGUUUUCUAAUUGUAUACACUUAUCUCUCACAUACAAAUUCAAAUCAUCGCAGUUUAAAGAUUCGCAAUCUAAAAUUCAAUAUAUUGUACUAAGUAGUAAGUAGUAAACUAUAUGUUAGCCUUUUCCUUGUCUUUUUAUCCUAUAAAUCCAACGAUCCUAGUUAUCAUCAACGCGGAUAAAACUUUGAACCUUGUAACAAGAUCCCACUUGCAUUAUUCAACUAAUAAACUAACAAUUUAUGCAAUUGAAAAACACACAUUAGAAUCCAAAAAGGCGAAUCCCAAUACUAUAUAAUAUAUUUAAAUCCAUAUUAUAUUGUUAUAAUUUCAAACAUGAUCAUGCGCUCAAGAAAUUCAAAAUUUGUGAUCAUGACUACUUUACUCCACGUUGCUACAAUGCAACCAUAAAAGAAUCUAAACCUUUUCUUCACUGUUGAUCCUCUUUCUCUGCAACAUCUCGUUGCAUCACUACACGAACCAAAGAAAAACGAUUUCAAGAGAAUGAAGUUUCGUUGGAUUCUACCUCUUCUUGUUUCUUCCAUCUCUCUCUGCAUGACCCUUUGCUCUUCUCUCAACUCCGACGGUUUAUCUCUUCUCGCUCUCAAAUCCGCCGUGGACAACGACCCGACCAAAGUAAUGAACCACUGGUCCGAAUCCGACCAAACUCCUUGCCACUGGUCCGGAGUCGCCUGUACAAACGGCCGAGUCACAUCACUCAACCUCUUCGGCAAAAGUCUCUCCGGUUACAUCCCCUCAGAACUCGGUUUACUCGACUCGCUUAACCGGCUCGAUCUAGCUCACAACAAUUUCUCCAAACCGGUACCGGUUCGCCUCUUCGAACCAACUAACCUCCGGUACAUCGAUCUCUCCCACAACUCACUCUCCGGUCCAAUCCCAGACCAAAUCCGCCACUUAAAAUCACUAAACCAUCUCGAUUUAUCCUCUAACCGACUCAACGGCUCACUUCCCGAGUCGCUCGCCGAACUCGGAAGCCUCGCCGGAACUCUAAACCUCUCGUUUAACCGAUUCGCCGGAGAGAUUCCACCGUCGUACGGUCGGUUACCUCUCCACGUCACCUUGGAUCUCAGCCACAACAACCUCACCGGAAAAGUACCUCAGGUGGGCUCUCUGUUGAACCAAGGACCGUUCGCGUUCGCCGGAAACUCUCGUCUCUGUGGCUUCCCGUUGCAGACACCGUGUCAAGAGCUCGAGAUCCCUAACCUCGUCGCUGUGAAGCCGGAAGGAACUCAAGAACUCCAGAAACCAAACCCUAGCGUGAUCAGCAAGGAAGAGGGAAAGGAGAAACAGACCACCGGUUCUGUAACGGUCUCAUUGAUCUCAGGAGUCUCCGUCGUGAUCGGAGCUGUUUCUCUCUCGGUAUGGCUGAUCCGGAGAAAACAUAGCUCCUCCGCCGUGUACAAAGCAGAGCCGAAGACGGUGGUCUCAGAGUUUGAUGAAGAAGAGCAAGACGGUAAAUUUGUAGCCUUUGGCGAAGGGUUCGAGCUUGAGCUCGAGGAUUUGCUGAGAGCUUCGGCUUACGUGAUGGGCAAGAGCAGAAGCGGGAUCGUGUACAGAGUCGUGGCGGCGGAGGCGGAACCAUCGUCCUCCUCCUUCGCGGCCGUUGUAGCGGUUAGAAGGCUCAGCGACGGUAACGCCACGUGGCGGUUUAAGGAGUUUGAGAACGAAGUGGAGAACAUCGGUAGGGUCAGCCACCCUAACAUCGUAAGGCUGAGAGCUUAUUACUAUGCGGAGGAUGAGAAGCUACUCAUCACUGAUUACAUUAGCAAUGGAAGCUUGUAUUCUGCUUUGCAUGGUAAAAAACACUAAUCUUAAAUUUAAUACUAAUAUUCAUUUAUAUACCACUAAUUAUCAUAUUUAUUGAAACUAUGUUUUUGGGAAUCAAUGCUCUUUGGUCUGAAAGUGCAGAGCUUUUUGUUUUGGUGUGUGACUGUUGUGUAUAGUGACUAGUGUUGGCUUCUUCUCCUUGUUGUGUUUACUGUUUAAAGUGUUCUUUGUUUACAUGUGUUGAACAUAAUUUUUGAAACUAGAGUCAAUAGUCUUGGUCUGAAAUUGCGGAGCUUUUUGUUCUGUGUGUGACAGUGUCACUGUGGUAUAGUGUGACUAAUGUUGGCUUCUUCUCCUUGUUGGUUUAUUUUUUAAAGCUUUCUUGGUUGACAUGUGUAAAGCAUGGGGACUCUCUAUAUCUGCCAGAAAAAAAAACAUAUUUGGUUCUCUAUGGAGUUCAUGUAAUAAGAUUAAGCAAUGUAGUAACAUUAGUCGUUGAGGUGAAAUUAAUGGUAGUUUCUACUGAAAGAGUGAAAAAAAAAAGAGUGUAUAAUGUGACGUAAAAUUGAUUUAUUCUUUCAUAUGGUACGCUGCAUGUGAUAUGUUUGAUUAUGUAAUGAGAUGUGUUUAAGAUUAGGACACAAAGUUGACUGUGUGUGUUUUUGUAUUGUAGGUGGGCCUCCGAAUACACGGCCUCUGCUCUCUUGGGCUGAGAGGUUACACAUAGCACAAGGGACUGCUCGGGGUUUGAUGUAUAUACAUGAAUACAGUUCAAGAAAGUAUAUACACGGCAACCUAAAAUCAAGCAAAGUCUUGUUAGAUGAUGAGUUACUUCCUCACAUCUCAGGCUUCGGUCUCACACGUCUGGUUCAGGGGUAUCCCAAACUACCAGAUCAUUCACUAUCCACCAACGUGCAAAGCUUUGCGACGAGACUCUCAGCUCCUCCUCAAGCUGCUUACCUUGCACCCGAAGCCAGAGCUUCUUCCGGUUACAAAUCAUCUCAGAAAUGCGAUGUUUAUUCCUUUGGUGUGAUUCUCUUGGAGUUGUUGACUGGUCGUUUACCUGAUGGCUCAUCUGAGAACGAAGGAGAGGAACUCGUUAGUGUUGUGAGGAAGUGGCACAAGGAAGGGAGAUCGUUGGCCGAGAUCUUAGACCCCAAGCUUUUGAACCAAGAGUUAACUGAUAAGCAAGUUAUUGCAGCCAUUCGUGUCGCUUUGAACUGCACGAAUAUGGAUCCAGAGAUGCGUCCUAGGAUGAGAUCUGUGUCUGAGAGUUUAGGUCGAAUCAAAACGGUAUAAACCUUCAGUGCAUGAGCCAGGAAAUGUGUAUGCUAACUUCAGGCAAAAGGUUGUGCUAUGUAAUUUUAUGGCGAGCUUAAAUGAAGAGUUUAGUGCUUUGUUUAUCAUCACAAGUACCUUGUGUCUUAAGGAAGAGUGUUUGGUUGUGUCAUGGGCUUCUUCUGUCUCGCCAUCUAGAAUCUUAUAAGAUAACGAAUAUGAUAAAGAUCUGUUUCAAUAAUCAAACUUUAAAGUAUAUAUUAAAAUACAAAAUAUGUUGACUGUACUUGCUUAUCUUUGCAUGAGGAUAUAUCAUCUCAUCCCAUUUUUUCAGUAUAUUAUAACCAAGUGGCAAGUGGGUUUAUUAAUUAUACAUGUAUUUCAAUCGUUUGUUUGAUUGGUCGGAACCGAGAUUCGAUUUUAACUAUGUACAUAGAUUUUUUUAGUAAAAAAGAUGUAUGAUUACAAAACUCGAUGCUUUUUAGUGGAAGUGUACUAAUCUAUACUAUACGUUUUCUUUAAUUUGUAACCAAAAAGUAGUUAACAGAAGAAGAAAAACUCAACUGCAUGAUUGCAUGGUUCUUGCGCAUGAAGGUCAGUUUAUACAUGCACACACACAUAUAUGAAUCAGAAAUGAAUUCUGAGGGUCUGAGCCCAUCUUUAGCGUUUACAUGUUUUCGAAUAUAAUUUUUGUCAGGCCGUCAAACAUGAUCACACCCCACCGUUGGUCCUUUGUUCAAAUUCGCAACAAAAAGUAUGUAUUACUUUCUUUUAUAAUAUUAAAAGAGACGAAAGAGUAAAAACGGCAAAGAGAGAUCUUUCAUGGGAAAACAUAUCUCGCCCAAGCACGAUUGAUAACUUCCAAAUAUAGCAGCCCGUUCGAGGAAACUUAAUAAACAAAUAGAGAAACACUUGCUUAAUAUAGAAGUUCUUAUUAAAAAACUAAUAUAGAGAGGCUCCCUUUUUAAACUUGUUGACAUUAUAAAAGCCGAAGCUGGACCACGAACGAUUCCCCACUUCUAUCAAUGUAAUCUUUUUUUUCAGAACAUAAAUACUUUAAAAAAAUUGACGGGGAAUCAAAUUAUUUUAAUAUAUAAAACUGUAAGUUGAUAAAAUCUAUACAACAUAGAGAAAGCUAAAUGGGGUCUCACGUGUUCUCAUCCACGGACGAGCUUUGCUCUUAUAUUUUUCUCCUUUCGUUGUUUCUUUCUGAUAAUUGUAGAAUAUUUUUUAUAAAGAGAUUUACAUUAUGUUAGAGACAUUUCUUCUUGUUUUAUUAUGAUGAUUAUUAAUUUUCAUAGUAAACUAUGUGCGCUACGAACUUCGUCUAUUACCUAUGCAUGAAUGGGUGCAUGUGCUUGUGCAUACAAAAUUUGGCUUUUUGUUGAUUAACAAAGAAACAGCUCGAGUUUUAAAAAUUGUGUAGCUACUCCAACUCAUCGAUCUAUGUCUCUAUCCAGUUAACCAACCAUAUAUAGGCACAUAAACGGUAGUUCCCAUAUAACAAAAAUGAAAUAAAAACUCCAAAGAGAAUAAACGGGUGCAUAUAGAGUAAAAAGUCAGAAAUAUAAAAGUUAAAUAAAGAUAAGAUUUAUAGAUAAGAGGUGCGCCAAAUUAACGACGGCGGCGGACGAGGUCCAUAGUUUCACACUUAGUGACAUCAUUGUAUCAUCAUUGACCAAUGAGAUUUAUUAAAGUGUUUCUAUCAUUGAUCUUCAUGCAGGCGCACCGUAUGUCACGUUCAUUAUAUUCAUCCACCAAUCCUCGUUAGACGCCACCAACUUGCGUUCCCAACGUAUCAACGUCACGAUCUUGUAGAAGAAGCUGCGUAGGUUCCGUGAACCCUAAAUUGGACUCGAAAAGUUACUUUCAUCUUGCUGGAAAAGUAGUUGCAGUUUUGACUCUUAUUUACAAACUGUACUUCCGACAAUUAUCUUUCCAUUAAAAGGAUGUUUUGUGUUUUAACCAUAUGCUGAAGAUCCAACUUCUGACUUUUCUUUUGUACUCUGAUGGGACACAAUCAUGAUGGACGAUCUUAUAGCGUAAUAUUCGAAUGUGAAAACAUUUGAUUUGUCAGCACAAGUUGACUACGUACGAAGUAAAUCUGUGAUUUAUCGUCUCCUUUUCUCACAAAUACAGUCGUAUGAUAACGAUUUAAUUAUCUGGAUCACAUGUCAAUUAUUUUGUUUGUAUGUUAAUAAUUUUGCAUAUGGAGACGUAUAUACUAAAUCGGUGGAUGACAAAGAAAAAAACAAUUAUAGUAUAAAAAUGGUAUCACGAAUUUAUAUUUGUAGGGUUACAAACAACAAAGAAAUAUCAGAAAAUAAUUUGUCACGGGUCCACCAGUAAAAACUCAGGAAUAUUGAUUAGGCAGAUAACUAACCUCACAUGUUCUUGCUGUACUUGAGUAGUAAAAAAGUUUAUUUCAAUCUAAUAAACUCUACAUUCUCUUCUAACCACAUUUCAUAUUUUUCAUAUUACUAUAAAGACCAAAAAGUAUUUAAAAAUGUAAUAAUUUUUAAAAAGAAAAUUAAAGGCAUUUCCGUGACCCAACCUCACAGGCGGCUCGAAACGACGUCUUCCUCUGUACUUUUGUUUUAUUUUAUUUCCUCAUUUAAUUUUUAUGCUAUGCUUUUGAAUCCGCCGCUAUCUUCAGCAAUUCAAGUUGGACGCAGAAACUCAGAAGAAGAAAAAAAAAGACGAUAAAUAUUCAUCUCUCUCUCUCUCUUCUCUGUUCACCGUUCUUCUUCUUCAGUACAAACCUCCUUUCUUACAUCCUCAAGCUCUUAUCUCCUCCUUAGUGACACAACAAGAACCAUACGAGAGGAGAAAAAAGAUUAAAUAAAAGUUGAAGUUGAAGACUUUGUUUCCUCAGCUCUGUUCUUCCUAAACGUUACGAAACAGAGCUCAAUAAGCUAAGAGACAAGACCCGUAAAGUUCGUGGCUUUCAUGGAUUCAAAUCAUCUCUACGACCCGAAUCACAUACCUUCUUCCGGGUCGGGUCUACUUCGUUUUCGUUCAGCACCAAGCUCUGUUCUCGCCGCUUUCGUUGCCGACGACAACAAGAGCGGACUUGACUCCGACAGGUUGAUUUCAAGAUUCGCCAGGUCUAAUGGUCCCAGUGAGUUCGAGGCUAAGUCCCCUGUCACCUCUGUUUCAUACGCCGCCACUCUUCCGCCGCCGCAGCAGCAGCCUGAGCCGUCUAGCUUUCUGGGUUUGCCGCCGCAUUAUCCGAGACAGAGCAAGAGGAUGAUGAACACGAUUGGUUUGGAUCAGUUUCUCAACGAUCAUCACACCAAACCUGUUGAAUCAAACCUUCUCCGGCAAAGCAGCUCGCCGGCGGAGAUGUUCACGAACCCAACUGCUCAAAACGGUACCGUUUCACUCUGUUUCGCCCUGUUUUUACUCUGUUUCACCGUUUUGCUCUGUUUCGCUCUGUUUCACUCUGUUUUUCUCGGUUUCGCUCUGUUUUGCUCUGUUUUACUCAUUUUAAUAUUUAUUUAAAAAUUUGAAAUUUUAUCAUUACCAAAGCCGUAAGACAAGAUCUUGUCUGAAUUUCCCGGAAAGUGAUUAUCCUCUUAACUAGGUUAGGCGCAGAAACCAUAAAGUUCGACACUUUAUGACCCACCGAACUCUCUUUUCUAAUCUCAGGUUAUGGCUCAGUGAGGAGUUUGAUGAACUACGAAGAAGACGAACAGAGUCCAUCUAGUUCCAGUGAGUUAAGACGCCACAACAGCCUCUCUUCAAGGCCACCUUCUUCUCUAGGAAUGCUCUCUCAGAUACCUGAAAUCGCCUCUGAAAGUAGUUUUCAAUAUAGCCAUUGGAACGAUCCCGCCAGCUUCAUUGAUAACUUAUCAUCUCUCAAAAGAGAAACAGAGGACGACGGCAAAUUGUUCCAGGUAUCUACUCGGUUCUCAACCCGGUUUAAUACUACCAAACCGGUUUAGAGUAUUGAAUUAUGUUUAAGAUUAUACUAAAUUUUGACCGGUACACACGUAUUUAUUUAAUUUAUAUAUACCGAACCAAUUAAAACCGAAUUGAAAUAGAGAAAACAGUAUUUAGUAAUACUGAAUAUACCGAACGAAUAUUAUUUUUAAGAAACCGCGGUAUAAAAAUAUUGUUUGGUAUAUAAACCGAUCAAAUCAAAUAAAACGAUUAGUUAAAUAUAUUAGUAUAAUUCUAUUUAGAUUAUAUAAAAUAAAUAAUAAUAGAUGCAUAGUUUAUUAUAACGAUAUGAUUUUAAUAUUUAAAAUGUUAAAUUUUACUAAUUUAAUAAUUUGCUUUAAACAGAAUGGAGAGUCUGGGAAUCGAAUGCAGUUACUCUCGCAUCACUUGAGUCUACCUAAUGCAUCAUCUACAGCCUCGGACAUGGUAACAGUGGAUAAGUACAUGCAGCUACAAGACUCUGUUCCUUGUAGGAUUAGAGCCAAACGUGGUUGCGCCACACAUCCUCGAAGCAUUGCUGAACGGGUAAGUUUCAACAAUGCCUUGCUUGCUACAUGAACUAGCUUUGAAUCUGUGAAGUCUAAUACUUGGAAACAAACUCUUUUGUUACUCAUGUCAGGUAAGAAGAACAAAGAUAAGCGAACGAAUGAGGAAACUACAAGAGCUUGUUCCUAAUAUGGACAAGGUAUUGUAAUGGGUUUUGAUCAUAAAACAAAUCGUUUUCUCUUGCAUUGAACCGGUUUUAAUGUUUUUGGUGUCUUUUUGUUACAUAACAGCAAACGAACACUGCGGAUAUGUUGGAUUUAGCAGUGGAUUACAUCAAAGAUUUACAAAGACAGUAUAAGGUAACCUAAUGAUCAUUUGAACCCAAAAAAAAAACUGAAAGACAGGUUUAUAUGUAAAUCGGUUGAACUUUUCUGUUGGUUUACACAGAUUCUGAAUGAGAACAGAGCUAACUGCAAGUGUAUGAACAAGGAGAAGAAUUUGAUAUAGCUUGCAACAAGGUGUGUGUGCGUAUAUAGAACUAAAGAAAGCAAUGAGAGAAAGGAUAAGAAAGAAACAAUGUACUCUUGAAUAUUUUUUAGCCGAAACAUAGCAAAUUGUAAUAAUCAGAAAGCUAGAGAAUCUUUGUUUUUUUGGGUCAAGCUAAUAAUAAAAAUUUCCAUUAUUACAUUAAACCAAGAUUGCAUACUAUAUAUUUAGUUAGACUGAUAUUUAAUUCUGAAAUAAACCAAGUAAAAAAGGUGGUAAAUUCAUUGGCGUAUACUUUCUGUGAGACGGAUGAUAAAAUGGAAAUUCAAUGAUUUUAAAGUCGUUAAAAAUUAAAUCAAUAGAAAAUUUAACAAUUAUUUUACAAAAAAAAUAAAUAAUCCAAAAUAUUUUUUUUGGAUAAAAACUAAGGUUUAAUUUAUUUCUAACUCAUACACAUAAAUAUAUAGUUUGGAAUAAACAUACAACAAAGAGUUCUAAUAUGGCAAUAACACAGCUCGGAACCAAAGCAAUGCAUGGCUGAUGGAAUCGGGCGCCACUACACCACCUUUUAGCAUCUUUGUUUUGUUUAUAGUGAUGUUCAUGUUGAAUUAAGUGUUUUUUUUAAACUGUUUACGACGCACUUCCCUUACUCACUUAUAAUUACAUUUCACAAAGUUGAUCACUUUUUGAUCAAACAUCAGCAAUUGAUUGGUAUUUUUUCGAAUGAUUCGCGUAUUGAUUGUUAAUCUGAGCACAAGGAGCAAGUUUACAGUGAAUCACCAGUUCUUCCAAUUCUGACAUAGCUAAGACUUGUUUUAAUUUAUAAUAAGUUUUUUUUUGUAUAGACAAUAUUAGUGAGUAAUGUGAAAUGUUUUCUUUGACAGCUUAUUAAUUCUCAGAAGGAGAUCUUGGACGCUUUUACAUCUCAUCAGAAGAAAAUGAUUGAAGCUUUACUGGACUUGCAAACUAAGAUUGCAAAGAAUGAUGAAGUGAAAUCUCUUCGGAGAGCAUAGAGAGAAACUUAAAGCUAUUGUUGAACCAUUAUUCAAGAAACUUUUAGUUGCAUUAUAAAAAAAAACAUAUGUAAUUGCAUUAUAUAUCAUGUGAGGCAUAAAAUCAUAUUUUUAGUUCCUAAAAAGUAAGAAUAAUAAUCUUGUAUGAUUUUAAGAUAACAGAGACUUACGUAGCCUCACGAUUAACUAUGUCAUAUAAAAUACUAGGGCCGGCCCGUCUUAUGGGCGGAAUGAUAAUUUAAAAAUGAUUUAAAUAGUUAUAGUAAAUAUUUAAUAUACAUUUUAUAAUUUAUAAAGUAUUAUAAGAUGAAUUAUUAACAUUUUGAUUAUUUUAUCCUAUGUAUAAUAAUUGUUUAGUAAAUUAUUUGUAUGUUUUAAUGUGUGGAUAAUUUGAUAAUUUUAUUCUUCACAUUAUCAAUUAGUAACAUUUUUAUAAGUAUUAUAAGAUGAACAUGUUUAUUAUCUUAUGUAUAAUAAAUGUUUAGUAAAUUAUUUGUAUGUUUUAAAAUUUAAUUUAUAGAUAAUUUUAACUUGUCUCUAUUCGAACAUUUUUUUUGCUAUAAAAUAAGUUUCUGGUUGUUGACAUUUAGAAUGGAAGGCCUUCUAAUUUCCAUCUGAUAGGCAAUGGACUGUCUAAAUAUGUUAAAUAUUAAAGCCUCGCAUCUGUCUAAAGUAGAAGCACAGCUCGCAUCUUCGACCAAUAUUAUUACGGUGACAUGUAAUAGCAGUUCUUGUCUCUUGGUAAGUCGCCGUGUAAACCGGGAGUGUCGCAACAGCAAUACCUGAAGCGAAGAUUUAAUUCGCCUCUAGCAUCCGUCUAAUUUAGUUGGAGACUCCCUCCAGCCAAGCAUGUCGAGGUAGGCACGACCGACAGCUUGCUCACCCUGCACAACAUGAUGAUGCCAUAUAAGUAAACAUCAUCUUCAUAAUAAAUAUCUGCCGAUAAUCAUAAAUGGUACAUGCCAUCGAUUGGGUUGUCAUUUCGAAAAUAUUUCUGAAUUCCUCGCACGUAGCGUGCUUGGACGUUACCGCUAGCAAGACAUCGAUGCCUAAGAUUAUAGAAACGGUCGAUAGAGAGAGUCUAGAGGUCCAGGUCCAUGAAAACGGAGCUUGAAAACUACUCCCGGUAGGCUGCUGCUGGUUUUGACCGUCGAUAAGACUCGAAAACGUCUCGAAAUUCUCAUGUAAGGCCAGGUCAGUACCAUGGGAGUCCACGGGCCAUUUUUGCAGUGGAAAGCUGUCCUGAACUGGAUUCUACAGAGAGAGGAGAAUCUUUCUGUCAAUCAAUACUGAUCCUCUCUCACAUAUAAUCAAUCUACUUUUAUAUUAGAUAAGUUAAGAUACAAUACCUGCCAAUUUCUUGGUUUUGAAGAGGAUUUCUGAGAUGCCCUUCCACAGACACUAAUCCAGCAUUAGAAGGAUUUGCCUGAGUCAACAGAGGAUUAUAAGGUAGGUUCUGGUAUCUUGCCAACGGAUUCUCAAAGGAAGCAUCUAAUGCUGGGACACCCAUCAAUCUUUGGGAGUUGUUUUCUUUUACUCUAUUCCCAUGAAUCCAACCAUCUCGGUUUCCUAGAAAGGGAAGAGGUAAAACUUUUAGUACAGCAAGGUGCCUGUAAAUAGAACUAUGACCCUAAACAGACAUAAAGCUAAAGAUAACUAUGUAUACCAGAAUCAACAUCUUCACAUAGUGGUGACAAUGUUCUGGAUGUGUUUGCCGUUGAAUCAAUAUUCACAGCAAUGAAUUUGAAUUGUUUUCUUUUAUUCCACUGGAGCUUAUCCUAUUACCCUGUAUAAAUAGCAUGAACUUAUCAAAACCACCAUUAAAAAAAAAAAGAGAACUCACUUUAAAAAGGAACAAUAUAAUGUUGAGAUGGUUGGAUAUUUAUAUUCUAAAGAAUAUAUUAGUAGAGCACCGAGAGAAAAGUUAUUAACCUUGAGCUUUUCGUGAGCCUCUUUCACCAUUUUACCAUCUUUCUUCUUCCUCCAGUUGUGCCCAGAGUGAUACGGAAAUUGAGAUCGAAAUUAGUAUGUUACAUGGAUAAACCGAUACCAAUAUAUGGAACACAAAGCCCAGAUACAUAAUAAGACCAUAUAUAUAUAUAUAUACAAAUCAUGUCCGUACCUGGAAGCUGUGUGUUUGUGUUAGCUAAUCCAACCAUCUCGAUUUAGUUAUGGAACCGAGAUCCUUCUUCAGGUAACGGAUAGACCGGUUCGGUGAACUCGUCAAAAUCGGUUGAAUCAUUGAACCGAAUCAGUAAAGAGGAGUUGGAAAGCUUGAAGUUCUGAGCACAUCGAGCGGGGAGAAUACUCACAUCUAUUUAUACCGCCUAUCAGAUCUAAAAGAACCAUUGAAGAACUCGUCUGAAUUAAUGGAGAUUAAGAGCAGCAUUAUCGCUGACUCUUAACCCAACUCUUACCCCCAAAUCCAAUUUUAAAAUAAUUAACAAAACACAUAAGCCCAAGAGUUGCCUCUUGCGUAAGGCCUGGAAGGUCCGCCUCUUAGUGACAGGUGUCACCAUAACGCGAUGUCUCUGUCUCUGUCUCUCUCUCAUCUCUCAUCUCUCAUCUCUCUUUCUCUUCCGAAAGGACUGAUUCUGUUUGAUUUCGAAACUUCCACCACCGGAAUCGCCGCCAUCUCAGUCGCUUCACCCUCCUCCGUCCCGACCUUCCUCCCCAACGCCUCCUCCGUCCCGAUCAAUCUCUGAAGCUCUUGAUAUCCUCUUCUCAGGGGCACGCGUUGAGCUGAGCACGGACUGGUUUGUUCUCUUAUUACAAAGCAAUAAAUAUUUUUUGUCAGAUCAUCUUUAAGUUUUGUAAUGAUCGUUUCUUAUCAAACCUCAAGGUGAAUUGUGGAGCCGACCUUGCUAUUUUGUUUGUUUGGUGUGGUAGUUAAAUCAAUUAACACAUUGUCUCUACCCACUUGGGCUGUUCAUGUUUCCAGCGUUGUCGAAUGGUUCCUCUCCCUUCUUCCUUGAUUUAAUUGAUUCAACUCUCAUCUUAGAAAAGUUUUGAACUUUUGAUCUAUAGUGAUGCAAGAUAGUAGUUUCUGUUGUGGGUUUCUCGAGUUCUUGAUAUCUGUUCAGAAAGAAAGGGUUAUGAGUCAUGUAAAGGUCUCUCAUGGGAAAUAGUUGACUUUAGAAGAGAGUUUUGUUGAAUCUAAGAAGCAAAUAUGUCUUUGUAAGAAUAUUGAUAUGCAAAAAAAAAAAGAAUAUUGAUAUGCAAACUGUUUGGUAUACUUCUGGUUCAUAUGAGAUUAAAGAUGUGUUGAUUUUGUUUUGAUAGGCAGAGAGAUGUACGUAUGGGGAGAGGAUUCUAGGAUCAAGGUCUGAGUAUUUGCAGAGCAAUGCAAGACUAGGAACAAACUCAAGGUUGUUUUGUUUCCUUUCCUUCACCGGGUGAGCUUGUCUUCUCUUGUCUCUUUCUGUUUGAGACUUUCUCAGACCAGCCAUUAAUUAAAACUAGUUCGUGUUUUGCUUCAAACAAUCAGGGACACUUGGCUAGAAUCUCUGAACCAGUUAGAGGUAGGCUCUCAUACAAGCCUCCCAUCUAUGAUAUCAAUGCGCCAGACUUGUACAUUCCCUUUAUGGCAUUUGGUACGUACGUUGUUCUUGCUGGUCUUUCACUGGGACUUAAUGGAAAGUAAGUUCUUUUGACCCUAUGCAUCUCUCUCAGCGUUUUGAGUCUUAGGGGUUCAGUGAUUGAUGGACACUGAAGAUUUUUAACCUGAAUUCAUGUAGUAUAGGAGUAUAAGGGAUAAGUACAUACUGUUGUAUAUGGUUACUAGUAUAUAGGAGAAUAUACCCUUAUAUCUCUCUCUAGGAUCUCGUAUGAUCUUCUAUGUAUGUGUAUAUAUUGUAACUCUCUACAUCAAUAAUACUCAUCACAUUCAGUAUAUCUCUCUACAUGGUAUCAGAGCGAUCUUGUUAAAACAACAGAUCCUCCAAUUUUUUUUUUUUUUUUUUUCUCGACUCCAUCAUGGACUCGACCUCCUCCUCCUCCAACGCUUCCCACAUCAUUGACCGAUCUGAUCCACAAAACCCCAUCGCCACAAUCAACAUGGUCAAUAUCACCAAACUGUCUGCGACAAACUAUUUAACCUGGAGCGUUCAAAUCACUUCUCUUCUCAGAGGGUAUGACCUCGUCAAGUUCAUUGACAAUACCGUCGAACCACCCUCUCCCACCGUCAUCGUCGAUGGCAACGAAGCUCCUAACCCUUCUCUCAAAGCAUGGCAACGACAGGACAGUCUUCUCUUUAGUGCCCUCAUGGGAACUAUUGAAAUUUCUCUCCAACCUCUCAUCGCCACCUCACGCUCAACCCUUGAAGCAUGGAACACCCUCACGACCACCUACGGCAAACCUACAAGAGGUCACAUCAAACAGCUCAAACAACAGCUUAAACUAUGCGUUAAAGGAACUAAAGACAUCGAUGGUUAUAUGCAACUUAUCAAAUCUAAAGCUGAUGCUCUUGCCCUGCUCGGCAGUCCAGUAGAUCCUGAAGAUCUGACGGAUCUAGUUCUUGAAGGCCUUGGUGAUGACUACAAAUCUUUGAUUGAGUCGAUUCACAGCCGAGACACACCAAUCUCCUUCUAUGAACUUCACGAGAAGCUUCUACAUCGGGAGAUAGCCAUCAACAGUGCUCAACAACCACCUUCCUUCCCUGUGACAGCAAACUUUGUGCAGAACCAGAACCAAAACCGCAACUGGCGCUCAAAUAAUACUCAGGAGCACACCAAUUCUGCACCAAGGAAUCAAAACAACAAUCGUCGUCCAUACUUGGGGAAGUGUCAAGCGUGCGGAACACAAGGUCAUAGCGCUAAGUUUUGUCCUCUGUUUCGUCUUGUGCAACAACAACAACAGGCGCAAUCUGCAUCAUCUCGUGCCAAAGGAGCCCAAAACUGGUCUCCACGAGCAUACAAUGCUUCCACCAUGCCACCUGAUCCAUCGUCUUGGCUCUUAGACAGUGGUGCGACUCACCACAUCACAUCUGACCUUGCUAACCUUGCGCUACACUCUCCAUAUAAUGGAGCUGAAGAGGUGAUGGUAGGAAAUGGAGAAGGACUCCAAAUCACACACACGGGUUCAGUUUCUCUUCCUCAUUCCACUCCUACUUUAUCUCUUCAGAAUGUUUUGACUGUACCGUCUAUUGCAAGAAACCUGAUUUCAGUAAAGAAACUGUGUACUGAUAAUUUUGUUUCGGUGGAAUUCUUCCCCAAUGCUUUUCAGGUGAAGGAUCUCAACUCGGGGGCGCAAUUAAUCCAAGGAAAGACGACUAAUGGUGGAUACGAAUGGCCAGCUUUGAAUGAUUCUCGUUUUUGUGUUUUCUCUGCAACAAUAAAAAGUCCCUUGCCAAUUUGGCACUCUCGUCUUGGGCACCCAUCUGUUUCAGUUUUAAAAUCAGUUGUCUCUCAUUAUGCUUUGCCUGUUCUUAAUAAAGAUUCUUCUCUUUUAUGCAAUGCUUGCUCCACCUCAAAAAGUCACAAAAUGCCUUUUUCAGCCUCCACUCUUACAUCCACCAAACCUCUUGAAUUACUCUUUUCUGAUGUUUGGACCUCUCCAGUUCAUUCCAUCGAUGGGUACAAAUAUUAUGUGAUUUUUGUUGAUCAUUUUACCCAUUAUGUUUGGCUUUACCCUUUGCGCCACAAAUCUGAUGUCCUACCCACUUUCACUCGCUUCAAAAGUCUUGUUGAAAACAAGUUUAACCACCGAAUAAUCACUUUCUAUUCGGACAAUGGGGGAGAGUACAUUGCCAUGCGCAACUUUCUAGCCGAAAAUGGCAUCACACAUCUCACUUCUCCUCCUCAUACACCCGAGCAUAACGGGUUUGCUGAAAGACGUCAUCGUCAUCUAGUUGAAACAGGCUUGGCUCUUCUAUCUCAUGCUUCUCUUCCUUUAAUAUACUGGAGCUACGCUCUUGCAGCUGCGUCUUAUCUCAUAAAUCGCCUCCCUACCUCCACCUUAUCCAACUCUUCUCCUUUUGAAUGCCUUAAUGGCUCGUCUCCGAACUACACUAAACUUCGUGUGUUCGGUUGCCUCUGUUACCCUUGGUUAAGACCAUACACCAAACACAAACUGGAGCCAAGAUCAAAACCCUGCAUCUUUCUUGGCUACUCUCAAACCCAAAGUGCCUACCUCUGUCUUGAACCAUCCUCCAAAAGAAUUUUUAUCUCCAGACAUGUGCAAUUCCAUGAAACCAUCUUUCCUCACAAAAAUCUCAUUCCUCCUUCUCCACAAGCUUCUUCUUCUGUUACUCUUUGGUUUCCUCCUUUGUUGCAGGUCUCUGGUCAUUCUAAUUCACCGUCGCAAGCUGUUGAGCCGCCCCUAGGUUCGGAUCCUUCACCGACACCAGCACCGGUGAACACAGCAGCUGAUACAAUGGAACAGAACAUCCCAACAAAUGACAACACGACAUCUAACUCCUCUGUUCCUCUACCAGCACCGGCGACGUCCACGUCAACAAACACACACUCCAUGGUCACUCGCUCUAAAAAUCAGAUCACCAAACCCAGCAAGAAGUUUGCGAUGCUCACUACCGCAGUAUUGGAGACAGAGCCAACGUCUGUAGCUCAGGCACUAAAAGAUGAGAAGUGGCGUGCAUCCAUGGGCUCUGAGUAUGAUGCUCAAAUCAGACAUCGCACAUGGGAUUUGGUUCCUCCUGAUCCUUCUUAUAAACUUGUCGGCACCAAGUGGAUCCAUCGUAUAAAGCGGCUCCCUAACGGCAAGAUUGACAAGUAUAAAUCCAGAUUUGUUGCUAAGGGGUGUCAUCAGAGACCUGGAGUGGACUAUGCAGAGACUUUUAGUCCUGUCAUAAAGGCAGCUACUGUCAGACUUGUUCUUGGCCAGGCAGUCGCUCAAGGUUGGGCUCUUCGUCAACUCGAUGUUAACAACGCGUUCUUACAAGGAAAACUCAAUGAAGAUGUUUACAUUGCUCAACCUGCCGGUUUCGUCGAUCGUGACAAGCCCCACCACGUCUGCAAACUACGUAAAGCCUUGUACGGCUUGAAACAGGCUCCACGAGCUUGGUACUUGGAGCUGCGUACUUUUCUUCUUGUCUCUGGCUUCACCAAUUCCCUUGCUGACGCAUCGCUCUUUAUCUUUAAUAGCCAAGGAAUAACGCUUUACGUUCUUAUAUAUGUCGAUGACAUUGUCAUCACUGGAAACAGCAUCAAAGCAAUUGACAAGUUCGUAGCACAGCUGGGCAAUCGCUUCUCCCUAAAAGACAUGGGUGAUCUGAAUUAUUUUCUAGGAAUUGAAGCGCACAGAACAGAACGUGGCCUCCUUCUCACGCAACAGAAAUAUAUCACUGACCUCUUAGCUCGCUGCAACAUGCUUGAUGCCACUCCUGUAUCAACACCAAUGGCUUCCUCUCGGUCACUGCAACUCAACUCAGGCUAUGCGCUGGCUGAUGGUCGUGAAUAUCGCACAGUUGUGGGCAGUCUGCAGUAUCUACACUUCACACGCCCAGACGUUGCCUUUGCAGUAAACAAACUGUCUCAGUUCAUGCACUGUCCGACAGAUGAACAUUGGCAAGCAGCCAAACGUGUUCUUCGUUAUCUCUCUGGCACGCGAGAUCAAGGUAUUUUUCUUCGGAGCAACAACAUUCUGAGUCUUCAUGCUUACUCCGAUGCUGAUUGGGCUGGUAAUCGUGACGACUACACCUCCACUGGUGCUUACAUUGUCUACCUUGGCUCUCAUCCGAUUGUCUGGUCCUCGAAGAAGCAGAAAACACCAGCUCGUUCUUCUACGGAAGCGGAGUACAGAUCAGUUGCGGACACUGCGGCUGAGCUCUGUUGGGUUGCUCAUUUAAUGACGGAGCUUGGUAUCUCAACUUCCUCUCAACCAGUUAUCUACUGUGACAAUGUUGGCGCCACCUAUCUUGCGGCGAACCCGGUCUUCCACUCUCGUAUGAAGCACGUUGCUUUAGACUAUCACUUUGUUCGUCAACUGGUUCAGUCUCGUCUGCUACGCGUGACUCAUGUCUCUUCCAGAGAUCAACUUGCGGACGCACUGACAAAACCGUUGCCCAGACCUCGACUUGAAGAUUUGAAUUCCAAGAUUGGGCUCUCUAACGGUCGCUCAUCUUGCGGGGGCGUAUAGGAGUAUAAGGGAUAAGUACAUACUGUUGUAUAUGGUUACUAGUAUAUAGGAGAAUAUACCCUUAUAUCUCUCUCUAGGAUCUCGUAUGAUCUUCUAUGUAUGUGUAUAUAUUGUAACUCUCUCCAUCAAUAAUACUCAUCACAUUCAGUAUAUCUCUCUACAUGUAGGUCUUCUUAUUGGUACUUUGUAGCAGAAGUUUGAACAUUAUUGACAUUGUAUGUGGUAAAGAUUCAUGUUUUAUAAACAAUUUUCAUCUCAUGGCAUCUUCUUCCCAAAAUAAUUUUUUUUUUAAAACUCUUAAUUAAGAACCUUGCAAUGGAGCAUAAAAAUAUUUGGGUUUCUUAAUGUUGUCUCUUAAUUCACUUUUAAUACUUAAAAAUAUUAAAAAGAGCUUAAGAGUUCCUAAGUGUCUCUUAGGGAUAAUGAUGCUCUAACAUGUAAAAACCAUAACGCUCUCAGUGAAUAACACACAACAUCACGAAAAUAGAUUAGGGCCAAAGAAACUGUCCGAUCUAAAGCCCAUACCACUAAACAUAUGCGUUAAAUUUAGAAGUCCAGACGUGAUCUAGAUGAAGAAGUGCUGCGUUUUGGGGUGGGACACGUGUUGCUUCGACAGAAGCCGACUUUAUGACGUGGACGCUGAGGUGGCUUCACCAGGAGAGAUUUAACAAUAAUUUCUCUUAUAAUAAUCCAUACUUGAUAUUUUAUACAAUUGUUGUUUGUUUUCUUUACAAUGAGAAUCUAAUUAACAAGAUUCGUCAAUGAGCAUAAUAAAUACAAAGCAUACUUCAAGAACUGAAUCAAUAAACCUGAAAUGGAUCUUCAACUAAGCACUAACCUUCUCCUCCUCACAUCCUUCGUUUUUGCUUUCAUGCUUAAUGCUUUCUUCAAAUGGUUCUCCUCUAAGAAGCAGAGUUCAACGGCUGCUACAAAGCUGCCACAGAGCCCUUCAGCUUUACCAUUGAUUGGCCACCUUCAUUUGAUAGGCAAAGUGCUGCCUGUCUCAUUCCAGAGCCUAGCUCGCAAGCAUGGCCCGCUCAUGGAGAUACGUCUCGGUGCUUCUAAGUGUGUUGUAGUCUCAAGCUCUUCGGUGGCGAGAGAGAUCUUCAAAGACCAAGAGCUUAAUUUCUCCUCGAGACCUGAGUUUGCUUCUGCUGAGUAUUUCAAGUAUAGAGGGUCAAGGUUUGUCCUCGCGCAGUACGGUGAUUACUGGAGGUUCAUGAAGAAGCUCUGCAUGACCAAGCUUCUCGCUGUUCCGCAGCUUGAGAAGUUCUCUGACAUCCGUGAGGAGGAGAAACUGAAGCUGGUCGAGUCUGUGGCCAAGUGUUGCAGAGAAGGGUUGCCUUGUGACUUGAGUAGCAUGUUCGUGAGUUACACCAACAAUAUCAUCUGCAGGAUGGCGAUGAGCACGAGGUGUUCGGGUACUGAUAAUGAAGCGGAGGAGAUUAGGAAGCUGGUGAAGACAUGUUUGGAGCUUGCGGGGAAGGUCAGCGUUGGAGAUGUGUUGGGGCCAUUGAAAGUACUUGAUUUUUCAGGUAAUGGGAAGAAGUUAGUAGCUGUAAUGGAGAAGUAUGAUCUGCUUGUAGAGAAGAUCAUGAAGGAACGUGAGGCAAUGGGGAUGAAGAAAGAAGGUAUGAGAAAAGACAUUUUGGAUAUGUUGUUGGAGACUUACAGAGACCCCACUGCUGAAUUGAAGAUAACGAGGAAUGACAUGAAGUCUUUCCUGUUGGUAUGUUUCCUCUCACCUGCAACUAGUCCUUGGAUUUUAAACCAACCAUACCCGCCGAACCGAACCGAACUUUUGGUUUGGUUUGGUAGGUUUUCUAUAAAAUUGGUUUUUAGUUCGAUUCUGUAAUGGUUAAAACCCGAACCCAACUAAUCAAAUUUCGAACCAAAAUAAUCGAACUAACCAAAUUUAUCCAAAUUUUUUAACAAAAUUAAAAUCUUUUUGUAGGAUUUUUAAAAACCUAACUAACCAAAUACCAAACCGAACUUUAUUUCGGGUGAAUUUGGUAAGAUUUAUGUUGAACCGAAUUAACCAAACCCGCAAGCCUACCUGCAACAAUUAUUUAGAAUCCAAUUUCCAGCUUUGAUGAUUCUGAUAUGAUACAACUGAAUAUUCUUUAGGAUGUUUUCAUGGCGGGAACAGACACAUCAGCAGCAGCAAUGCAGUGGGCAAUGGGGGAACUAAUAAACAAUCCACAAGCGUUCAACAAGCUAAGAGAAGAGAUUGAAACCGUUGUUGGAAGCAAAAGACUAGUCAAAGAAUCAGACGUUCCUAACCUCCCUUACCUCCGAGCUGUCCUAAGGGAAACACUUAGGCUCCACCCUUCAGCUCCUCUGAUCAUAAGAGAAUGCGCAGCGGACUGCCAGGUGAACGGGUGUCUUAUCAAGUCAAAAACCCGCGUGCUAGUAAACGUCUAUGCAAUCAUGAGAGAUCCAGAGCUGUGGAAGGAAGCAGAACAAUUCAUACCCGAGAGGUUUCUAGAGAGCUCUGGAGAGAAGAUAGGUGAGCAUCAGAUGGAGUUCAAGGGGCAGAAUUUUCGUUACCUUCCGUUUGGGAGUGGGAGAAGAGGAUGUCCGGGAGCGUCUCUAGCCAUGAAUGUGAUGCAUGCAGGUGUGGGUUCGUUGGUGCAGCGCUUUGACUGGAAGUGUGUUGAUGGACAGAAGGUUGAUUUGAGCCAAGGUUCUGGUUUUGCUGCUGAGAUGGCUCGACCACUUGUCUGCAAUCCUGUGGAUUGCUUCAAUACCUUCCAAGUGCUUGUGUAACGUAUGUAAGACUUCCCAAGAAGAAUAUGUUUAAAGGAACCACCUGUUCUGUAAUUCUGUAUCAUUUCAAGUUAUAGAACUUUCUCUCGAAUAUGGUUCUUAAAUUUCUUAUAAAUAAUACAUCCAAAGACUUUCUGUAAGAUCAUAUAUUCUUUCAAAAUUUUCUGUUUAAUUGUAUGAAUUUUUUUCUUCUUCAAUUGUUUUAUAAGCAGAUAACAACUUUGUUCAAUACCAUAUGUUCUUUGUAACCACUUCAAAAAUUCAAAUAUUUAAAGAUUUUUUUGUGUUCCUUGAGCAUCUACAUACAAACAAGUUGAAACUCUGGAAACUUCUCUGGAUCAAGUCAUUGUCGUUCUCUUGUCUUUAGCUUGAAGGAAACAGCUUCUCUGCUUGGUCAGGGAAGAACGUUAUGAACAACAAAGCACCUGCAAGUUUCAACAAAAUCUUGUUCAUAAAACCAGAAGAAAAGACCAGACAACAGUCUCUAGUCUAAGGUAAAAUUUUACUUACAGACGAGCACUGUUCCUAAGACAGCUGAGAUCUUCCCUUGAAUUGUGAUAAGCCCUGCCUUUCCAGCAUUCUGCAACUCCGUUGAACCAACCGAUUCAAAUGUCCCUAAUGACACAACAACCAUAAAAAAAAGUGGUUCAGAGUCCUUCCUCUAACCAAACAAUCUCCAAAACACCAAGAAAUGAUCUUAGAUGAAGCUAAAUGGAAACAAACCUGGUUUAACAGAUUGUAGCCCUGAUGUUACACAAGCUAUGUUGUCAUAACCUGCUUCCUCCAAUCUACUAGCUGCAGCUGCAGAUCUUUUCAAAGAACGACAAAAGAAACUUCAACAUUCUCUUCAUACUACAUUCAUAGAUACUCAGUGAAUAAAGAUCUUGUUUCCACUAACCUGAGACCUUCUUGGCAAACAAUUAAAAGUUUGCUAUCUUGCUUAAACUCGUUUCUAACGGAAUUAACGAACUCUGGAUUCAAUUUCGUGAAAGGCAAACCAAAGAAGAGCCCUGAGAAGUUGUUGUGCACUGUCCUCUUCACUAUCGUCCCUGCAAAUUUUCAUCAGAGACAAACAUCACGUUAGAAUCUACUGUUAUGUUCAAGUUUGAGGGGGCUUGAGUUUGUUACCAAGAUCGUUGUCUUCGUUGAAAAUGAAGAGAGGGAUGUGGUGGCAAGACUUUAUAUGAGCUCUCUCGAACUGAGUCUUGUCUCUCACAUCCACAACCUUGUAACCUUCCGCUGCUAUCAACUUCUUUGCUUCCUCUGCGUUCACGAACUUCACCUCCGCCGCAACUCUCAGGCUUCUCCGGCGGAGAACGUUACCAGGGAGGCUCUUUCCCGACCAGCUCGCCGCUUUCAACCUCCUUGCGCCGAGAUUACUGCAUCAGAAUAAACCGAAACAGUUUUAACUUUCAUCUGAUUGGUUCUGUUUCAAGAAAGGAGUUAAGGAAGUAGCCUUUACCUGGUGAAAUAAAGAGCCGUAGGGCUAGGGCUUGCGAUCCCCGCCAUUGAUGCAGAAGUCUCUCGAGAGAAAGAAAAAGAAUUCGUUAAUGCGAUGUGAUAGUCACACGCUAGGACAAGAGAACCAGUAGAUUAGACAUAGCUCAAGGAAAUUUAAGACAGCCAAUGAGUUAUUGCCACGUAUGCAACUCAGCUUUGACAUGUAGAUUUUCUUGUGCUUAGCCAUCAUCUGUUAUACGUUCAGAUAGAAGCACCAAUAUAGAAGUAACAGAGGCAAGUACAUGUCUGAUCACUUAAAAACUGUAACAUUUUUUUUAACAUUUUGAAGAUAGAGUUGAUAUUUUAUUGAAGGAAAAGUUCAGACAAAAGAUGCAAGUCACUCUCCAUAAACACAGGAGGAAACAAGAGCAAUUUUAUAUCUCCAGAUACAAGUAGGCAAAAAAAAAAAGAGAGGACAGGGAAGAGAGAUGAUCUCAAGAGCCCAUGAUAAGCAGAUGCAGAGCUUUAUUAAGUUCAGACGCCAAAAGAGAGAUCAGGCAUCAGCAGCUUGAGCUGUUUUCUCAACAGGGGAGUAAGGAUAAUACUCUCUGCCGUUGUCUACUCUUGUGGUCUGUCCUCCAGAGUCAAUCAAAGCAGAUGUAACCGCUAGUGUUGCACCUGCAGCUAUCGCUGUUGGGAUGCUCCUUGCUAUGUCAUAAAAAAAAACGAAACCAUAUCAGUUCCAACCAAACUACUUAUAUCAUUGAGACAAAACUCAUAAGCAUUUUACCUCUGUAGCCAAGGACAGA